CUGAAAUCACCUUAAAAUUCAGGUAUCUAAAAUAUAGGAGAAGCGAUAAAGAAAACAACAAAAACACCAUGACAUUCAAUACACUAGCUAGUGACACAAACAUGCACAAUCAAAACAAACAUACAUUACCAUGUGAUAAUAAUGGAAAGAUAGUGAGAAACAAGACACUUCACACAUGAAUUAUUGCUUUCUCGAUGGAUAGGACAAGAACAACAUGCUUGGUUUUCUCAUUUUCAAGGUGUUUGGCAACAUGACGAGUGUACUCUUUGAAUAACUUGUCGAGUAUGCGUUCUCCAAAUUGGCUUAUGACCAGCGGCUCCAUAACUGCUCAUAGGACUUUUACUAUACUAUAAAAGAGAGCUAGAUGAUCUGUUAUGAAGUGAGAAGAAAGGCAGGUCCAGAAUGCCGUUGAUAGGCCUAAGUCCCUCACCUAGAGUCAUCGUCGGAGGAAAAUCGGUAACCUAACCUACAGGAGUAGAAAAUGAAGUAGGUCCAGGUAUGAUCAAGCUCUGUCGUGAGCCGGUGCUUGAACCGUGGUUGAGGCUGGCGAUGCCUCUCACAUUAGCUCCCGGCCGCUAAAAAUAAGGCUAGGCUUGCGAGCCCGCCUUCCCUAAUGAGAAAGAAAACUAGAACUAUUAUAGCCUUUACUAUAAGCUGGGAACUCUUUCUGACUAAAGAAAAAAGGAAGCAAAGCUAUAUUUCGAUCCAAGCCCUAGGUUUGGCUCACGCCCGGAAACCUAUAGUACAAGGGUCGGUGGAGGGGACCCUGAGACCUAUGACUUAGCAAUAUUUUCAUCGCUCCUAAUACUGUUAUGCACAUCAUCACCAUCUGAGUCAUCAUAGGGAUCCCAAUUUAUCUCAAAUACUUUAACAUGAUUCACGUUGAACAACCCAACUUGCUUCACUAUCGCCUCCCCUUCACCAGCCGAUGGUGAGUAGAUCGGAAGAUAUAAUGACUCAUGUUUUCUUUCUCCACAAGACCAUGCAAGUCCAAUUAUUUACUACAAAUUAUAGCCAUUACCUAGUGGCUAGUAUGAGCAGAAAUCGUCGUAGGGAGUUGUCUCUUACCUAGAGUCCCUAGACUCUAUCGUCGUGAUUAUUGGAAGGUCUAAUAUGAGCAGGAAUCCAGAAGUACAAAUAUGGAAAAGAUAAUAUUGGAAUAGGAGAUACAAGUGAGAGUCCUAAAAAAUAGGACAAAAUCUCAAUAUAUAAGAUAGAGUUCUAAGUAGAUCAGAUUAGAUCCUAAGGCAUACAUGUAAUUAUAGGUAGUUGGAUUCUUAUACAACCAGGUCACUAAACUAGACCUAUUAUAUAACCUACUCGUAUUCACUCUUGUAAUUUCCCCCCUCCUUGGACUAAAAAAGGAGAGGCGAGGGAGCCCUCGAGAAUGCAGACCAGAAUAUAAUAGAUCAAUAGCUAUAAUUCUCAAUUCUCGAUUCUCGACAAAUAGAACAUAAUAGAUGUAGGGUAUUAUCUCACGAUGAGAGCUUGAACCAGCCUAAAUUUUGUGUCUCAUGCGCAUUAUACCUUCAAUUCUCUAUCUCGUUACCUACCCCAUAAAUUCACAACUGAGAAAUCCACAACAGAGGGAUCAGAAGCCCACGCCUAUGAAGACUCUGAGCAGAAGGAGUUUACUUUAAGAGGCAUGUUAUAUCCUUGAUCAUAUUGUCUUUACCCAUAUAAUAUUUACUAUUAUGUUCGCAUAUAUGCAUUUGACAAUUAGGUUAACCUGAUCGGACCUAUUAGGUGACGUCUAGUUUUGUUUUCCCUAUAUCUUAUUUACACCUAGUUUAAUUAUUAUUGGGUAGACAUGCUAGUUCUCUACAUGGUUAAUGGGAUAAUGUUAUAUAACAAAGACGAAUAUUAUUUUAGUCACGUGGAUAUUGUUUUAUUAUUGUGGUAUUAUUUUAUAUUUAAUUCAAAUAUGGAGCGACAACCCAAGAAAAAAGUACAACCAUAAUGACUAUUAUGGCUCUAGCUGAUUAAUUAGGGAAACUAAUAUCGGUUAGCCUUAUCAAAAGUGCAAGAGGGGAGGCAUUGCUCAAGUAUAGAUCAUUUCUCGUACUGAUCUGCUCUAUGGCAGCUUUUCGGUGGAGGGAGAUCUAUACCACCUCGACCUAAAACCUUAGCAGGUUACCUCAUACUAGUGGAUCUUUAUAAAGACCUCAUAUUGAACCCUACCAUGCUGCCUUGGAAGAGGUGCAUAGGAGUCAUGACUCCUGGUAAAUAGGUAACACGACUUGUGGGUAAAGAUAUACAACCUCGUAGAGUGUAGAAGUGAUAUAUCAACCAUGCUCACGGUCAGAGCGGCUUGGAUCCUCACAUGAUUAAACUAUGGAAGUAAAUUAAAUGUAUUUGUAGGUGGUUUAUUUAUUGUUGUUAUUUCAUUAAUGAUAUUUUAUUUAAUUGGUAACUGCUAAUAAAAUUUUGACUAGCAUAAUUAAAAUGUGGGAUGCUACAACCUUAGACUUAUUCGUGGUAAGCCUUACACUACACUUUUUCUACAUACUUGUUGUAUACCAAACAUAAGUGUACAUAUUAUUGCUAAAUUCGCUGCUUAGAACAAGGUCAGCAACAAGAUGACUACUAUGAAUAUUUUAAAGAGUUCUAGGCCUUCGAUGCUCUAGUCAACCAGCGUGGAUAGUCGUCGUUGUCUUCAUUUAGUUUCUUUUGUUUAUUUUUUUUAGUUUAUGAAAUUGGUUUCUAGAUGCACUAAAGUCAUCAUAUGCGUGUAAUUUGAUCCUGGCGUACAUAUGAGAUGCAUUUGUAUUUGUUUUCAAAAUCGGGUGUGCCAAAGUUGGCCACGACCAUGGUUUCAGGAAGGAGAGCUAUAUAUACUUCUCUACUGGCCUCCUCAAGAACUGGCUUAAUCUAAAACAUAGCUUUGUUAUAUUUCCAUCCAACAGAAACAUGUGUUCUACAUGGCUUGAUAUAUUAUGAUACAAAAACAAACGAAUGGAUCGAUCAUAAAAGGAGCAAUUUAUUUGUAUUAAUUCCUUGUACAGGAGUGUUGCCUGAAAUCACCUUAAAAUUCAGGCAUCUAAAAUAUAGGAGAAGCGACAAAGAAAACAACAAAAACACCAUGACAUUCAAUACACCAGCUAGUGACACAAACGUGCACAUUCAAAACAAACAUAUAUUACCAUGUGAUAAUAAUGGAAAGAUAUAUAGUGAGAAACAAGACACUUCACACAUGAAUUAUUGCUUUCUCGAUGGAUAGGACAAGAACAGCAUGCUUGGUUUUCUCAGUCUCAAGGUGUUUGGCAACACGGCGAGCGUACUCUUUGAAUAACUUGUCGAGUAUGCGUUCUCCAAAUUGGCUUGCGACCAGCGGCUCCAUAACUGCGCGUAGGCACUUAGCAACAUUUUCACCGCUCUCAAUACUGUUAUGCACAUCAUCACCUUCUGAGUCAUCGUAGGGAUCCCAAUUUAUCUCAAAUACUUUAACAUGAUUCAUGUUGAACAACCCAAGUUGCUUCACUAUCGCCUCCACUUCACCAACCGACGGUGAGUAGAUCGGAAGAUAGAAUGACUCAAGUUUUUCUUUCUCCACAACACCCUGCAGGUCCAAUUGUUUACUACAAAUUAAAGUCAUUACCUAAUGGCUAGUAGAAUGAUUAAAGCAACAAUAAUCUAUAUUUAGUUUACCUCAUCAACUAGGGAUUUCAGUGACUGCGCAAGCAAUCCGUAAAGAUGGUUGGACUCUCCAGCGAACACAUCCUCAUGCUUCCUUCCAAUAAAUGUUAGAACCAUUUGGCCACCAGACACGAGUUCCUCAUAGCGUAGCCUGAGGAAGAGGGAGAAGUCCUUCUGAAACUGAUGUUGAAACAACUUCACCAUCGAUGGUGACAUAGUCUUUGUGAUGUAGAUAUCUAGGCAUGAUUUUUGGGUGCCCUUCAAUUGCUCUGGUGCCUGUAUAUGUAUACAUAGAGAGAGAAAAAAAAGACGGUCAAACAAAGAGCAACUAUAUAUAGGUUUGUUUCAAAUUAAAACACUCAAAAGCAUGGAUCGGACAAGCAACAGACAAGCUCUGACAGGUAAGACUUGUGAGUGGUGAACUGCAUAUCUCUUGCGGUACGGUUGUGGGAAUGCAUACCUGAGAGCGCCACUGAAGGCAGAACAGAGAGUGGAAAAGAUGAACGCUUUCGCUAGGGAAGAUCCUAGUGUAGUAGGAGCCCGGCAAUCCGGAGAUAUAGCAAGGAGGCUGUAGUGCCUCAGUUGCUGCAUCUCCCUUGUGUGUCGUCGAUGACUUAUUGAACUGCUCGAUGAGCUGGAAGAGAUUGUUGAAGUCGUUACCGGGCAGGUCAUUCAGAAAGAACUGAAGCUGCGGCGGGUGGUCAUGUCGUCGGUUGUGCUCCAGCUUGCAAUGGUGAGCUAUGAUUCUAGUCACCUCAGUGACGAAGCGCAGUGUGUUAGGCCCGGAUGAGCAGCCUAAGUCGGCCACAACCAUGGUUUGUGGGAGGAGAGCUGUGCAUACUGCUCUAGUGGCCUCCUCAAGGACCGACUUCAUCUGAAACAUAGCUUUCUCCUGUUGCCAUGCAUGCAUCCAACAGAAACAUUAUAUAUGCAACAGAAGAAGCAUGCAGCUGCAUGCGUGCUGGAAACAAAUAACGCUGAGAGAGUAAUAAUUACUUACUUGAAUCCUAGAAUUUUUUGUGUAGCUAGUUUCUCCGUUCCCUGUGGCCAUGUGGAGAUCACGCUCGAUUCUCAUCGGCAUGGCUGCCUGCGAGUCGAGGCUUCAGCGGUGCGCCGGGGGGAGCCAAAGCUCAGCACAUACAAGCUAAGCUAGCACAACAAUUUUACAAUCUUAAGCUGUGUGGACGAUGGCUAAAUUUAUAGACAAAUUUAAUUUGCCAUGUUCGUCUGCACAACGCGCUAUGUAUUGCACGUGAAUCAUCAGCUGCAUGCCAUAUAUGAACAGAGAGACAUAUUAAUAAUUAAUUUUCCAUAUUAUUAUAGCACAUAUGUCAGGCUAUGAUUCGAGAGAGGUAUGGAGCAUCUGUGCAUUUGAGAGCAUGCAUGCAUGUGUCAAUAAUGGAUCUAGCUCUUAAUUCAUAUGUCUCACACAACGCAGAUUUCGGCAAAGGGUGCUAGCACGUGGAACAUACAUACAUUGGACCUUCCAGGAAGGGGUAUUAUCAGAUUGGGUGACUUGAAAAUGAGUGAUGAUGUCCUUAUCCUCCACUUGCAAGAAGAAUUACGUAAGGGUUGCUGGGCCACUGAAGCCGGAUACGGUUGGGCCGCCUGGCGUCCAUGCCUCUUUAUUUUAGCAAAAUAAUAUUUCGAUUAUUUAUACAUAUAUGUAUUAUACAUUAUAUAUACUUUAUCUGUUCCAAAUUAAAAAAUUUAGAUUAAAACCAGAACAUAAAUCAUGACAAUAUCAUAUAUAUUCUAGUAUAAGCAUAGCUCGUAUACUAGCUAGUUAGAUUAACCAAUAUAUAUAUGAACAUAAAUACUAGUGUAAGCAUAGCUUAUACACUAGUAAGGUUAAACAAAGCCACGAUAUUAUUAGAUCAUAGGGUGUGUAUCUUACCGGUGGUCAUUGUUGUGGAGAAAUAAAGUGCUCGGAUCAGCUGACAGCGAAUACGCAUGGACAUAUAGCACCGCCUGACUCGAAUUGUUGAAGACUACCCGCCGUGGAAGUGGAGAGCAUUCACACCAAGAGUGUUUCACAAAACUCAAUUAGUCUUCUCCCGAUGCAUGACAGUAAGGAUGAGGAGACCUGUUUAUCUGUAGCCAUUUGGGUUGAAGAUACUAUGACGGCAGCGUCGUAGUGAGAAAAGGCAAAAAAAAAAUAUAUCAUAACUCAGUUAGAUAUAUUUUAGAACUAGUUUAAGAACUCUAUUUUUACAAGGGAUUCAUAUUUUUCCAAGAAAAAAAAUAAAAUAAGUAUAGAAAAAAUUGGUAGGGCCUAAGAUUAAAUUGACAAUACAGUAUAAAACAAAAAAACUCAGAUCUACUGGCAGAUAGUAUACGUUUCAUUAGAACAGAACAGAUCUGAACUAACUCAAUAAAAUUAACGCAUAAAAAAAGAAUCGACAAUCUAACCAUAGAACCGUCAUCGCAAUAAACUGAAAAUGCAAAUUUACUUAAACUGAUUUCCAAAUAAAUAAAAGACAAAAAUAAAAUUGCCAUUUAGAAGAGUCACGAUGAGAUCGCGGCGUCGGUGUAGCUACCUUUUAGCAAGCAAACAAAAAGUGUCAUUGGAAUGACGCCACUUUCUCUAAUUUAUUUAUGCUGUCUCCCUGUGCCACAUGCCACCUUUUUUACUAUUGGGUGACUUGAAAAUGAGUGAUGAUGUCCUUAUCCUCCACUUGCAAGAAGAAUUACGUAAGGGUUGCUGGGCCACUGAAGCCGGAUACGGUUGGGCCGCCUGGCGUCCAUGCCUCUUUAUUUUAGCAAAAUAAUAUUUCGAUUAUUUAUACAUAUAUGUAUUAUACAUUAUAUAUACUUUAUCUGUUCCAAAUUAAAAAAUUUAGAUUAAAACCAGAACAUAAAUCAUGACAAUAUCAUAUAUAUUCUAGUAUAAGCAUAGCUCGUAUACUAGUUAGAUUAACCAAUAUAUAUGAACAUAAAUACUAGUGUAAGCAUAGCUUAUACACUAGUAAGGUUAAACAAAGCCACGAUAUUAUUAGAUCAUAGGGUGUGUAUCUUACCGGUGGUCAUUGUUGUGGAGAAAUAAAGUGCUCGAAUCAGCUGACAACGAAUACGCAUGGACAUAUAGCACCGCCUGAAUCUAAUAAUAUUGGUGUGGAGAGCAUUCACACCAAGAGUCAAUCAUUUAGUGAGCCAAUCAUUCUAUAUGUGAUGUCCGACGAGACUAUAUGUGAUGGGUGUGUCCUUCACUUGUUGAACCUCGCCACUUUGUAGAACAAGUAUGCAACCCUGCUAGAUGAGAGCUGUCAGGGAAAUGAUCCUCGGUCCCUAGGACCCACCGAUUAGUGAGCAUGCUAAGGAAAGAGUCCCUGAUUUCUAGGGCCUGUUAGCUAGUGAGAAGAGGCAGAUACAUCAACCCUUAAAGGACCCGAUCCCGGUCGAACCCAGCGGCACCAAGCCUAGGGUCGGGUGUGGUGGAACCUGUCAAGGGAGGCCGAGCGUGUCGGAAGAGAACCACUAGAGUGGAUCCCACGCCCAGCCUCGGACUAACCCGCCAUAAAUGACUGGGCGCAUUAACCACGCCUGGCACCAAGUCACAGCGUGGGCGUCUGUCCGCUUCCCAUUCAUGACCUAUGGACUUGUAACACCCUAAAUUUGGGGGUAUAAAAUUUCUUUCCUAAUACACACCAAAUUCAGGUGUUACUCUCUCAUUUCUUUGCUUUCUUUCUCUUUUUCCUAAAAAUGGAUAAUUAUUUUGUUUUAUAUUGGCGUAAACCUAGUGGAAUAAGCCCUAGAGGCGCUUUGGUUGUUGCAUUCAUGUCAUUUCAUGGUGUUUAUAAGUGCAAAAUGUGUUUGAAACAUGUUAGUAUAUCCUAUAGAAGCUCUCAUUAGAUUUUCAUAUUUUUCGGAGUAUUUUUCUAUUUUCUGGAAACCAAAAUCUAUUUAUUUGAGGUACUUAAAAAUGUUUUUAGAAACUAUAAUUAUGUUUUUUGAGUUCAUUAGGUGCCAAAACAUUUCUAGGAAUUUUUCUGCAAGUUUUAGAAGCAUUUAUAAUAUUUUGAGCACAAAAUAUGGAUUUCUAGGCUUUUCUGAAUUUUAUAAAUGGUAAAAUCUGAAUUGGACCCGAAUUUUCAUCUCGUUCGAACCCGAACUAUAUAUAUGCCUGGCUUCUUCUCAUCGAGCACGUUCCAGAGCAUAAAACUGUUUUCUCAGAUUCAGUUCCCUGCUCCCGGAAUUGCUCGCCGAAAUUCGGAAGCGGUUCCAACUCCGGCGACAGCUCCGGCGAGCAAUUACUCCCAAUCCGUGCAUCAUAUGCGGAAUCCGAGGAUACCUCUGCGAUCGUCUCAUCGAGGGCUUCAUCUGGGGCGCGGCCUGGUUCAUUGAUCGGACCUCCGAAUCUCUGUCAAUCAAUGGUUUCCUCCUCGACUCCAGUGAGGGUCUUCUUCCCCGGUGAGAAACCUCCAUUGUUGCACCUAGUGUUUCAUCGUUUCUUGUUUUUUCCGUCUGUGCAGGGCCUCCCUCUCCCUCCCCUCACCUCCCUAGGCGGCGGCGCCCCUCCGCCUCCUUUUCCCCGGCGCCGCCCCCCCUCUCCCCCAACGGCGCGACUGUGCCCGCGACGCGGCCCAGCCGACUCGCCCCCCCUUGCACAACCCCCUCCCCUCCUCCUCCCUCUCCCAUGGAUGAGAGGAAGGAGAAAAGAAGAGGAAGAAGAUGACAGUUUUGUAAUUUAGUCCCUGUUUCGUUUUAACCCGUACGCAUGAAUUUAGUCUAGUUUAAAACAGUGAUAACUUUUACGUUUUAAACCCGAUUCAAUCCGUUCAAGUUGCGUUAGAUUCCUGUUUGAUCGGAGGUUAAUAGAACAAUGUUUCAAUUUUAAAAUCUAAUUUAGGAAUUCGAUUUGUGCAUUUAUAUUUCGUCACCAACAUGAAUAACCUUAACUGAAAUGUUUAUUAUUAACCAUUUAGUUUAAUCAUGCUUUCUAUUUAUUAGUUGCCACGUAUCGUUUCGGCCCGCGCGCCGUAUGCAUGCCGCAGUGCUAUUUCGCGCGCGUCGUCACGCGCCGUUCACGUGUGUUGCGUGCCUUGCCGCGCGUCGUUCGCGUCUAUCGCGCGUUAUCCGUGCGUGACAUAACUUCUCGAUCAUAGCUCCGACUGCCGCGUUUCUUUUCGUCGCGUGACCAUAGUAGUCAGCUCUAUUUUUGCAUGUUUUAUUAUGUUUUUAUUUGAAUGGUGUAAUGUUCUUAUGCAUAUAUAUAUAUAGGCUGAUGGUAAUGGAAGCCCUGGGCUUCAGAUAGGUGCGGGGGAGCCCCGGCCAGGUUAUGUAGACGAGCCGAGCCGGACGCACCAAAUGGGCUGAGCCAGGCGGCCCGCAUUGUGGACUGCAUUUAUGCAAGUAUAAAGGUUAGGAAAAAUAUGCGUAACAAAACGUGGGCCAUUACUCUGUACAUGGGCCGGUGACGUGUCACCCGAGCAUUGUGGAAGCGGAUUUAAACAGAACGUUACGACAGCAUAAACCUACGUAUAACGUGCAUAAAUGGCUGUUACGCCCACGAUCAGCGUGCCCACGAUCCUAGAAUGAAGCAGAUACGCACGCAACCUCGCAGUGAUUAUCGCGUCCACGAUAAUGGAUAUGCGCAUGGGCAAAAGGAAAUAUUCAUAAGCUUCCAAAAAAGGUAGACAGUAAGAAUCAUUAAUUAGGGCGUGCCUGGCUGAAGGGCGUAAUUUGAUCUGGAAGAUGGCGGCGCCAUGGGGUAAAGAGUCAAUCAGUGAGUAUACGACGCCGACAUCAGUUCAUCGAUCAAAUCCAUGCUUGGAUAUCGUAACAAUGGUGCAGGAAGAACAACAAGGAGCGAACCGGUUUGCCUCGGAUGCAAGUGCACAUAUGCAAACAACUACUGCCGUAGGGGCAAUUACUCCACCAGCAGCUUUGAGGGCGCCGGGGGUUGAUGAUCAGAACACAUUAGAGGCAUCGAGGAUGACCAUAAAUCAAGGAGGACAGCAACUUACUACUACGCGUACUAUUGGUGAGCAUGAACAUGACACACCAGUGAUUCUGCAGAGACAUGUAAGUACUAUAUAACUGAUUUGGAUUUUCAGUAUUGUAGAUUAAAUUGUAUACGAUGGAAUGCAGCUAGAUGGUAUGAAAUGUUAUAUUAUGCAUACGAUGUACAAUUAUGUAGGACACCAUACAACAUACAUGUUAUGGAUAUAUGUACAUACAUAUAUAUUUUAAUUUUUUGCACAGGAAGUUACAAUUGAUCCGAGGUUGGUACCUAAAGUUGAUAUGACAUUCAGUGGUGUGGAUGAAGCAUAUAAAUUUUAUAGUAGGUAUGCAUAUGAAGUUGGCUUUCCAUUGAAAAAGUAUAGGGAACGAAAAAAUUGUAAAUGGUUGAAUUGCUCGAUGGAAGGAAAGAGUGCAGUAAGGGGAAUAUCAAACCCAAAAGGUACGUAAUACCAGCUCGAAGCGGACACAAUGCAAGGCCGGUAUGAAACUUAAAAAAAAUUUAUGAUGAUGCAAAAGAGACAGUUAUAUCAGUGCGUAUUGAUCUGUUGCACUUGGAUCAUAAUCAUGAAUUUUUUAAGAAGGAUACAAAAAAGAAUCAAUUACAAUGCAACAAGACGCAUAAUCCUGAAUACAUGGAUUUCAUAAGUUCAAUGCAGGAGAGUCGAAUCCCGCAACAUUGUAUUAUGGAUUAUGUUUCAGAAAUGCACGGUGGUCCUGAGAGUGUGCCUGUAACAGCACAUGACAUGUAUAACCUGUAAGUUUAUAAUAGGUUUAGAUUGUAAUUCAGAAUUGAAAUUUGCAAAAUGUUGGUUUCGCCUAAUGCUAAAUAUUGACAAUAAUUUCAGGAAAAAGGCAAAGCAACGAGAGAGAAAUGCAAAUGAUGUGGCAAAGCUACUAUCUUUUUUUUGCAUCAUGCAAAAAGGAUAAUCCACAAUUUUUCUCUGACUUCCAAUUGGAUAAAGAAGGAAAGAUUUUGAGCAUAUUUUGGUCACAUGCAAGCCAGCAAGGGGACUACAUGGAUUUUAGUGAUGCAGUUACAUCUGACACAACACAUAAGACUAAUCUAUAUGAAAAACCACUAGGUAUGUUUGUUGGUUCGAAUCACCACCUCCAUUGCACUAUAUUUGCUUUCGCAUUAUUGGGGGAUGAAACUGUUGAUACAUUUGAAUGGGUAUUCAACGCCUUCAAAACAUGCAUGGGAACCGAAGGGCCACGAGUGAUGCUGAUAGGUACGAAUGAUAAUAAUGAAGGAAAUGUAUAUACAUAAAAUAUGUCUUAAAUUUGAUCUUAUUUUCUUUCUAACAUGGAAUAAGAUUCAUACAAUUUUGACAUCUAUGAAUGCAAAUCAAGAUCCUGCAAUGCCAGUAGCACUCGAGAGGGUUUUCCCACACACAAUACAUCGGUUGUGUCUAUGGCAUGUGCAAAAUAGGUAUAUGCCUUUUCUAAACGAGUUGUAUGCAAGGUUUGAGGGAAAGGACUUUAAGACAAGGUUCCAAUCUAUAAUACAUCAUCCUUUGACUGAGUUGGAGUUUGAGACUGCAUGGUCAAUGCUAGUUGAAGAUUUCCAUCUGCACGAUAACAUUACUCUCAAUAAGAUGUAUGGAAUACGUAAGGAUUGGGUGCCUGCAUUUUUCAAGAAUCAUUAUUGUUGUCUAAUGUUGUCUACAUAGCGUAGCGAAAGCAUGAAUAGGCUUGUGAAAAGUGCACAUGUCGAUGCAAACACUCCGCUUCAUCAAUUCGCCAAGCAAAUGAUGAAGCUUCUACACAGUAGAAAGUUGAUAGAGUCAAAAGAAGCAGUGGGAAUCAUGGUGAGGACAAAUUGUUAUGAUGUAUAUUUAUACCUCAAUAUACGUGUCAUCUAAUUUGAAUUAUAUAUGCCACAGGGUCAAAAGGAAACAAACACGCUCUAUAUGUUUGAGAUAAGGUUGCAAGAGCAUACACAAGGGCUGUGAUGAAUAAAUUCUAGGAAUCUUUGAAAUAUGCAACUACAUUCAAGAUAAUGCAUGAUCAAGAAGGGGGUACAAAUGAUUGGGUAGUGCAACAUACAACAAGAUCGAAUAAAAUUGUGUGGGGACAACACCAAUUCAAAGUGACAGCUGAUGAAGAUACAGGAAAGUAUACUUGUGAAUGCAAACAUUGGGAACAUACAAGUAUGGAGUAUGAAAUAGUAAAUAUAUACAUUGAAAACAUAUAAAAAAAUUCUUAUGAUCGUUAUUGUUUUUAUAGGGCUAUUCUGUGUACAUGUACUACGCGCGUUUAUGCAUCUUCAGAUUGAACAGAUACCGAAGGAAUACAUUUUACAAAGAUACACCUACUCUGCAAGGCAAGAUGUUCCGUUUUCAAGAGACGAUAGGAAUUUGAAGGGAAAGGAUGGAGAAACAAAAUCAUAUAGACAGAAGAUGUUGCUAAAAAAGCAAUGAAAGUAGUCCAUCAUGCUAGUUUAUCCAAGGUAGGUAAUGAUAGAGCCCUAGCAGUAAUGGAUGAGCUUCUCGAGGUACUUUCACGUUUGGAGACAGAUAUAGAAGUUGAGGAGACAUGUGGAACUAGUGGGGGAGAUGGUAUACAUGUAUGUGAUGUUUUAAUGUAUAUUUUUUAACAUAUUAUUUGUAACACCUCUGGUGUUACUGUCACUAAAACUUGAGCAUAACAUCAUAAGCAUUGGCAUUUCAUAUGUUUGACACACCUAGAGUGCAUUCACUAGGCAAAAUUUCAAACAAGUUGUAUUGAUAUGACCUUUUGCAAAUAGAACCCUAGAGUGGGGAACUUAACCCUAGAUUGGGUGUAAUAGAACCAACAAGGCUUAAACAAGUAGAAACUUCAAAAUCCAAUUGAAAAAGUCAUAAAGUGUCUCCAUGGAUGAACUCAAGUGGGAUCCAAACCCUAAGAGUGCAAGAAACCCUAAUUGGAACCUUGGAAAACCCUAAACCUAAACCCUAGGGGGCUAAGUGCAAAAUUAGUGCACUUUUGGGCUAAAGUGCAAAAACUAUGAAGUUAAGAUGUCUUAAGUCAUAUGGUUCACAAUUAUGAAGAUUUGCAACCUAAACCCUGAGUUUUGGACUUAUUUGCAAAAGAGCCACAUUUGAACUCUUUUGACUAAGUCUGAAUUUCAGUGUAAUGGGUUCAUCUUUGGGGCCUUGUAACUUCCAAACAAAAGGGAUUCUGCCCUAGGUCACCACAUCAAUAUUGUAGACCUAUGGAAGGAGAAUAACUUUGCUAUAGAAAUCAUGCCUUGCUACCGUGAAGAAUUCUGAGACAAAUGAGCCUGAAGUUGGACUGUCACAUUGCUUGAAAUCUGAAAUUCAGAUUAACAGUGGAAUGGCAUGGAGUUAGGGCUCGAAUUCAAGCAUGAUCCAGCAAGAAUUUGGCUAGGGGUGCUAUAACAAAGAUGAAGAUGGUUUAAUGGUUUACAACUUUGAUGCAGGGCCUUGGAUGUGUUGCCAUAGAAAAUUUAGAGAUAAUCUACCCUAAACAUCAUCUGUCAGGCACUCUUAAGAUGACUCUCAUGGUACAGUAGCCGAUCGGAUCAGGUUCAGUGAACCUCACCGCCGAUGACCGUCGCACUGUGAUUCACGUCGAUUGUCGGGAUUCGUGCGCUAUGGAUUGUGGAUAACUGUGGGCAGGUAAAGAUCUUGGCGCCUGGAUCAGCUUGAGUUCGGUCGCGACUAAGCCCGCCGUACCCCCUUGCUCAUCGGUGGAUCGGGAUGAGUCCUCGCCGUCGUUGAUCGAUCACUGCCGUGCGCCGCGUGUCCAGACACUUUACCACGUCACGAUUAGUUACGUUAGGGGAUCCGGUGAUCGCCGGAGGAAGCGCCACGGUGAAAGCCACCCAUCCCGAGCACCAGUAUCCAUGUUUCCCUCCGGCCGCCAGCACAACCUCGUGAAAUUGGACACCACCGACAAUGGGAACUAUAAAUUGACACCUUCGCCUGCUCCGCUAGGUAACUGCGCAGCCGGUGAAGCAAUCCGCACCUUGAAUCCUCCCCUAGAAUUCACCAAUUUCGGAUUUCCCCAAGCUGCUCAAGAACUCCGCAUGUCUUGACUUCGCCGCGGUCCGCUCAAUUCUUGUCCGAUUUUGCCAUUUAUGUUCUUGUUUCAGCACCCAUGCUUACCCUGGAUACUCACCAACCCACCCAAUUGAACUAGAAACCCACUGAUCAUUGGGAACGCGGUUGUCUGUCCGCGACACCCACGGUCACUGUGGCCAGAACAAACCUAGUAGUCAUUGAUGAAAUUAAGUGGGGGGAAACAUUCAUUAUACCUUGAAUUUGGUCUCGGUCGAAGGAUGGCGCUAGUCACUGCGUGAGUCGGCCGGUAUACAGGCUCGUUGGAGCUCUGCGCACCGCCGCUCGACGAUGGGGACUUCGAGUUGUAAAGGGAAGGAAGUGCACGGGUUUAUUGAUAAAUGUCAGCGACUAUUUCAAAUAGUACUUUGGACUCCUUCGAAUUAUUCAAAAAGACAGGGACCACCGUGCAAAGUCUGCCGCGCGGGCGUGCGCGCGGGCAGUUUCUUUCGGUUGUGGGCUAGCUUGGGCUGGUUUCAGCACAGGACUAUUCAUUCUUUUUCUUUUUCUCCCAGAGCUAAAACAAUUCUAGAAAAUUGUAGAAAAAUCCCAAAAAUGUAGGACCAAUUUUGCUAGAUUCCUAAUUUUACAUAGAAUUUAAUAAAAAUAGUUUUAGGAUUUUUAAUCCAAACAAGAAAUUACAGAGUAUUUAAAACAGCCUAUGACCUUGUUUCUGGAUUUUUAGAAAAUAGAUAAUGAUUCCAAAAAUCCCCAAACUUUUUGGAUGACCCUUAUAUAUAAUUUAGAAGCCUUGGGUAGAGUUUGGUAUGAUUUGGACCUUGUCUGAUACUUAGAACCCAAAACCCUACCCCCUGCCCUUUGAAAUACAAUAUUGACUCCGAAAACCCUAGGUUCUCAGAGAACCAUGAAGGAAAAUUGUACUCAAGACUUUAGAUAACCAAUUUCUAUUGUUUUUGCAUCUUCAUGAGCACUACAUGAGCAUUCAUUAUUAUACUUGGCUACAUAUAGCAAACGAAGAAGAAGUUGAAGUUGAAGAAGAAAGGACACCACCACCACCUGAGGAACAUCAGGCAAGCAGCUGUUUCUAUUUUGACAUUUGCGGGUCCGUGCCUGAUUCACCAAUAAAACAAGGCAAGCCCCGGUGCAUUUUCCACCUCCUUGAUUCUUUUAAAAUCUUUCUCACUUGCUUGAUGCAUUAGGUAAUAGGAGUUGAGUGCUAAAACAAUUCCUGCAUUUCUUCCUUGAAUUUGAUUACCUUCCUUGAAUCCCUGUUUUACAAAAGGUUUUUCUGAUGCUUAGUCUUGCUCUAGCAAAACAAAAUGUUUUGUUUUUACAAAAAGAUGAUGUUGCAAAGUGGGAGGGAUGUUUUUGAAAAUAAAACUUGAUGGUGGAUCCAUCAUGGCCAUGAUGGGUUCAACAUCAGAAAAGAUGUACCUCUGCCAGGUACCAAACUUUGGGUUUGAAAUAAUUAAGCUGAGACCGGGCGGGUGACUUGCACGAGAAGAGAGUCUCGGUGUAGUGUCUCCGUCUGAGUCGAUUAAGGACCGUCUCGAUGUAGGCUUGCUGACCGAGGACCCUUUAACUGGUCACAUGCCUCGUCAUGGGUAAGCUUUGCCUCGGACAGACUAAUACCAGAAUAAGAUAACACACAAUGGGAGUGGAGAGAUGGCGAGAGUAGCGUGUACCCUCCGUGACAAGAGGUUGGACGGUGGUGUAUCUGUACUCUCGGUUGGCGUGAACCUGAUCUGGUCUUAAGAACCCCGGUGGCAAGUUGACAUAUGCAAGGGUUAAGUGCUACAUAUGUCGUGUGAUUGGAGAUCCUCAGCUGAGUAUAAUCGAUUCGGAUCGCCGUACCUUCGCGGUUAUGAAGACUUGGUCACUACCCUAUACGUAGAAAUCCAGUAAAGAUGAAGGGUUGUUAAGAAAUUGGCUAGUGCAGGUCAAGUGUUUGAACUAGGGUAGAAAGAACUCUAGUUGCAGGUAAUCUUACUUAACCUGACAAAUUAAAAUUGGAUUUUUAAGGAUCCACUUUAGUAAGCAUUUCUACAAACAGAGUCAUUGAUUAUUAAUAAGCCUUGCCUUGACUCCCUUAAAGCCAGCAUAUCCUUGAGAGUCUUUUACUUUGUCGGGUAAGUCUUGCGAAAGUACACUUCGUACUCAGGGCUUUGUCCCAUGUUGUUUUAGGUGAAGAAGCAACAAACUUCUGUUGCUUCUGUUCAAAGGUGGUACCCAAAGAUAAACACCAAGACUAGAGCUCCGGGAGGGAAGGCCCUCCGUUAAAAACUUUUUACUACUUAUUCGGGAGGAGUUUUUGCCUCCCAUGGUUUGUAAUAAUAAUACUCUGCACUCGUAUAUUAUGUUCUGGUCUGUAAAUAUUUAACUCUGUCCUACUUUUUAAAUAAAACUAAGUUAUUGUAACUGCUUUCGCACUUCCGCAUCUCCGAUGAUUUGUAAUGUCUGCGUGACGGGUAAAACGCUCUUGGGAAAAUAUGGAACUCAGAUACCGAGCUUGUCAAGUGAUCAGGUGCACCUGUAGGGUUGUCUAAGGUCCAAUGGACAAGGACAACUGCAGGUGAGCCUAAUGACUUGGGAGGUUCCAUCACAGCUGGUAUCGGAGCGAAGCCCAUCUCUGCAGAUAUUAUAAGGCAUCUUCAAAAAGAAUUUUCCAGACUUAUCUAGAAAAUUUCUUCCCUUCUUACCUAAGUAUCUCUGAAGAGUUUAUUUUAAAGACCAGAUAGUAAGAGUGCAAUGUAUAGAAGGUGUGAAUCAACUAAGGUUGAUUCUGUAAUUAUACAUGCAUCAUGCUAAAAACUAUACUAAUAAGGUUUUUCCCCUCAUGGAGAUAUGCCGCCGCGCACGAGAAAGACUGCGCGCAAGUCAACCGGGCCGUUUGGCGUGCCCCGUCAUCAACUUGCCCCACAACAUGAAGGUAGCAGCAGUGGUAGUAACGAUCCGAUCGGGGAUCUUGAAGCACAAGUUGAUCAGCUUUGAGCAGAACUCCGACAUAGGAACGAUCUUUGGGUUGCGGAUGGCGAAAGAAUCAAUGAAUUGAGGACAGAAAUCUGCCACCUGCAAGACCAGCUAGCGGAUCGAGAUCUAGCGCUCGACUGGGCUGUGAGCUCUCGUUCACUAGCUUGGGCAAAGGAAGCUAGAGCUCAAGCCUAUGUGGAAGAGCUUAGCUCAGCUGUUGAUAACUUGCAGGUAUAUUGUAAUACAUUACAUGAAAAAGUUCAUGUGUUGUAUUCACAAUUACACCCGAACGUCCCUGCGGAUCCUGUCGGGAUGGGAACCGGACCAUCUGGAACAGCAGAAGAAGCCUUUGGAGGAGAACUAGACCUUUUCAGGCCCCCUCCUUCAAUGAAUUUGGUCGACCAGUGGUCUCCUACGCCUGACAGCGAGGCUACCAAAAGCAAUCCUCAACACUAAUCUGAGAACAAUCAGGUUGAGUUAUGGCCAAGAAGAAAUUCUUUUGACUAUCCCCGUAGCCAUUCCAGCUAGACCAACUGGCAGAGUCUAUGAAGCUAUCAUACCGGAGAUCCAAGAUAUUCCGGUAGUAUGUGAGUUCCCAGAUGUCUUCCCAGAAAAUUUGUCGGGAUUGCCUCCUGAAAGAGAUGUAGAAUUUGUGAUUGAGUUGAAGCCCGGUACGGCUCCUAUUUCUAGAAGGUCGUACCGAAUGCCUCCAAAUGAGCUGGCAAAACUCAAGACCCAAUUGCAAGAUCUACUAGAGAAGGGAUUCAUCCGGCCAAGCUCGUCACCAUGGGGUUGUCUAGCCAUCUUCGUCAAGAAGAAGGACCAAACACUUCGAAUGUGUGUGGAUUAUAGACCCCUUAAUGAGGUUACUAUAAAAAAUAAGUACCCUCUUCCACGGAUUGACAUUCUAUUUGAUCAACUGAUUGGAGCAAGGGUAUUCUCCAAGAUUGACCUCAGGUCGGGCUAUCAUCAGAUCUAUAUCAGGCCCGAGGAUAUACCAAAUACCGCAUUCACCACGCGGUAUGGACUAUUUGAAUAUUUGGUUAUGUCUUUCGGACUGAUGAAUGCUCCUGCCCACUUCAGAUAUCUGAUGAACUCGGUAUUUAUGCCCAAGUUGGACAAGUUUGUGGUGGUAUUCAUUGACGAUAUCUUAAUAUACUCCAAGAAUGAAGAGGAGCAUGCUCAGCAGUUGCGGAUCGUAUUGACGCGCUUAAGGGAACAUCAGUUAUAUGCUAAGUUCAGUAAGUGCGCGUUCUGGCUGGAAGAGAUUCAAUUUCUGGGACAUGUAUUAUCCGCUAAGGGGAUUGCGGUGGAUCCCAGCAAAGUCAAGGAUAUUUUGGAGUGGAAACCCCCAACCACCGUACAUCAAGUCCGAAGUUUCCUUGGACUGGCUAACUAUUACCGCCGAUUCAUUCCGGAUUUUUCUAAGCUUGUGAAACCAAUCACAAGUUUAUUGAAGAGUGAUAUUAAAUUCAAUUGGUCUUCAAAAUGUAAUGAAGCUUUUGAGUAGCUAAAAGUAUUAUUAACCACUGCUCCGGUAUUGGCUCAACCGGAUAUCGAAAAGCCAUUUGAUGUGUAUUGUGACGCAUCAGGCAGUGGUCUCGACUGUGUUUUAAUGCAAGAAGGCCGAGUAAUAGCUUAUGCUUCACGGCAGUUGCACCGGCAUGAGGAACAUUAUCCAACUCAUGACCUGGAGUUAGCUGCGGUGGUUCAUGCCCUCAAAAUAUGGCUUCACUAUCUGAUGGGGAAUGUCUGUCACAUUUAUACAUACCACAAGAGUUUAAAGUAUAUCUUUACCCAGUCAGAGCUCAAUAUGAGACAAAGGAGAUGGCAAGAGCUGAUAAAGGAUUAUGAAUUAGAAAUUCACUAUCAUCCAGGCAAAGCUAAUGUAGUGGCAGAUGCGUUAAGUCGUAAGGCUUUCUGCCAUUGUCUUACCAUGAAGACUUCUGACAAGACGUUAUGCCAAGAAAUGGAGAAGUUGAACCUGGGAAUGAUUCAACAUGGAACUUCAAAUCAUUUGAAGCUUGAGUCAGUCAUCCUGCAAGAAAUAAUUGACGCACAAAGAAGUGAUGAGGGAAUAAAGCACAUUCAUGAGAGGAUAGAAGCUAGAAAAGCCGACUGCUUCCAAAAAGAUUGCCCACUUCCUUCCAGUCAGAGUAAAGUAUACAGUGGCCACAUAUGCUGAAUUAUACAUUGAUCGUAUUCUCAGUUUGCAUGGUGUUCCGAAGACUAUAGUGUCGGAUCGUGGACCGCAAUUCGUGUCCAAAUUUUGGGAAGAACUUCACAAGGCUUUGGAUACUAAGUUGCUCCAUAGUUCGACCUAUCGUCCUCAAACCAGUGGGCGGACUGAGAGGUUAAAUCAAAUACUUGAAGAUAUGUUACGGGCUUGUGCUUUGGAAUUCCCAUAGAAAUGGGAUGAUUGUUUACCAUUAGCGGAGUUCUCAUAUAAUAAUAGCUAUCAAGAAAGCAUUAAGAUGGCACCCUUCGAAGCUUUAUAUGGACGACGAUGUCGUACUCCGUUAAACUGGUCUGAACCAGGUGAAAGAAAUUUCUUCAGACCUGAUAUGGUAAAGGAGACAGAAGAGAAGGUUCAGCGAAUAAUUCAUAAUUUGAAGAAAGCUCAAGCUCGUCAGAAGAGUUAUGCAGACACCCACCAGAUACCCUUGUACUUUCCAGUUGGAGACUAUGUCUACCUGAAAGUUUCACCAAUGAAGGGUAUAUCAUGUUUCGGGGUAAAAGGGAAGCUUGCACCCCGGUAUAUUGGACCUUUUCCUAUCCUUGAAAGAUACAGACCAGUGGCAUACCGAGUUCAGUUACCCGAAACCUUGUCUACAGUACAUAAUGUGUUCCACGUGUCUUAAUUGAAGAAGUGUCUUUGGGUUCCCGAUCGAACCAUUGAAGUAACGGAUGUUGCCCUAGAACCAGACUUGACGUAUUCAGAGCACCCUAUUCGACUCUUGGAUCAAAAGGACAGAAUUACCCGAAGAAAAACUCUCAGGUUUUACAAGAUACUGUGGAACCAUCAUUCAGAAGAUGAGGCUACAUGGGAAACUCAGGACUUAUUAGAAAGGAACUUCCCAGGCUUUUUAGCAUCAUGUAAUUUGUAAAGUGUAUACAAUUAUUGUAAUAAAGGAGUGAGCCCCAAACCACCCCUGCCUUGUACCAAGAAUAAGGAAAUAAAGACAUGUCGUGUUUCCUUUUCCAUUCCUUGCCCUAGGACUUUUAAUCUCAGGACGAGAUUCUUUUAUGGGGGAAAGGAUGUAACACCUCUGGUGUUACUGUCACUAAAACUUGAGGAUAACAUCAUAAGCAUUGACAUUUCAUAUGUUUGACACACCUAGAGUGCAUUCACUAGGAAAAAUUUCAAACAAGUUGUAUUGAUAUGACCUUUUGCAAAUAGAACCCUAUAGUGGGGAACUUAACCCUAGAUUGGGUGUAAUAGAACCAACAAGGCUUAAACAAGUAAAAACUUCAAAAUCCAAUUGAAAAAGUCAUAAAGUGUCUCCAUGGAUGAACUCAAGUGGGAUCGAAACCCUAAGACUGCAAGAAACCCUAAUUGGAACCUUGGAAAACCCGAAACCUAAAGCCUAGGGGGCUAAGUGCAAAAUUAGUGCACUUUUGGGCUAAAGUGCAAAAACUAUGAAGUUAAGACGUCUUAAGUCAUAUGGUUCACAAUUAUGAAGAUUUUCAACCUAAACCCUGAGUUUUGGACUUAUUUGCAAAAGAGCCACAUUUGAACUCUUUUGACUAAGUCUGAAUUUUAGUGUAAUGGGUUCAUCUUUGGGGCCUUGUAACUUCCAAACAAAAGGGAUUCUGCCCUAGGUCACCACAUCAAUAUUGUAGACCUAUGGAAGGAGAAUAACUUUGCUAUAGAAAUCAUGCCUUGCUACCAUGAAGAAUUCUGAGAUAAAUGAGCCUGAAGUUGGACUGUCAGACUGCUUGAAAUCUUAAAUUUAGAUUAACAAUGGAAUGGCAUGGAGUUAGGGCUCGAAUUUAAGCAUGAUCCAGUAAGAAUUUGGCUAGGGAUGCUAUAACAAAGAUGAAGAUGGUUUAAUGAUUUACAACUUUGAUGCAGGGCCUUGGAUGUGUUGCCAUAGAAAAUUUAGAGAUAAUCUACCCUAAACAUCAUCUGUCAGGCACUCUGAAGAUGACUCUCAUGGUACAGUAGCCGAUCGGAUUAGGUUCAGUGAACCUCACCGCCGAUGACCGUCGCGCUGUGAUUCACGUCGAUCGCCGGGAUUCGUGCGUUGUGGAUUGUGGAUAACUGUGGGCAGGUAAAGAUCUUGGCGCCUGGAUCAGCUUGAGUUCGGUCGCGGCUAAGCCCGCCGUACCCCCUUGCUCAUCGGUGGAUCGAGAUGAGACCUCGCCGCCGUUGAUCGAUCACUACCGUGCGCUGCGUGUCCAGACACUUUACCACGUCACGAUUAGUUACGUUAGGGGAUCCGGUGAUCGCCGGAGGAAGCGCCACGGUGAAAGCCACCCAUCCCGAGCACCAGGAUCCCUGUUUCCCUCCGGUCGCCAGCACAACCUCAUGAAAUUGGACACCACCGACGAUGGGAACUAUAAAUUGACACCUCCGUCCGCUCCGCUAGGUAACUACGCAGCCGGUGAAGCAAUCCGCACCUUGAAUCCUCCCCAAGAAUUCACCAAUUUUGGAUUUCCCCAAGCUGCUCAAGAACACCGCGUGUCUUGACUUCGCCGCGGUCCGCUCAAUUCUUGUCUGAUUUUGCCAUUUAUGUUCUUGUUUUAGCACCCAUGCUUACCCUGGAUACUCACCAACCCGCCCAAUUGAACUAGAAACCCACUGAUCAUUGGGAACGCGGUUGUCUGUCCGCGACACCCACGGUCACUGUGGCCAGAACAAACCUGGUAGUCAUUGAUGAAAUUAAGUGGGGGGAAACAUUCAUUAUACCUUGAAUUCGGUCUCAGUCGAAGGAUGGCGCCAGUCACUACGUGAGUCGGCCGGUAUACGGGCUCGUCGGAGCUCUGCGCACCGCCGCUCGACGAUGGGGACUUCGAGUUGUAAAGGGAAGGAAGUGCAGGGGUUUAUUGAUAAAUGUCAGCGACUAUUUCAAAUAGUACUUUGGACUCGUUCAGAUUAUUCAAAAAGACAGGGACCACCAUGCAAAGUGUGCCGCGCGGGCGUGCGCGCGGGCAGUUUCUUUUGGUCGUGGGCUAGUUUCGGCCCAGGACUAUUCAUUCAUUUUCUUUUUCUUUUUCUACCAGAGCUAAAACAAUUCUAGAAAAUUGUAGAAAAAUCCCAAAAAUGUAGGACCAAUUUUGCUAGAUUCCUAAUUUUCCAUAGAAUUUAAUAAAAAUAGAUUUAGGAUUUUUAAUCCAAACAGGAAAUUACAUAGUAUUUAAAACAGCCUAAGACCUUGUUUCUGGAAUUUUAGAACAUAGAUAAUGAUUCCAAAAAUCCCCAAACUUUUUGGAUGACCUUAUAUAUUAUUUAGAAGCCUUGGGUAGAGUUUGGUAUGAUUUGGACCUUGUCUAAUACUUAGAACCCUAAACCCUACCCCUGCCAUUUGAAAUACAAUAUUGACUCCGGAAACCCUAGGUUCUCGGAGAACCGUGAAGGAAAAUUGUACUCAAGACUUUAGAUAACCAAUUUCUAUUGUUUUUGCAUCUUCAUGAGCACUACAUGAGCAUUCAUUAUUGUACUUGGCUACAUAUAGCAAACGAAGAAGAAGUUGAAGUUGAAGAAGAAAGGACACCACCACCACCACCACCUGAGGAACAUCAGGCAGGCAGCUGUUUCUAUUUUGACAUCUGCGGGUCCGAGCCUGAUUCACCAAUAAAACAAGGCAAGCCUCGGUGCAUUUGCCACCUCCUUGAUUCUUUUAAAAUCUUUCUCACUUGCUUGAUGCAUUAGGUAAUAGGAGUUAAGUGCUAAAACAAUUCCUGCAUUUCCUUCCUUGAAUUUGAUUACCUUCCUUGAAUCCCUGUUUUACAAAAGGUUUUUCCGAUGUUUAGUCUUGCUCUAGCAAAACAAAAUGUUUUGUUUUUACAAAAAGAUGAUGUUGCAAAGUGGGAGGGAUGCUUUCGAAAAUAAAACUUGAUGGUGGAUCCAUCAUGGCCAUGAUGGGUUCAACAUCAGAAAAGAUGUACCUCUGCCAGGUACCAAACUUUGGGUUUGAAAUAAUUAAGCUGAGACCGGGCGGGUGACUUGCACGAGAAGAGAGUCUCGGUGUAGUGUCUCCGUCUGAGUCGAUUAAGGACCGUCUCGAUGUAGGCUUGCUGACCGAGGACCCUUUAACUGGUCACAUGCCUCGUCAUGGGUAAGCUUUGCCUCGGGCAGACUAAUACCAGAAUAAGAUAACCCGCAAUGGGCGUGGAGAGAUGGCGAGAGUAGCAUGUACCCUCCGUGGCAAGAGGCUGGACGGUGGUGUAUCUAUGCUCUCGGUUGGCGUGAACCUGAUCUGGUCUUAAGAACCCCGGUGGCGAGUUGACAUAUGCAAGGGUUAAGUGCUACAUAUGUCGUGUGAUUGGAGAUCCUCAGCUGAGUAUAAUCGAUUCGGAUUGCCGUACCUUCGCGGUUAUGAAGAAUUGGUCACUGUCCUAUACGUAGAAAUCCAGUAUAGAUGAAGGGUUGUUAAGAAAUUGGCUAGUGCAGGUCAAGUGUUUGAACUAGGGUAGAAAGAACUCUAGUUGCAGGUAAUCUUACUUAACCUGACAAAUUAAAAUUGGAUUUUUAAGGAUCCACUUUAGUAAGCAUUUCUGCAAACAGAGUCAUUGAUUAUUGAUAAGCCUUGCCUUGACUCCCUUAAAGCCAGCAUAUCCUUGAGAGUCUUUUACUUUGUCGGGUAAGUCUUUUGAAAGUACACUUCGUACUCAGGGCUUUGUCCCAUGUUGUUUUAGGUGAAGAAGCAACAAACUUUUGUUGCUUCUGUUCAAAGGUGGUACCCAAAGACGAACACCAAGACUAGAGCCACGGGAGGGAAGGCCCUCCGUUAAAAACUUUUUACUACUUAUUCGGGAGGAGUUUUUGCCUCCCAUGGUUUGUAAUAAUAAUACUCUGCACUCGUAUAUUAUGUUUUGGUCUGUAAAUAUUUAACUUUGUCCUACUUUUCAAAUAAAACUAAGCUAUUGUAACUACUUCCGCACUUCCGCAUCUCUGAUGAUUUGUAAUGCCUGCGUGACGGGUAAAACGCUCUUGGGAAGGUAAGGAACUCAGAUACCGAGCUUGUCAAGUGAUCAGGUGCACCUACAGGGUUGUCUGAGGUCCAUUGGACAAGGACAAUUGCAGCUGGGCCUAAUGACCUGGGAUGUUCCGUCACAUUAUUCAUCAUAAUGCAUUGAUGAGGUAUAAGACAAUAAAAUUUCAGGACAAUGAUGAAGACAAUAGAGACGUCGAAAGAGAUGGUGAAUUGGGUGAAAGGAAUAACAAGGUUUUGAUCAUAUUGUUGUGAAUGUUUAUUUGUAACUGAUGUAUACUGAACUUUGAACCAAUUUUUCAGGAAAUUCAAGACGUAUCUAAUAUAAUUGAAGGGGGUGUGGACAAUGUUCAAAUACCUAUACUGAUACAUUCAUUUGAAGAGGUAAUAUCUUUAACAACUAUAUUGAUUUGCGGUUGUACAUAUAAAUGAUUUAUUGUUUGUGUUAUUGGCUUAUGAUUGAGCUUAAAAUGUGUUGGCAGGUACAGGUUAAUUUGCAGGAUCACGCGAAUAUGAAUGAGAGUGGUGACCAUGAACAAAGUGAUCAUGCUAGAAAGGUAAUAAUGGUAUUAUACUGAAUGUUGGACUGCAUAAUAUUAUAUGCUGAGAAAUAUAUACUUUUGAAUUGCAGAAACUGGAUUUUGCAGUCGAUGGGAUAAGCUUGGCAAGACCAAAUAACUCAAAACCCAAAGGAAGAACAAUAAAGGGGAGUGAACAAAAGGUUAUUAAAUUGGGAGCAAAAGGUACAAAGAAAAUGAACAUGAAAUGCCAGAAGUGUGGAAUUGCUGAUGGUCACAACAGUAGGACAUGUUUGCCAUUGGAGGAAAAUAGAUUACAGUUGGCUAGCCUUGCUGGACGUAAGAGAGGACGACCUCCUGGAUCUAGGAACAAGGGUGGAAGUAACGCUCCUCAUUGGAAUGAGACAACAACAUCAAAAAAACACGCAAUUGAUUUCGAUAGCAGUGAGUCAGGCAGUGAUUAGUAUGUUGCAUGAGUGACAAAUGAUUUAUAUACAGGUGGUUGUUGAAAUCUAAUAAAUAUAGCGUAUAUUCCUUACUAAUGUUGCAUAAUUGACACUAAUAAAACAUCGUAUAUAACCUGUAUGAUAAUCGUAUAAUACGUAAACUAUAUGACCAGUAAUGUGAUGGAUGCGCAAUAUGCUUCGUGAAUAACAGAAUAACAAAGAGUAUAAAAAUGAUCGGGAUACCAAUAAGUUUAUAUACAUAUUAACCAAAAAGUAUAAACUUAAAUGAAUUGUUCGUAAUAUUAAGAAAUGAGGUAUGCAUAAAUAAUGUAGGCAAUUAACAAAAGAAGAACUUCAUAACAUAUAAAAGAUCAUAUUUAAGCCCACAAAAGUAAAAACAUCUGUUGUUCACAAGACAGAAAAACAUCGUCGCAGCCUAACCAAAAGUAUCCCACCAACUAAUGUUCACAAAAGUACCUGUGUAACAACCUAAGACAAGGUAGCAUAACAACUGUUCUAAACAUCACAUGUAAGGAAGCUUCCUAACAUUGUUAACUAACAAGCAUGACCAAAAUACCACAGUACGAUACAUGGCCCACACCAUUGCUUAGUUCUGACACAUAGUUAACUACUUGCGCGCAAACAUAAAUCUCUGGAUAUCUAAUGGAACUGGCAGCGCCUUGUUCAUGCAAUGGAAUGUGAGUUGAUAAAGGGCAUGAGCACGUAGGUCUCGAGAAUUGUCCUGCAAUAAAAGCAUAGCAUGUAUUAUACACGUAUAUAGCUAACAUGUACAACGAUGGCAACCGAAAUAUAAAAUAGUUAGCAUAUUCACUUACUGGUUGAGUGUAAGAAGUGAUGACACCUGCAUUGUGAUCAUAAUACUUCAUGUAACUCAUUACAUAAAAGCCACAGUCGUUUGACCCUGUUCUCAUUGUUGGGCAAUUAGAUGGCAUAUCCAUUGGAAAAUUACCAAAUUUUGGGAAGGCUGCAUUGGGGCAAACAUGUUGUAACGCUUUGCUCAACCUACUCAUUAUAACCCUAGCCCAUGGGAAUUUCCUUCCACCUAAAUAGAUUGGGUCAUAAUGGUAGUCCUUCCAUGUGGUGCCACCAAGUUCUAUACCAUACAGAUUCGAAUCUAAAAUGUGUAUACACCGAUGCUGUAGGUUGAUUACAUACAGUGUCCAAUGUCCCCUACUAAGCAUAGGUACCAAUAUCUGUUGAUGAAAAAAUGUAAAUAAGUUACAUGUUGCUGUUACAAUGUCAUGAUGAGUAAAAGGUACAGUUAAUAUGCUAAUGAACCUGGGAACAAAAGGUUACUGAGGCUUACCGACUUGCAUUUAUCCAGAUUUACCAAAGGAGGCAAUGUGUUAUGCAAGCAAUUCUAUAACACAUUUUGAUCAAACGGCUGAGGAUUCUUACUAUGACGUUCCUGCUCUUCAAAAUUUAGCAGAGCCUAGAAACAACAAAGAGAGUGUGUAAGUAUAUUCUGUCAAUAGUUACAAUAACUGUGAAGAAGAACCUACCCCAACAUUGACAUCAAGUACUAAUCUGUUAGAAGUCAUAGUUCGACGAUGAUUUUUGGAAUCAUCACGAACACACUCAAUGAAGCACUGCAUGAAGACAUUCUCAAGACACUUCCCCUCUGCGAAAGAUUCAUAAAUAUCGAUACAGUUUCCACUGUAUUCACCGUAAUCUAUGACAACCCUGUAUGAUGAAUAUAGCUAUAUAUUCAUAUUGCAUACAUGAAACAAACUUAUAAAUACGGUCUUCGCAAUUUGUGUAACAUGUACCUACUUUGGUCAAUGUCCUUGGAACAGAGUAAAUCCCACAGAGAACGAACACAAUCAAGCUCUGUAAGGAGUGGAUCAGUUCCAGAAAUUGUUGUCCCUAUCAGUGUAUCAUCCUGAGAUGCAACCUGGUUAUAAGUGUUUGAACAUUAGAAUAAUUAGUUUAAUGGCAUAAAAUGCAUUAUAUAAGAUGUAUUUUAUUAUACUGACAUGAGGCGUUGGGGUCUGAUAAAAAACUAGCCCACUGUCAUUGUGUUCCAUUUCCUCUGUUGCCAUUUCACCUCUCUACACAAAGGUAUAUUAUUAGUAAAAUUAUGCAAUAUGUAUUGUACUAAUGUAUCAUAAAAUGGAAUUAUAACAUGAGACAAGGACUGCUAAACAAACAUUUUUUGCGGUGUCACGUCAAAUUUCGGCAAACGGGUGCAAGCUGGUGUGGUUUGAGGUGUGAUAUUUGUGUUCCUCAACAUGUUGUUUCGAACAUCAAAACAGAAAUCCUGUUGACAAAAUAGUGUGGUUCGUAUCCAGCUAAAAAGUAAUAUGCAAACAAUGUACGUAUGAUGAGUAAAAAAAGCUAUUGGGGUUGGAUAUAUUACCUGAUGUCCUGUAACAACAUCCGCUUCGUCAGGACAAGUCUCCAGUACUCUACGGAUAUGCUGUUGUCUUUCAUGAAUUUCUUCAAACUGAGUACCACCCAGCUGGGUCUCGAGCUGCGAUGCUUUGGAUGACAGAUCCGGUGUGGGUUGGGUGGCAUGCAUAGUGUGUCCUUGUACACAAUUAUAUUGAAAAUAAUAUAUGUCAAAACUUGCAUUAUAGAUCAAAUGUUGCUGCGUAUACUAAGGGCCCGUUUGGCACAGCUCCAACUCCUGAUUCUAAGCGAGGAUCUGGAGGAGUCGUGCCAAACGAGUAUUUUUUUAAACUGAUUCUCAUGUGGAGCCGAAAGAUUGGGAGACGUUUUUGUGAAGAAAGGUGGGAUCUAAAAAAACCUGCUCCACCCUCCCUUAAAACAACUCUUCAACCAACCAAAUAUGGACCUCCACUUAAAGUUUGAUCGAAAUUACCCGCAAUUGCCAUUGGACAAAAACAUAACGAUCCCCUCCCACACCCUCCAUGGCGCCCGUCCUCUGUCCCGUGACCACCUGCCUAUCGCUGAAGGACAGGGAGUGGCGGCUAGGGUAUCACUACUCUCGCUGUCCUCCAGCCCUUCCACCCCACAGGGUGGCCACCGGGGGUCCACCGGCGCCGGCGCUAGCCUUCGGUCCCGCUACCUCGCUGCCGCUCUGCCCUACCAUAGCCACUACCUCGCUGCCACUCUGCUCUGCUAUCCGCGGUGCUGUGGCGACCGACCUGUGGGUGUGAGGUGUGAGCAGCUGAGCAGAGCAGAGCAAGAGACGCGGGUGGAAGAACGAUCGCGCGGUGGGGCUACAGCGAGACUGCAAGAGACGCGGGUGUCGAGGUAUGAACUGCAAUCCCUGUCGCAUCUGUUUACAGCACUAGCACCAUCUCGCGGUGAGCAGGUGUACAACACUAGCACCAUGCACGAGUUGCUCAAUGGUUUCUCCUAGUCAUCUGAUUAGUCACAUCAUGCUGCAGCUGUGACACCCCAGUGUCACCUAGGGUUUCUCUUAAAAAGCCAAACCAAGGACCAUUAUUUCAUGUGAAUCAAAGUAAGCAUGGGCAUCAAAUUAACUUAAGUAAUAAAGAAUUCACCAAGUAUAUACUUAAAAGUGUCAUGAUCAAAACAAUUGAGACUUUUGAAAGAUAAGAAUGUGCAACCCUAAUUCAAAACCCUAAGUAAACCCCAUGAACAAAAUUCAAGAAAGUAAGAAAAAGGGAAUGAAAAGUUUAAAAUUUUGACUUGAGCCAAUUAGAAAAAUUAAAGUACACUUAAUGAGCAACAAGAAAGAUUGAGAAGGCUUAGCCAAAAUAACUCAAAUAAAUCCCCAAAUCAGCCCUUGAUCAAUGAACCCUUAGAGAAAUUCAGAUUUCUGAAUUUCUGAAUUUCAGACCUCUUCUCAAAGAUCAUCUGUGUUCUCUGCUUUUCCAAACUCAAAGGCAGAAGAUCCAAAUAUCAAAGUCGUGCCAAAUUACCUUGAACACAUUCUGGGAAAGUUUGAACUCAAACCAAAUUCAUUUGACACGGUUUUGGCGCAGCUCAACCUCGGGACCAGGCAUUCUGACACUGGCACCUUGGUGACGCUACAACUCCCUGUCCCUAGCCUAAAACCGCACGUCGUCCAUACACAAAAGACAAAGCUUGGUCUGGUGAACAAAUCCCUUGCAGUGAUCUUGCCCAAAUUCGCGAAGAUUUGCUCCCAAUCGGCGCUUGAACAGGGGCAGAGGCAACGGGAACACGUGUUCGACCGCGGCUGACACCCCCGGUUCACGCCCGUUCGCGCACCGCGCCUUCCCAGUGCACGCCCGCGCACACUCGCCGGUCCACGACCGCCCGUGCACCGCGCCGUGCCUAUAAAGCCCUCCCAGGCGCGCCCCACUUCGCCCCGCACUCACCCUCACCGGCCAGCCACUUCCCCUUAGCUCCGGCGAGCUUAAAUCCGCCCGCCAUUGCCGCCAGAGCUUCGGCCACCGUGGCCAGCCCACCCCAGCCAUCCUCUGGGCAAGCCAGUGCUUCGGCUAGCUCCGCCAGUAGCCCGUAAAGCUUGCCAAGCCCUCGGACCCGACCGGACUUCACCGGAGGCCCGAGAUCGACCUCACCGGACUUCGGUCUUCCGCCGCCGCGCGUGGACUGAGCUAUCCAGUGAGUCUCCGCCCGAUUCCUUUCGCUCAUGUCUUCUCUGGCAUCCCGUGGACCUCCCUGACCUAUUUGAUUGAACUAUCUCGCCGUGACCAGGCCGGUCUCCUCGCCGCCGACGAGCAUCCCCGCCUGCGCGCGUGGACCGACCGACUCCGGCCAUCUCCGACGGCGUUCCGCACACCGUUGUGAUCCCCGCGACCUCCCCUUCACCCUCGACCACUUCACCGGAACAGUCUCGCCGCCGGUAAGCCCCUCCGCCCUUUUCUUCGCCGCGGCUACUGUUUAAGGUAGAAGAAGGACCUCGGGUUAGGUUCUGUAGAACCCGAGGGGUUUUCUGUAAUGUCAGCGACUCAUGUGAAUAGUAACCUAAGGACUGAUUCGCAAAGGAAACUUAGAAAACCGCCAGGGACCCCAGUGCAAAGUGGAUUUCCACUUAAUCAAUUCUGCUAUUCUUUUUAAAAUGACCAGAGAACUUAGAAAAUCCAUAACUUGAUGAAAUCUUAAUAAAAAGUUGUCAAACCAAUUUUGCUAGCUCUGGAAUAUUGUAAUCUGUCAUUUAAAAAUAGUGAACCCUAUGCUUUCUGUUCUAAAUUUUAGAGUUUAAAAUUAAAAACAGAAACCCCCUAAACCUUAUUUAAUUAAGGAAAAUUAGUUUUUCUUUUGUGCUGAGCUUAAGAAAAUUUGUAGAUGUUUAUACCUUAUUUAGACACUGUUUAAAAAUAGUAGGAACACCAGCAUUGGAAAAUAUGAGGUAGUUAUUUAUUUAAAGCUAUUUUGCCCAAAACUUAGAAAAAAUCAGAAAGGCCUUAGAGAUUAAUGAACAGUGAUUAAUAAUAUUUUUCCUAGUUUACUUAUGCAACAGAGAACCUAGGAAAAAUACAGAGACCAUUAAUUUGGACCAGUUCUUAAAUAAGAUGAUUUAAUUAACCUUAUAUAGACUGAAAAUUAAUUAUUAUAAUUGCAAAACUAUAACCAAAGUGGUUAGUAAAAAUCCAGUGAACUUAUAACCACCAGAGCCCCACUACAAAAAUACAGAACACCCCAGCCCAACUUUUUAAGUAGGGAAAACAAAUACAGAGUGAUAAUAAGGCAUUUUUCCAAUAAAUCAUAAACAACCCCUUUUAAUGUGAUAAUGGGCAACCAAAAAUUGGCUAAGUCCAUGAUGAGACAAUCCACCAGAGAAAAAUGCAAACCCAUGAAAAAGAAGUAAACUCAUACCUUUUGCUAGUGAUUAAAGAGAAAGACCACUUAAUUCAAAUAAUGCAAACCACCCCUUCCCUUAAGCAAAUAGAAGCCAAACUUCAGAAUGAUUGCUCUUGCACAAAAUACCAACUAAGAAAAAUAAGAACUCUGUUGUUUGAUGUUUUAAAAUAUAGUGGUAGUAGAAAGCACCCCUUUGGCUAGAAACCUUAAGAAAACCAUAGGAAAAGAAUUAAAAGGUGUUAAUGACUAGAAAUUUGUAUCAAGUCAUGUUAUGACACCUAAAAGUCAGCAAAAAUAAGUUUUGGAGAAUUACCCACUGUUAAAUAAUAGUUAUAGUUCAAAGUACCCCUUCUGCCCUAAAAUUUGGUAAUUUUGUCCAGAGAAAACCAUUCACCUUCUGACCCCCAAAUUUUGAGACAGAAAAUCAUACACCAGUAACAAGCCACUGUAAUUUUUGCAGAAUUUUUAGAAUUUUAUAAAAGCAACUUGUAGUUCAAACCUACUCCCAAAACAUUAAAAGAAUAAAAGAAGAGGAAAGAAGAAAUAAACCCCACCUCAAUAAGUCUAACUUGAGAACUUAUCAUUUAUCACUAAGACUUAAAAAGAAUUCAGUGGAACCCCAAAAGUAAACCUACCCCCUUACCUUAACUAAGUUUAACCCAAUUUACCAAGUAUACCACCCAAGGGUUUUACAUAAGUAAAGUUAACUUGUUUAAACUCAAAAGCCCAUACACCGUUAAGGUUGUAAUUUCUAAAGGCACAUAUCCUAUCAUGCAUAUAUCUUACGCAUUGCAUUCAUUAGAUUGUAAUCUUGCCGACGGAGAGUACGUGCUCAUCCCCGAGCAAGGACCUGUCCAAGAGGAGGACCAGGAGCAGGCUUCAGAGGCUGCUAUUGAGGAUCUCCCCGCAGCCCCAGCAAUUGAAGGCAAGCCCCGGUUUUAUGCAUAACCGUAUUAUUAUAUGCUACUUUACUACACUUAAUGCUUGUAGGAUUGUAAUGUGCACUUAAGUGUAGGAGUUGCUUGAAACCUCUAGUUGCAUGAACUUAGGAUUCCUUUUUGAGAUGAAUACUAGUAUGCUAGGUCGAGUAGCUGCUUGCUAAUCAGGAUCUCGGUAGAAGUCGAGUGAUUUUUCUAGCACUUGCGCGAGGUCAGGAAUUGAUUGUAUUCAUCUUGAUAACGGGAUUUAUGUUGGUCUAUGGACUUGGAUCCAGGGAGGAUGCCUUGUCCAUGAGACGGGAAAAAUGAAUUAAGGAUUAAUGUGUGGAUACCUGAGUCAAGCUUUUGAACGUACUAAGCACAUGCCGGGAAAAAUGGUAACCGGUAAACCUAGUACCUGAGUGAAGCCGGGCGCGGACUUUAUCGCUCAUGCGACCUGAGACUGGGUCUCCCAUGCUAGCUAUGGUGGGUACAAGUGCGGUCACUGCACGGCGGCAGCCGGGGUCAGUGGAGCAUUGUAUGCCAAGGCGGUGAGGCCUGGACGCGAACGGGGAAUCGAUGGGGACGGUUGUCUUGUGUGGGUCGGAGUACCCUGACUUGACGUGUGUUUAGGUUUACCUUGCAGGGUUAAAACUCGAUUCGAAUCGUCUGCUUCUCGCAGCUAAUGAGACUGCUUGAUUCCUUGUACUACAUCGAGUAAGAAGUGAAAUGUGGUUAUAUGAGAUAACUUGUUGGUUGAACUAAUUGAUUGUUACCAUGAAUGAUUAGAAGGAGCAAAUCUAGCUAUGUUAAUGAUGGUAGAAUUCGAAAAGCUAAAAUUUGAUUUUAGAAACAGCUAGUGCUUUUGGCAAACCAAACCCCUCAGCCAAACAGCUGCAUAGUCUAGAGGUAGAGGAGUAGACUCCUCACACCGGUUAAGUCUAGCUGAGUAUUAGUAUACUCAGCCUUGCUUGUGGCACCAUUUUUGCAGGUACCAUGCAGGAUUUGGUUGAUGGUGUGACUUGGCCUACUACCCUGCCACCGGGUUGGACGGUCGAGUGGGAUGUUGCUCCGGCAGGAGAGGAGCAUGAGGAGUAGUGGGCUAGGCCUUGCCCAAUUCCUCAUUACCGACGACAUCGAUUAUCCGCUGCACUUUAUUUUGUGAACUUUAUUUGCUACUCAAAAACUCCGAUUUAUGUAAUAACUCAGUACUUAAUUUGAGGUUUCCUGUUUUAUUGUAUUUCUUCUGUGACUCACCUUCGAGUGAGAUUGUGGAAUUUGAUCCUGGUUAAGUGGCUUCAUCAGACUAGAUCUGAGGGACUGACGGGUUAUUCCGAUUUAAGUGUAUUACGGCCCCUGAGGCGUGACUUAGGCACUUAAGCUGGAAUAAUUCGGGCGGUUCUGCCACAGUAGUGAGAGCACCUAGAGGGGGGGUGAAUAGGUGAUCCUGUAAAAACUUAACUUAUAGCCACAAAAACUUGUUAGAGGUUAGCACAAUAAUUGCCAAGUGGCUAAAGAGAAGAUCUUGCACAAUACGACAAUCACAGAGAAUUCAACACAGAGGAGACACGGUGAUUUAUCCCGUGGUUCGGCCAAGUACAAAACUUUCCUACUCCACGUUGUGGCGUCCCAACGGACGAGGGUUGCAAUCAACCCCUCUCAAGCGGUCCAAAGACCCACUUGAAUACCACAGUAUUUUGCCUUGCUUAUCUUUAUCCCACUUGCGAGGAAUCUCCACAAAUUGGAGUCUCUCGCCCUUACACUUAAGAUUCACAAAGAAGCACGGAGUAAGGGAGGGAAGCAACACACACAAAUCCACAGCGAAACGCGCACACACACGGCCAAGAUUCGAGCUCAAAGACUAUCUCACAGUUUCUCACAAGAACAGAGCUCGAAUCACUUAGAAUCACAAACGGAUGCGCAAAGACUGAGUGUGGAUGAUCAAGAAUGCUCAAGAGUUGCUUGGUUAUCUCCUCCAUGCGCCUAGGGGUCCCUUUUAUAGCCCCAAGGCAGCUAGGAGCCGUUGAGAGCAAAUCUGGAAGGCUGAUCUUGCCUUCUGUCGUCGGGCGCACCGGACAGUCUGGUGCACACCGGACAGUGUCCGGUGCCCGAUUCCUUUCCUUAAAUGGCGAAGCCGACCGUUGCAGAUGCGGGAGCCGUUGGCGCACCGGACAUGUCCGGUGCACACCGGACAGUCCGGUGCCCCCUUCCGACCGUUGGCUCGGCCACGUGUCCCGCGCAGAUCGCGCGGCCGACCGUUGGCCCUGGCCGACCGUUGGCUCACCGGACAGUCCGGUGCACACCGGACAGUCCGGUGAAUUUUAGUCGAACGCCGUCAGCAAAUUCCCGAGAGCGGCCUCUUCGGCCGAGGGAGCCUGGCGCACCGGACACUGUCCGGUGCACCACCGGACACUGUCCGGUGCACCAGACCGAAACAGUCCCUUGGCUGUACACAGCCAAGUCUUCUCUUAUCUUCUUCUAUCUGUUUCUAACACUUAGACAAAUAUAUUAGUACACAAAACCAAUGUACUAAGACUUAGAAACAUACCUUUGUUGUAGAUUUGCACUUUGUUCAUUCAUGGGCAUUGGUUCACAUCUAAGCACUUGUGUUGACGCUUAAUCACCAAAAUACUUAGAAAUGGCCCAAGGGCACAUUUCCCUUUCAAUCUCCCCCUUUUUGGUGAUUUAUGCCAACACAACAUAAAGUAGAUAGAACAAGUGCAAAAUCACUUCAAAUAAAAACUCAAAUUGGUUUUGAUUCAAUUUUGGCAUAUAUGGAUCAUCCUUUGCCACCACUUGGUUUGUUUUUGCAAAUCAAACUCAAAUCUCUAUUUCUAUGUCAAACACACAUGUUGAGGCAUAAAGAGAGUCAUUCCAAAAGAGAUUGAUCAAGGAUUUCAAAAACUCCCCCUAUUUCCCAUAAUCACCACUUCUCCCCACAAGAAGCCAACUUUUGACAAUAGAGACAAUAAGAGACAAUAAAAGCUUUUGACAAAACAAAAACUCACAAAAACUCUAUUCUACUAUUUUCAAAAUCUCUCAAGUGGUAGCUGAUCCAUUUAUUACUUUGGCCUUUAUUUUCUCCCCCUUUGGCAUCAAGCACCAAAACGGGAUCAAUCUUGGCCUUUUAACCCCAUUGCCUCACCAAAGUCUUCAAUUAAGAGCAAAUGGCAAUAAGAUUUCAUGAGAUGAACUUGGAAUUAGUUACCCUCUCAUCGGAGUGCAGUGGAAGUCUUUCAUGGUCCAAGUCCACCUUUUCCCUUUCAAUCCUCCUUCGAGACUAAAUUGUCAAACUCAAGCACAUGGUUAGUCUCAAAGGGUCAAGUUGUAACACAUCUCCCCCUAAACAUGUGCAUCACUUUGCAACGGACUUGUGAGGUCCAGGGAGUGUUUGUAUAACUUGAGCACCAUAAUAAGCAACAAAAUGCAAAAAGGAACAUGAUCAAAAGCAUAAGUACAUGUAUGCUACAAUUCAAUCCAGGUUCCGCGAAUCUAUGACAUUUAGCUCACUACGCAACCUGCAAAAGGUCUUCUCAUCUAGAGGCUUAGUGAAGAUAUCGGCUAGCUGGUUCUCGGUGCUAACAUGAAACACUUCGAUAUCUCCCUUUUGCUGGUGGUCUCUCAAAAAGUGAUGCCGGAUGUCUAUGUGCUUUGUGCGGCUGUGCUCAACAGGAUUCUCCGCCAUGCGGAUAGCACUCUCAUUGUCACAUAGGAGUGGGACUUUGCUCAGAUUGUAGCCAAAGUCCCGGAGGGUUUGCCUCAUCCAAAGUAGUUGCGCGCAACACUGACCUGCGGCAACGUACUCGGCCUCAGCGGUGGAUAGGGCAACGGAUGUUUGUUUCUUAGAGUUCCAUGACACCAGGGACCUUCCUAAGAAUUGGCACGUCCCCGAUGUACUCUUCCUAUCGACCUUACAUCCAGCAUAGUCGGAGUCUGAGUAUCCAACUAAGUCAAAGGUAGACCCCUUUGGAUACCAGAGCCCGAAGCAAGGCGUAGCCACCAAAUACUACUAGCACAUAAGUAAAGCAAAGAACCUAUCAUUGACCGGUAUGCUUUUUGAUCAACGGACUUACCUCCUUUGUUGAGGUCGGUGUGUCCGUCGGUCCCCAUCGGAGUCUUUGCGGGCUUGGCGUCCUUCAUCCCAAACCGCUUUAGCAGAUCUUGCGUGUACUUCGUUUGGGAGAUGAAGGUGCCGUCCUUGAGUUGCUUCACUUGGAACCCAAGGAAGUAGUUCAACUCGCCCAUCAUCGACAUCUCGAAUUUCUGCGUCAUCACCCUGCUAAACUCUUCACAAGACUUUUGGUUAGUAGAACCAAAUAUUAUGUCAUCGACAUAAAUUUGGCACACAAACAAAUCACCAUCACAUGUCUUUGUAAAAAGAGUUGGAUCGGCUUUCCCAACCUUGAAAGCAUUAGCAAUUAAAAAGUCUCUAAGGCAUUCAUACCAUGCUCUUGGGGCUUGCUUAAGUCCAUAGAGCGCCUUAGAGAGCUUACACACGUGGUCGGGGUACCUGUUGGGGGCCUUCGUCCUCCGAAGGUCCUCAAAAACAUGAUCUGACAAUGUUUUCCAAGUGGAUUAUGUGAACAGGUAUUUUCGGAUUCAGAAUUAUGGAUAUGGAGCACGGCCAGGACGAAGCCUGAACCAAACGAAGGUCGAAGACAGCCGAAGCUGUGCGCAGGGAAGCUUCGGCGCGAUGGCAUAAGGGGGAACCGACUUAAAGAUGAAAAGACUUCGGGGGCCUCGACAGAUUUCCAUAAACUUUCAACAAAUGUGAUGGACAUGGAUGUAAUUUCACGUGGGCUGCGUCCCGCGUCUAUAAAUAGAUGAACAGUACUCCCGUACUGUUCACGCUGACUUGGCAUUGGCUUUUUGCGUCACGCUUGUAAUCUUUACCUUCUCUCAGGACCGAAGGUACAUGUGUAAUUUAAAAUCAUUUCUAUUUCUCCACAUGAAUAAAAUAGAAAUGAUUUUAUGUUAAUGUUUAUAUUUCAUGCUUUAUAUGAACCCUUCGGCAUUAUUUAUUAAUUUUACGAAGGUAUGUCCUUUAUGACCUUCGUCCUAAAGCAUUAUUUUCCAAAGGGGCAUAAUGUUUCAGAGGACGAAGGACCUUAAUGUUUAAUAUUUUCUAUGUUGCCUUGUUCUUAACUCUUAGCGUUUGAGAUCAAGUCCCCAACAUUGGCGCCCACCUCCGGUGAACCCACUUCCACUUCGAGUUUUUGUGAACACCUUCGGAAGCUAUAGACCUUCGCUAUGGCGCCGAAGAAAGCUUCAGCGACUGAAGCAGCACCACUACAACCGCUGGACCACAACCAGGAGACCGUCUCUCUUCGGGAGGCCCGAAGCCAGAAGAGAAAAGCCGUCAGCCCGACGCUUGAGGAAGAAGAGCUAGACCAAGAAAUCAGAGAGAUGGAGAUGCUACAUCAACAAGUGCAGAGGAAGAAGGAGAAGAUGGCCCGCCUAGCUGAGUUGCAAAGGCAAAUUGACGAAGCUUCUGAGGAAGUUCGCCAUCUCACUCACGAUGAGCAGAACAGAAGGCCUCAUCAGAAAGACCUUCAUCAGGAGGGCUUCGUCAACGAAGACGACUGGUAUGAUAAUUUCCAUCAGGGAAAUUUUGUUUUUGAUGAUGCUUCUCCUCUGUCUGCUGAGCUGCAGGCUACACCUUGGCCUCCAUCCUAUAAGCCACCCCAGCUCCCCAUGUUUGACGGCCACUCCGACCCGAAGCAAUUCUUGAUGAGCUACGAAGCAACAGUGUCUUCGUACGGGGGCAACGCUGCAAUCAUGGCGAAGUCUUUCGUCAUGGCCGUCAGGAAUGUUGCUCAGACCUGGUAUUCCUCCCUUCGGCCAGGAACAAUCACUUCAUGGCAGAAGCUGAAGGAUAUGUUACUGACCAGCUUUCAAGGAUUUCAAACGAAGCCGGUUACAGCUCAAGCUCUCUUCCAGUGUAUUCAGGAUCACGAAGAAUACCUUCAGGCGUAUGUUCGAAGGUUCUUACGAUUGAGGGCGCAGGCACCAACGGUGCCCAAUGAAAUCGUUAUCGAAGCCAUGAUCAAGGGGCUUCGUCCUGGACCUGCAGCUCAAUACUUUGCUCGGAAGCCUCCUCAGACCUUGGAGAAAUUGCUCCAAAAGAUGGAUGAGUACAUUCGUGCUGACAAUGACUUUCGCCAAAGAAGGGAGGAGGCCUUCAGAUUUUCUGAGAUGACCAGGGGCUUCGGAGGAAGAUACUACCCGAGGCAUGUCCGUUCCAUUCACAGCACUCAGAAUGAUGAUAAGGGGAGUCAGCAAAACAGGCCGCAGUGCUCCUCACAGGCUUCGGGGCAACAACAAACUUCCUUUCGGCCACCAGCUCCAAGAGGCAGAGGCGCCAGGGGCUUCGGCGGAAGAUUCGGAGAUCAGCCAAGGAGACUGUUUUGCCUAUUCUGUGGAGAGGGCAAGGGCCACACCACUAGGACGUGCCAUGUUACAAUCCAGAAGCAAAAGGAACUAGCCGAAGCUGCAUCUCAACAAGCUCAGUCGAAGCAGGUUAUGCAUACUGCUUCGUUUCAUCCGCCUUAUGUCCCACAAUACAUAGACAACCACCCUGCGGCUUCUGUAGCUUCGGCAAGUCAACCUCAAGCUUCCUGGCAGCAGCCUCCGCCUCCACCUCCAUUGCAGCAAGGUCAACAGCCAGAAGGGAGUCAAUACGCUCCACAGCAGAGGGACUUCAGAGAACAGUCCGAAGCUCGCACAGUCAACAGCACUGUGCCAGAGUCGAAGCACAUUUAUUGACAUAUCCUACCUUUGAUAGCAGUCUUUUCUAUUCAGUUUUAUUUUCUGUGAAGCAAAAAACAUUGAUAGUUUCCAUGUAAUAAUUUCGUUGUUUCCACGAGAAAAAUUUAUUUGAUUCACAGGCCUAAGUUGCCGAAGCCUAAAAUUUCUUCCGUUACCAAGAAGGACCUUCGGACUAAAAAUCCUUCGGAGUAACAAAAAGUCGUUCUAAGGAACGCAGAGUAAGUUUAUAAAGUCACAAAAAGUCGUUCCAAAGGGAGCGCAGCGUAAGUUUUCUGCUCAGAAGUCGUUCCUAAAGGAAUGCAGAGCCUACAGCGAAAAAUCAACGCUGAUACCGUCUAAGUAAAAGACGAAGAAGCUCCUAAGGGAGGCUUACAGCGAAAAGUCAACGCUGAUACCGUCUAAGUAAAAGACGAAGAAGCUCCUAAGGGAGGCUUACAGCGAAAAGUCAACGCUGAUGCCGUCUAAGUAAAAGACGAAGAAGCUCCAAAGACGUUCCUAAGGGAAUGCAGAGCUUACGAAUAUAUUUUAUGUGUAUCUUCGGAACAAAUGUCACAUGCAUAACAUAACAUCAUCACAUCAUUUUGCAUAGCAUAAGCAUCAUACAUCAUAUCGCAUUUGGCAAGAGAAGGGGACACUCUCAACCUUCGAAGGGAUGCUUUGAAAAAGUGACAUUGAAAUUGUAUAGCUUCGGAAUACAGUUUCGGGGAAUAUUUUCACGAAACAUGGGCGAACUUUAUCAGAUCAAUAUCAAAGUUGCAUAGCUUCGGAAAAUAGCUUCGGAAAAUGUUUUCACGAGGCAUCGAUGUCAUUCAUCAGAAUAAUUUUGACGAAGGCUAUCUUCUUCACGACGCAUGAAAAGAAGGGAAGGUGUUUUUUCGCCGAAGGCUCAAAAGUGGUAUGUAUUUAAAGUUUCAUGCAUCGUAAAGAAUUCAGUAAUGAAAAGAGACUUGUAUAUUACAUUCAAAUGUACAAAGUGUUGCAUAGAUUACACUUUAAAUGUUUUUUCCAAAUAGCACCUAAUCUUCCCUCAAUACUGCUUUGGCGGCUUCAUUCAGAAGUUGGUCAACAACCUUGUCCAUGAUAGUUUCGGCCAUUUGAUUAAUUUCUUCAUCCCCUUUUGUGUGGGGGACGGCAGAUCGUCCAACAGUUUCUGAGCGAAGAGAACACUUCUUCAGUACUUUUACAAAUCGCGAGCAAAGUUUAAAAUGAAAAUUACAACGCAACAAGAACGACUAGUUGGUACCUAACUGUCUUUCGGGCUCCCUACUCCUUUCGGCAGCGUCCGCUACUCUUCUAGCAUCGUGAAUGCCUUUUUCGCUUCUUUCAAUGAUCUCUCGCGCCAUUCCUCGGCCGCCGUCGUUCCAAAUAUCAGUAAAAAAUUUGCCUCCAACUGCGCUCGCUUCGGCCGAGGGGUCCUUGAUGUCUUCGGAAGAUAAGGUAGCUUCGGAUUGAGCUAAAAAUUUUACAUGUUCGCAACCUUUCUUCUCUAAGACGGAAGCAAUUCCUCUGGCGCCCGAAAAAGCACAUAUGUCGCCACGACUGUUCAGAAUCUCUUCGAAGGCCUCUGCUUCGUGGCUAAUCCAUUCCAGCGGACCUUCGGGAUUGCCUCGAGAGAAAUUCUCUUCGCUGGAAAAAGCGCCUACGCUGGCGAAGCUGGAUUUAAUUUUAUUAACACAUUCUACAGAUUUCACAUAAUAUUUCCCCUGAGAUGUGCGAAGCUCCUUAACUCUUGAUUCCAAUUUGCUGACCAUAAAAUCACUAAGUUCUCGUUUCGUUUCCUCAAGAGCGCGAUCCUCUUCGGCUCUGGCCAGCUGUUUCUGAAGAUCUUUAAUUUCGAGUUUUUGAGCUUCGGCCUGGGCCUUUGAAGCAGCUUCGUCUUUUCUCACUUUAUCUACCAGUGUAAGCAGAAUCUUAUCUUUUUCCAAAGCUUCGUUUCUCAGUUUGAUAACUUCGGAGCGUAAAUUAUUAAACGCAAUUUCAUAACUUUCAUCUUCGGCGCUCUUUUGCGCUCUUAACGCGUUGCUUAGGAUCAGGCCCUAUAUGAAAAAGAAUUCAUAUAAGAAAAAAGGAAUGAGUUGCGUAAAAAAAAAUAGGGGGUUUUUUCUCAAGUGUUUAAUUCCCGUACCUUCAGGCUGUUGUACGCGAGGCUGUCUGCGAGAUCCUCUUUCGUCAUGGCGCUUAACCCAGCUUCAAGCUUCGGAAAGCCUAUGCUUCUCGCCAUCUCUCGGCAGACGGAUAGCUCUUUGUUAUCAGGCAGGCAGUAUAAGAAGUCAUCUUCAUUUGUUCCAUUGAAUAUUACUGCCCCCUUCGGAUAUUUCAGCUCCUUUGCAUAAUGGUUGGCCUCAUGAGUUUCUUCCUCAGAUAGCUUUUUCCCCGAAACAUGUCGUAUGAUGUAAUCAUGCAUGCCGGCAGGUGCUUCGGGGAUGACGGUGUCCGUUUCUUCAACUAAUAUUGGUUCCGGAAUUUUUACUGCUUCGGCUUCAAAAGGUUGUUCUUUGAAGGGCUCUGAAGGCCCAGCUUUAGCUUCAGCUUGUUGCGCCGAAGCUUCAGUAGAAGUUUCAGCAAUCCCAACACUCUUUUUUGGAGUUGUGCUUGAAGACUUAAUCGUUUCCAAGACAUCUAGUACAUUUACCAUUCUUUUCCUUUUCGGGGUCAUCGUCGGCCCCUUUUGGAUUUUUGCUGCUCCGACAUUUACUAUAGGACUCAAAACUUCUGAUGCUUUUUCCGUAGUCGGUUUUUUCACUUCUAUUUUUUCUGUGGAUGGCGUUUCGGCCAACACUACAACUUCUGGCAGCAAGGUUGGCUGUUCAGCUUCGGCGGCCGAAGAUGUUUCCCCGGUAAACUCAGGCACCGAAGCUGGUUCAAUAUGGCGUGGCCGGUGUGUGAGGACCUUCAACCUUUUUUCUUUCGGUACUGGCUCGCUAGGAGCAGUUACAGCUUCUUCUUUUUCAGAAGUUGUGUUUUUCCUUUUUUGCCUUCGGAUGGGAUAAUGAUAAUCAGGGUAGAAGAACCCGACUGCAUCAAACACUCGGUUGAGUCUCUUCUUUUUUCGGCCUCCGAAGGCUGCUGAUAGCGCAGUAUGUUCAGCCUUCGAAUAUGCCCCAAGUAGAUCAUCACUUAAUGUUUCAAUGCUCUUCAACCAGUCAUCAUCAGGUUCAACGAAUUUAUCAGCAUAUUUGAAUGUGUAUUUCAGUCUAACUAGACCGCCUUCGUCGGGCUCUUUAAUGGUCUCCUUCGGCAUUUCCCACUUCUCCGCAAGUGGCCAUACCCUGAAUGCAAUGUGUUCUUGGACCAAGUCCCUUGACCCAAUAAACGAGCAGACUACCCCAAAGGCCCUUUGGCACUCUUCGGCGGCUUCGUCCAUUUCAACCUUCGGCCUUCGAAGACCGAAGCGUUGCCAGAUUGGUCGCAUAAUGAUUUUCUUCACAUUUUCUUGAGCUGUUAGGUCAUUCUUCACGUAAAACCAUUCAGUCAUCCAGGCUCCGGGCCACCUCUUCCGAAAGGUCGGCACAGGGCAGCUUGACCCGGAGCGCGCGCCGAAGCUGUAGCACCCAAAGUUGUUGUGGUAUUGCUCCUUUCCCCAGGGCUUCGUCUCGUAUAACAACUCAUGAAUGUUACAGAAGCUUUUAGCGUUUGGUUCCAAACCUUGGCUCCUUGCAGCCCAGGCAAAUAUCCCCAUUCUUAUAAUGGCUUCGGGAGUAAUUUGAUGCAAGAAGAUUUGAAAUGUUUUCAGUACUUCAACAACGAAGUUGCUUAAGGGAAAUCGAAGCCCAGCUUUGAGAAAGCUUCGGAAGAUUACGACCUCAUCUUCUUCGGGGGUGGGGGUAGUCUUUUCUCCAGCAUCAGCCCUCACAAUAGUUAUAUCUCGAAAGUAUCGCCCCCUCAUAUUAUCAAUAUGGCUCUGUUUGAUGGCAGUUUUCCCAAAAACCGCGUGACUUGGUCGCCACGGUCGAUCUUCGGCCUCUUCCCCGCCACUCUCCACAUCAAAACUGUCGCUGUCAUCAGUGUCUUCGGACAGACCUUCAAGGAUUUCCUUGGUGAUUUUCUCUGUAUUGGUUUCCGCCAUUGCCAUAAUAAACCCUAAGUUCUUCUCCUCCUCGAGACUCAGCUUCGUUUCAGUAGGGAUCUUCUUGCCUUCAGACAUCUUCGGAAACGCUAAAAAAAUUAUUCCCGAGACCGAAGCUUCAAAACCAAAAAGACCAGCAAAACUUGGUGCACAAGAGCUAAAAAUUUUAGUGGGCCGAAGCAGAAGGCAAGUGUGCGUACCAAAUGAGUUCGCGAUGUGAUCUUAUUUAUACGCCUAGGGCGUUGAAAAUUGAAAGGCCCCGCUUGUCAGUGAAUGUUGCUAUUCUAGCAAAGGGAAGGUGUUUUUUCGGACCUUCGGCUCAAGGCCUUCGUCCAUAUCGCAAUCUGAAUUUAUUACUUACAAAUUAAUAUUGCGAGGGGCUACUGUUGGGGGCCUUCGUCCUCCGAAGGUCCUCAAAAACAUGAUCUGACAAUGUUUUCCAAGUGGAUUAUGUGAACAGGUAUUUUCGGAUUCAGAAUUAUGGAUAUGGAGCACGGCCAGGACGAAGCCUGAACCAAACGAAGGUCGAAGACAGCCGAAGCUGUGCGCAGGGAAGCUUCGGCGCGAUGGCAUAAGGGGGAACCGACUUAAAGAUGAAAAGACUUCGGGGGCCUCAACAGAUUUCCAUAAACUUUCAACAAAUGUGAUGGACAUGGAUGUAAUUUCACGUGGGCUGCGUCCCGCGUCUAUAAAUAGAUGAACAGUACUCCCGUACUGUUCACGCUGACUUGGCAUUGGCUUUUUGCGUCACGCUUGUAAUCUUUACCUUCUCUCAGGACCGAAGGUACAUGUGUAAUUUAAAAUCAUUUCUAUUUCUCCACAUGAAUAAAAUAGAAAUGAUUUUAUGUUAAUGUUUAUAUUUCAUGCUUUAUAUGAACCCUUCGGCAUUAUUUAUUAAUUUUACGAAGGUAUGUCCUUUAUGACCUUCGUCCUAAAGCAUUAUUUUCCAAAGGGGCAUAAUGUUUCAGAGGACGAAGGACCUUAAUGUUUAAUAUUUUCUAUGUUGCCUUGUUCUUAACUCUUAGCGUUUGAGAUCAAGUCCCCAACAGUACCGUUCAUCCUCGAAGCCAGGGGGUUGCUCCACGUACACCUCCUCCUUGAUCGGCCCGUUGAGGAAAGCGCUCUUCACAUCCAUUUGGAACAGCUUGAAAGAAUGGUGAGCGGCAUAUGCUAGCAGGAUACGAAUAGACUCUAGCCUAGCCACAGGAGCAAAAGUCUCCUCGAAAUCCAAACCUGCGACUUGGGCAUAACCUUUUGCCACAAGUCGAGCCUUGUUUCUUGUCACCACCCCGUGUUCGUCCUGUUUGUUGCGGAACACCCACUUGGUUCCCACAACAUUUUGCUUCGGACGAGGCACCAGCGUCCAAACUUCAUUUCUCUUAAAGUUGUUGAGCUCCUCCUGCAUGGCCAACACCCAGUCCGGAUCUAGCAAGGCCUCCUCUACCCUGAAAGGCUCAAUAGAAGAGACAAAGGAGUAAUGCUCACAAAAAUUAACUAAUCGAGAUCGAGUAGUUACUCCCUUGCUAAUGUCACCCAGAAUUUGGUCGACGGGAUGAUCCCUUUGAAUCAUCGCUCGAACUUGGGUUGGAGGUGCUGGUUGCGCAUCUUCCUCCAUCACACGAUCAUCUUGUGCUCCCCCUUGAUCACACGCCUCCAGUUGAUGAACCUGUUCAUCGUCUUGAGUUGGGGGUAGCACCAUAGUUGAGGAAGAUGGUUGAUCUUGUUCAUCUUGUUCCUGUGGUCGCACUUCUCCAAUCGCCAUGGUUCGUAUAGCGGCCGUCGGAACAUCUUCUUCAUCUAUAUCAUCACAAUCAACAACUUGCUCUCUUGGAGAGCCAUUAGUCUCAUCAAAUACAACGUCGCUAGAGACUUCAACCAAACCCGAUGAUUUGUUGAAGACUCUAUACGCCUUUGUAUUUGAGUCAUAACCUAAUAAAAACCCUUCUACAGCUUUGGGAGCAAACUUAGAAUUUCUACCCUUCUUCACUAGAAUGUAGCACUUGCUCCCAAAUACACGAAAGUAAGAUACAUUGGGUUUGUUACCGGUUAGAAGCUCAUACGACGUCUUCUUGAGGAGGCGGUGAAGGUAGACCCUGUUGAUGGCGUGGCACGCCGUGUUCACGGCUUCCGACCAAAAACGCUCGGGGGUCUUGAACUCUCCAAGCAUAGUCCUCGCCAUGUCGAUUAGCGUCCUGUUCUUCCUCUCUACCACACCAUUUUGCUGUGGUGUGUAGGGAGCAGAGAACUCAUGCUUGAUCCCUUCCUCCUCAAGGAACUCCUCCACUUGAAGGUUCUUGAACUCGGACCCGUUGUCGCUCCUUAUCUUCUUCACCUUGAGCUCAAACUCAUUUUGAGCUCUCCUGAGGAAGCGCUUGAGGGUCCCUUGGGUUUCAGACUUAUCCUGCAAAAAGAACACCCAAGUGAAGCGGGAAAAGUCAUCAACAAUAACUAGACCAUACUUACUCCCUCCUAUGCUCAGAUAUGCGACGGGUCCGAAGAGGUCCAUAUGCAGCAGCUCCAGGGGUCUUGAAGUGGUCAUCACAUUCUUGCUGUGAUGUGCUCCUCCCACUUGUUUACCUGCUUGACAAGCUGCACAAGGUCUAUCUUUUUCGAAAUGCACGUUAGUUAAACCUAUCACGUGUUCUCCCUUUAGAAGCUUGUGAAGGUUCUUCAUCCCCACAUGUGCUAAGCGGCGAUGCCACAGCCAGCCCAUGCUAGUCUUAGCUAUUAAGCAUGCAUCUAGACCGGCCUCUUCUUUUGCAAAAUCAACUAAAUAAAGUUUGCCGUCUAAUACACCCUUAAAAGCUAGUGAACCAUCACUUCUUCUAAAGACAGACACAUCUACAUUUGUAAAUAGACAGUUAUACCCCAUGUGACAUAAUUGACUAACAGAUAGCAAAUUAUAUCCAAGACUCUCUACUAAAAAUACAUUAGAGAUAGAAUGCUCAUUAGAAAUCGCAAUUUUACCUAACCCUUUUACCUUGCCUUGAUUCCCAUCACCGAAUAUAAUUGAAUCUUGGGAAUCCUUAUUCUUGACGUAGGAGGUGAACAUCUUCUUCUCCCCCGUCAUAUGGUUUGUGCAUCCGCUAUCAAUAAUCCAGCUUGAACCCCCGGAUGCAUAAACCUGCAAGGCAAAUUUAGGCUUGGGACUUAGGUACCCAACUCAUGUUGGGUCCUACAAGGUUAGCACAAAUAUUCUUAAGGACCCAAAUGCAAGUUUUAUCUCCCUUGCAUCUUGCCCCUAACUUUCUAGCAACAAUUUUCUUAUCCUUUCUACAAAUAGCAAAGGAAGCAUUUAGAGCACAAUAAAUUUCGGAAGGUUCAUUCACUACUUUCCUAGGAGCAUUAUGAACUACAUUUCUCCUAGGCAUUUGGUGAACAACAUUUCUUCUAAACACAUUUCUACCAUGCAUAACAUGAGAACUAGAAGCAGUCAUAGCAUAAGAGUCAUAAGCAUGUGAAUCAAAAACAUCAUUACUUCUAAAAGCAUUUCUAGAGUAUCUUCUAUCAUAGUACAUGAAAGCAUGAUUCUUCUUAACACUAUUAGCCAUAGGAGCCUUCCCUUUCUCCUUGGUGGAGAUAGGAGUCUUAUGGCUUGUUAAGUUCUUGGCUUCUCUCUUGAAGCCAAGACCAUCCUUAAUUGAGGGGUGUCUACCCACUGUGUAGGCAUCCCUUGCAAAUUUUAUUUUAUCAACUUCACUCUUGCUAGUCUUAAGUUGAGCAUUAAGACUAGCCACUUCAUCAUUUAGUUUUGAAAUUGAAACUAGGUGUUCACUACAAGCAUUAACAUCAAAAUCCUUACACCUAGUGCAAAUUGUAAUAUUUUCAACAUACGAGUUACUUGCUACUUCUAGUUUAGCAGUUAAAUCGUUAAUUUCACCUUUUAAAGAAGAAAUGGUUUCAUUACAAGUAGAGAGUUCACAAGAAAGUAUUCCAUUUCUUUUAACUUCUAGAGCAAGUGAAUUUUGUGCACUAACAAAUUUAUCAUGUUCUUCAUAUAAAAGGUCUUCUUGUUUCUCUAAGAUUCUAUCCUUUUCAUUUAAGGCAUCAAUCAACUCAUUAAUCUUAGCUAUCUUAGUUCUAUCCAAUCCCUUGAAUAAACUAGAGUAAUCAAUUUCAUCCUCACUAGAUUCAUCAUCACUAGAAGAAUCAUAAGUAUUAGCAUUACGAGUGAUUACCUUCUUUUCCCUUGCCAUGAGGCAAGUGUGAUGCUCGUUGGGGAAGAGAGCCGAUUUGUUGAAGGCAGUGGCGGCGAGUCCUUCGUCGUCGGAGUCGGACGAAGAGCAACCCGAAUCCCACUCCUUUCCAAGGUGUGCUUCGCCUUUGGCCUUCUUGUAAGCCUUCUUGUUCUCUCUCUUCCCAUUUUUCCCUUGCUCCUGGUCACUAUCAUUUUCGGGACAGUUAGCAAUAAAAUGACCAAGCUUACCGCAUUUGAAGCAUGAUCGCUUUCCCUUGGUCUUGGCCUUGCUUGGCUGUCCCUUUCGACCUUUUAGCGCCGUCUUGAAUCUCUUGAUGAUGAGAGCCAUCUCUUCAUCAUUGAGCCCGGCCGCCUCAACUUGCGCCACCUUGCUAGGAAGCGACUCCUUGCUCCUUGUUGCCUUUAGAGCAAUGGGUUGAGGCUCAUGGAGUGGACCGUUCAAUGCGUCGUCGACGUAUCUUGCCUCCUUGAUCAUCAUCCGCCCGCUCACGAAUUUUCCAAGUACUUCCUCGGGCGUCAUCAUCGUGUACCUGGGAUUCUCACGAAUAUUGUUCACGAGAUGAGGAUCAAGAACGGUAAAGGACCUGAGCAUUAGGCGGACGACGUCGUGAUCCGUCCAACGUGUGCUUCCGUAGCUCCUUAUUUUGUUGAUAAGAGUCUUGAGCCGGUUGUAGGUUUGAGUUGGCUCCUCUCCCCUUAUCAUGGCGAAUCGUCCAAGCUCGCCCUCCACCAACUCCAUCUUGGUGAGCAUGGUGAUGUCGUUCCCCUCGUGAGAGAUCUUGAGGGUGUCCCAUAUCUGCUUGGCAUUGUCCAAGCCACUCACCUUAUUGUACUCUUCCCUGCACAAAGACGCUAAGAGAACAGUAGUAGCUUGUGCAUUUCUAUGAAUUUGUUCAUUUAUAAGCAUAGGGCUAUCCGAGCUAUCAAAUUUCAUUCCAUUCUCCACAAUCUCCCAUAUGCUUGGAUGGAGAGAGAAUAAGUGACUACGCAUUUUGUGACUCCAAAAUCCGUAGUCCUCCCCAUCGAAGUGUGGAGGUUUGCCAAGAGGAAUGGAAAGCAAAUGCGAAUUCGAACUAUGUUGAAUACGAGAAUAAUCAAAUGAAAAGUUCGAAUUGACCGUCUUUUUGUAGUCGUUGUCAUCAUCCUUUUGGGAAGAAGUAGACUCAUCACUAUCGUCGUAGUAGAUGAUCUCCUUGAUGCGCCUUGUCUUCUUCUUCUUCCCUUCCUUCCGUCUAUGCCCCGAGCCGGAGUCGGUAGGCUUGUCGUCCUUCAGCUCGUUGACGAAGGAUUCCUUCUCUUUGUCGUUGAUCACGAUUCCCUUCCCCUUAGGAUCCAUCUCUUCGGGCGGUAAGUCCCUUUGUGAAGAGAACGGCUCCGAUACCAAUUGAGAGCACCUAGAGGGGGGGGUGAAUAGGUGAUCCUGUAAAAACUUAACUUAUAGCCACAAAAACUUGUUAGAGGUUAGCACAAUAAUUGCCAAGUGGCUAAAGAGAAGAUCUUGCACAAUACGACAAUCACAGAGAAUUCAACACAGAGGAGACACGGUGAUUUAUCCCGUGGUUCGGCCAAGUACAAAACUUUCCUACUCCACGUUGUGGCGUCCCAACGGACGAGGGUUGCAAUCAACCCCUCUCAAGCGGUCCAAAGACCCACUUGAAUACCACAGUAUUUUGCCUUGCUUAUCUUUAUCCCACUUGCGAGGAAUCUCCACAAAUUGGAGUCUCUCGCCCUUACACUUAAGAUUCACAAAGAAGCACGGAGUAAGGGAGGGAAGCAACACACACAAAUCCACAGCGAAACGCGCACACACACGGCCAAGAUUCGAGCUCAAAGACUAUCUCACAGUUUCUCACAAGAACAGAGCUCGAAUCACUUAGAAUCACAAACGGAUGCGCAAAGACUGAGUGUGGAUGAUCAAGAAUGCUCAAGAGUUGCUUGGUUAUCUCCUCCAUGCGCCUAGGGGUCCCUUUUAUAGCCCCAAGGCAGCUAGGAGCCGUAGAGAGCAAAUCUGGAAGGCUGAUCUUGCCUUCUGUCGUCGGGCGCACCGGACAGUCCGGUGCACACCGGACAGUGUCCGGUGCCCGAUUCCUUUCCUUAAAUGGCGAAGCCGACCGUUGCAGAUGCGGGAGCCGUUGGCGCACCGGACAUGUCCGGUGCACACCGGACAGUCCGGUGCCCCCUUCCGACCGUUGGCUCGGCCACGUGUCCCGCGCAGAUCGCGCGGCCGACCGUUGGCCCUGGCCGACCGUUGGCUCACCGGACAGUCCGGUGCACACCGGACAGUCCGGUGAAUUUUAGUCGAACGCCGUCAGCAAAUUCCCGAGAGCGGCCUCUUCGGCCGAGGGAGCCUGGCGCACCGGACACUGUCCGGUGCACCACCGGACAGUCCGGUGCCCCAGACCGAAACAGUCCCUUGGCUGUACACAGCCAAGUCUUCUCUUAUCUUCUUCUAUCUGUUUCUAACACUUAGACAAAUAUAUUAGUACACAAAACCAAUGUACUAAGACUUAGAAACAUACCUUUGUUGUAGAUUUGCACUUUGUUCAUUCAUGGGCAUUGGUUCACAUCUAAGCACUUGUGUUGACGCUUAAUCACCAAAAUACUUAGAAAUGGCCCAAGGGCACAUUUCCCUUUCAAGUAGCUGCACAAGCGUUUUCAAUUAUUUUUUGUAACUUUAGAAUUAAUUGCCCGCCACAAUGAACAGAGACAUUAUAGGCAACAUUCCUUUUUGAUAGCUGCAUAUAUUUGUUUUAGAUUUUAAUUUUUUACAGCAAUAUGGGUGAUAGUGCCGAUUGGAAUGAAGAUAACACUGCUCUAGUGUGUGAAUUGUUUGUCGAACAAGUGAAGGCGCACAACCGUUCUGGUACCCACUUAAAUAAAAUAGGGUACAAAAAUGUGAUGGACAAAUUCAAAGAAAAUACUGGGUUGUCCUACACCAAAAUGAAGUUCAAGAACAAAUGGGACAAGAUGAGGAUUUUCAGAGAUGUGAUCGAAACCCAGAUUAUAUCCCUACUAUUCCAUCCCGUUAUAGGCGAUAUGUCCCUCAGAAUGCAUCAGAUACAUCCACCACAGGGUCGAGUAGUAGGAACAUGAAUAGGUUCCGCGAUGAUGUAUCGAAGGUACUUUGGAAGUCGAGGUGAUUAGAAAAGGUGGUUCGUGUCAUAUUUUGGAUAUUGUGUCAUGCUAGUUUUAUGCAAUUUAUGGAUUAAACAUUUGAGACCAUUUUAUGCACUACUAUGAUGGGAAUAUUUUAUAUGUUAUUGUUUCAUAAUUUUUUUUCCAGAUAUGCAUCCUACUUAUUGGUUUGUAACAAAGUUGAAAUGCAAAGGGUAAAACAGACAAUCGCCAUAGACCACCAACUCUCAGCAGACAAGAAUCAGUUUACUUGCCAAACAGUUUUAAAAAUGAUUCUGAUUCUCUAUGAGAAUCAGGAGGAUCUGCUCCUCAGGAGGAUCAGGAUCAGGAGCUAAAGAAGCAAGAGCUGGAGCUUUGCCAAACGGGCCCUAAAAAUAACAAAAUGCUGUUAACUGUACAUAUAAAAAACUGUAUGCACAUGUAGACUGUUAAAGGUUCUGAAUGUAUGAAAAGGGAUAAUUGUAUGACUGACCUGCUGAAUCAGCCGAAUUCCUCGAAUGUUGUGGCUCAUCUGUCUCGUUUUCUAAAUUAUCGGACUUGGCACGUAGUACCUCGUCGAUCAGCUCUAUAAACUUGUCUGCUAUGUCAUAUUGCUUCACAAUAAUUUUGUCAAUGCUGUCUUUUAUGGCUAUGCAUGACUUGUCAACCUCCAAGUCAUAUGCAUCAAGAAUGUCUGUGAAUUUAGAUCGAUGACGAGGUGGGAGCUCGUUGAUCUUACUUGACAUCAUCUCCUUGAUCAAUGGAAGUUGGAUGUUAAAAGUGGGCCGAGGAGUAGGGGCAGGGCGCGGUGCAUAAAAAAUGUUGGUCCUGCACUUCGACUGGUUGUUCAGCAAAAAUAAUAAGAAUCCAUGACCACAUUCCUAUUCCAUUUGUUCCAUGAAUCUUAAAAAUAUAUGUAUAUAAUACAUCAUAAACUUGCCUCGGAUUGGCGAUCGAGCUUAGGUACAACUGAAUAGCAUGUCUCGGUCGAGCUUCGAAACUAAAAUAUAAAAUUAAAGUGAAAGUUGAAAUGGACCAUGAGUUUGUUAUGCAAACAAUGGUACUAGAAACAAAGGACAUAUAAUUGACAUAAAAUUUGUCAUAAAAUACACUUGGUUAAAUAUGAAUAACUUACUUCACAAUGUCCGAAAGGUUCGGCCCCAUGGCGUACCUUCCUCUUGUCGGCUUUAGUCAAAGCUUUUAUGAUAUUCUUAUCAAAGAAUUUAAUGCGAGGUGUGCCAAGCUUAUUUUGAAGGGCAGCGGCUGCAUGUAGGUGAUCCAGGUAAUACAACUACAUAAAAAAAUUACAAUGUGCAAUAGCUGUGUAAGUAAACAUAACAAACAUCAUAAAACAUGUUACAUAAUUACCCACAGUGAGCAACCAAAAUUGCAAUAAAUGUACAUAAGGAGAAACUCUAUACUUACAAGGACAACAAUGGAGCAUCCGUAUAUAGUCGUGGAGACAUUUGUGGUGCUUCGGUUGUGCCACUUCUUCGUAGCUUCACAAAGCUCAUUAAAAAUCAACUGGCACCAGUCGGUCUCAUGGAAACGGUGCAUUUCUUCUGUCAGAAGCACUUCAUGAUUUGUUAUGCCCUAGCUAGCAGUUGGAAACAACAGACGGUUGAAUAAAAUGAGGAAGAAACAUUUGAUUGUAAGGUCAUCAUCCUCGCCUUUCCUUAAAGGAUCCUAUAGAAAUGUCACAUUGAACUCGUCUUUAGCCAAACCAAGCUCUGCCCUCAAGUUGCUUGCUGCAACUGCUUCGUCAAUCCCCAAUGGUUUUCCACCGCCAUGAUUUGGUACACCAAGGAUAAGAUGCACAAUGUCCUUUGUGAUCUUUAGUUCCUUUCCUGGACCAGGACGAAUUGUCAUGUCCUUGUGGUCCAGCUUGUCCAUCAACCAUUGAAGGUGUGAUCUACUACACAGCGCAUCUACUGUCAUAUCAAGAAUGUUAGAGAAACCUUUACGUCUUAUGGCCUCACGUUGUCUUUCAUUCAAUAUGUUAAUGCUUGCAAUGACAUCUUGAGGGUUGCACCUCACAUUGAGCCUCUGUUAUACAAUAUAGAACCGGAAAUAAUUUUGUUAUUAUCAAAAAAUAUUCAGAAGCUUACAAAUAGGAAAUUGUUUGUUGAGUAUGCAUAACACUAACCUGUCGGGGUAGAACCUCAGGUUUAAUCCUCUUUGUCACAACUUAUCUUAGAACUCUUGUAUGGCUUUCAGAAACAUUACGCUUCUUAAGAGCUGGCAUGAAGUCAUCUUCAUCAGAAUCAAGUUGUACUGUUUCAUUGAUCAAAGUUUGACUGUCAACAUUUGGAGGAUUUCCAACUUCUGGACUUGGAUUGGACUGUUCUGCGCACGAAAUGUCAACACUGAAACACUCCUGGCUUGACUGAAUUGUUAUACGUUUGGGGUUAUUCGGAGGACGGUCCACGUGCUUCAUUUUUUGAAGUAAAAGUUGCAUGCAUAAUACACAAUACUGUAAAAAUUAAUCUGUUGGAUAUGCAUAUGUAUUUAUUGUGUGGUAUCAUUGAAUCAAUGAACCUAAUUGUUUUAAAUACCAAGCAUAAAAGUAAUCUGUAGAAAUUUUGCAUGGUACUAAUAAUAUGUUUCAAUAAACAUCUGAAUAUACUGUUCUCUAGUUACAUUUGCAUACAUAUAUUGUCAUGUUCAAUCAUAAUAAAAAUCUGAAUAUGUUUCAAUAAAAACAGACCUUGCUGUAACCAAUAAUGUAUUAGCUAUAAACAUCUGGAAUACAUAAAUGUAUGCACUAAACAUAUAUGAAAUUUUAUAUAAAUCAUAUACUCUAUGAAAAACAACUAAUUGAUUGCUCAUUUACUAAAAACAGUUGCAUACAUGUUCUGUCCUGUUCUACAAUCAUAAAAAUAUGAAUAUGUUUCAGAAAAAUAAAGCUUGCUAUAAACAGUAAUGUAUUAACAAUAGACUAAUGAAUACAUAAAUGAUUGCAUAUCACUAACCAGAUAAGAAAUUCUGAAUAAAUAAUAUACUCUACCAAAAACAACUAAUUGACAGCUCCUUUACAACAAUCACUUGCAUACAUGUUUUGUCCUAUUUUAUAAUCAUAACAAACUAAAUAUGUUUGAACAAAACAAAACUUGCUAUAAACAUUACUAUAUUAACUGUGAACUAGUGGAAUAAAUAAUGUCCUGUUUUAUAAUAAAAAAAACUGAAUAUGAUUCAAUAAAACAAUACAUGCUGUGAACAGUAAUGUAUUAACUAUAAACUAAUGGAAUAAAUAAAUGUAUGCAGUCACUAAAAGUAUAUGGACUUUUCAAUGAAUCAUAUACUCUACAAAAACAACUAGCUGACCACUCCAUUACCACUUGAACAUCAUCUAUAUAAAAAAAACUUUAACUCAUAUGCAUAAACAUGUAUUCUAAUGUGUGUAACCAAUUGUGUAAAUGUGUGUAAAUGUAUUAAUGCAACUGCAUAAAUAUUUGUCACCCCCGCUGUAAUCCUUAGAAUGCAGUAUGAACAAAAAAACAACACAUUUGUACUUCAGGAGAUCGAUUUACCUUUUUAGGGUUUGCUAACUUUGUUGACGGUCGACGACGAUCCCAGGUAAUGCGACAAGCUAGGGUUGGGAAGAACACACCGUAGAUGGUUGGGGAAGGGCUACCCGUUGGAGCGGUACCCGUUGACGGUGGCGAAUGUGGAAGAUGGCGGAGAACGUGGAAGCAGUCAGGUCGGCAGAGAGGUGGAAGCAGUCGCGUCGGCGGAGAAACUGGGGUUUUCUCCGGUCUGGACUCCCGUCUCCUAUUGCAGCAGCGAGGAUAGUGGAGCGCGGAUUGGGGUCAACAAGGAGGCACCGCUCAACUGCCGAUUGCGACUGGAUCGACAGCGAGCGGCGGAUGGAGCGGAGUCGUUGGGGAUGGCUGAGUCGGCGGAGAGUCCCGGAGUCGCGCGGCGAGGGUUGGGGUUUUCCGGUUGUGUAGUCGGUUAUGGAAACUGAGACCGGGAGAAGAAAGAGGAGCUAAUGGCGACAACACGUCAUUAUAUAUAUGGAAUCUGAAAAGUCCGGUCGGUUGUGAGUGCACGUGCGUUCGUAUUUGGCUGGGGCUUCUUGUAGCUAAAUAGAGCCUAGGGCUCUAAAUACAUACAUACAUAUAUAUAUAUAUAUAUAUAUAUAUAUAUAUAUAUAUAUAUAUAUAUAUAUAUAUAUAUUUGUUUGCUUGUACCUGUUCGUCUUUGCUUCACGUUGUGAUUAGAUCGCGAUCCGUUUCCGAGCUUCGAGGAAUCGACGGUCAAGCUUCGACGACCAUGUGAUCAAGUUCUUUAGGUUCUACAAGGUUGAAGACCCUGAGUAUCUAUUUGGUGAAGGCAGGUGUCCUCUGACCCAUUAUGUCCUACUUACUUAUAAUUCACUAUCCCGCAUUACUUAAUUAAUUGAAACCUAAGGAUUGACUAGCUUUGUAUUUACCUUGUCCUUGAUUACCAUUUGGGUUAUUAUGGUUAGCUUCAUGCUAUUGCUCUACAUUAAUCAAUGAUCAUGAUGAGAAUAUUUAUGAUACGAUGAUGUUAUCUUGAUUAUGAUGAAGAACUUAUGAUACUUUUGGGGACUCGGGUUGUUUCCUGAGUACCUCUCCGUAAGGACCUGUUCGUUGAGAGACCACCCGGGAUAACAGUACAACCAUAAGAGUGGAAUGAGACGCCCUUAGCUGAUUAAUUAGAUGAACUUGGGGGUGUAGUUGGCUUUAUCGGAGGGCCAUCAAUGGGGGUUGUGGCAUAGUGCUUGCUCUGCUAAGGGUGGGUGCCGAGGUUAAUUCAAUUUGGUUUUGUUAGUCACCCACCUUAGGGAGGAGUACUAUAUUUGUACGACUUGAGAAACCUAACGAGCAACUGCACACCAGGGGAAUCUUUGUAAAGGCUACAUAGUGAUACCCUGCCAGGCCACCUAGGUAGUGGUGAAUGGAGAGUAGCACUCUCCGGCAGAAAGGGAAUCAUGGCUCGUGGGUAAAGUGUGCAACCUCUGCAAGGGAAAGAAACUGAUAUAUCAGCCGUGCUCAUGGUUAUGAGCGGCCUUGGGAUCCUCUUUGAUUAGAGAUACAGAUGGUUUGAGAUGCGUUGAUUCUAUCAAUGGUUUUUGGUUCGAUGACGACAAUGAUGUUCCUUGAUGAGGAAAUGGUUCACGGGUUGGUUAUUGCUAAAACUUGGCUUCUACUAAUAAUAAAUACCUAAUGAACUAAAAGUAACUGCUUUGAUCCUAACCCCACAUAAAGCUAGUGCACCUCAGCCAAACGGGACAUUUGCUGAUUACGUUGAUGUGUACUCACCCUUGCUUUCACAAAACACUAGGUUGCUUUGGUGCAACCUAUGCUCAGGUAAAGAAGGAGAAGAAGGCAUCGAGUCGGAUCUCCAUGAGUUCUAGGACUUCGAUGAGUUCAAGGAUUAGGCUAGCGACCUCCCCCAGUCAGCUGCCUGUGGUGGGUUUGUUUUUGUUGGCUAUGUUUCUAUUAUGUGCACUUUGAUUUAUAUUAUGUAAAUGACUCUAGUCUGUAGUAUUAUUACUUACUCUUUAUUGUUAUUCAAAGCAUUGUGCUAUGAUGAGUCAUUUAUAUAAUUGUUGUGUACGUGAAUUUCUGAUCCUGGCAUAUACAUGGUUCGCAUUCGGUUUACCUUCCAAAACCGGGUGUGAUAGGACCCCUCGGGGCACACAUCCAUCAUGAAAGAAAAUGAUGUUGUGGCUGAUGCCCAUGUGAUCGAAGGCAUGCAAGAAAAUGAUAUUGGCCUGACUGCCAUUGUCGACAAGUUCUUUGUGCAGGUCCCAUCCUGCCACUCGGCAGUUGAUCACCAUGGCAUCUGCAUGGGGCGCACUGCAUAGGUCUACGUCUCUUGCGUCGAAGGUGAGUGGUAUAUGAGACCACUUUGUCUGAACGACCGGACGGUGAGGGCUACAUGAUUGACUCUUUGGUAGUGGUCUUUCUUCCGCUGUUUUGUUUCAAACUUAGCGCUCGAUCCACUGGUAAUCAUAUGAUGACCGCUUAAAAGGGUUGAUCGGCGAAGUCCUCUUGUUUGGGCGCUAGUGGUGGUGGUGGAGGAGGCUAUAGAGGUUGGAUUUCUUGAUGUUGCUGGUACAUGUUGUGGUUUUGCUAGUGGGGAAGGUAAUGUUCAUUGUGGAAAUGGUGUUGCUGAUAUUGUUGGGGAUGGUAGGUGUGGGCGACAACUCUUUGGUUGUCAGCCGGUUGAUUUCUGGCCAUCCUAUCUUUGGUGGGCUUGGUUUCAGAGGAAUCCCUGGUGGGAUGUGCCGAGGCUUCGCCAUGGAAAAGAUAGUAGAACCUUCGCUGUUGCGGGACUCGGCCUCUGCCUCUGCCUCUGGUGGUUCCGUCGUGGCCCUGUUGCGCGGGUACUUGUGUCGACGAGCGGUGUCUCUAGUCUGUUGCUGAUUAGCGAUGGUGUGCACUUGGGACUGGUUACGGUUUGGCCGGCCUGAGUCCGACUGCGCAGGCCUGACCCAUGUUCUGCUGGAUUGCGAAGUGUUCUUGGGUUUCCGCUGUGACUUGACUUUUCUCUGGUGGAGUUCUUUGGAUCGGGCAUACUUUUCGAAUAACUGAUAUAAAUCUUGCAAGUUUUUGGGUUGAUCUCUUAUGUAGUGACUGUAUAAGACGCUGGCGUGAAGACCACUGAUUGCGUAGUGGAUGGCUAUGUGGUCAUCGACAGAGGGCAACUGUGACUUUAGGAGAAGGAACUUUUUGCAGUACUCCUGAAGGGUUUCUUUCUCCUGCUGCCUGCAGAGUGAUAAUUCUACUAGGGCAUCUAUGUCCGACCUGUACCCUUAGAAAUUUAACAAGAAUUUGUCGCGAAGGGUUUUCCAUGAGUCAAUUGAUAAAGGCGGCAGUCUAGUGUACCAUGUCAGGGCUAGGCCUUCGAGUGCUAUAAUGAAAGAUUUGGCCAUGGUGGUCGCGUCCCCUCCGGAUGAUGCGACCGCAACUUGGUAGCUAAUGAUGUACUAUGCUGGGUCGGUGCUGCCGUUGUACUUGGAAUAAGUACAUGCUCUAAAAUUGCUAGGCCAAGGUGAGGCCUGGAGUUAUGGUGCAAGAGGGCUUCGCUCAUCAAGGUAAUUUACCCCCUGGAAAGUGGUUGGAGCUGCGGCUGGUAUGUAGGGAGCAUUUUGCUGCAAUUGGUGGCAAUCUUCGCCUUGCAUAUAUACAAUUUGUUGUUCUAGCUCUCUGGCCUUCUGCUCCUCAUCUAGUAUCAUCUGCCUGACCUUGGCAUGCACGGUGAAGCGCUGGCGCUUAGCUGCAAGUAUUUCUUUCUGCUUCUAUAAAUGAUUGUUCUUGAUGUGAAUGGCUCGUAGCUUGAUUUGUCUUUAGCUAAAAUGCUUAAGAUUUCGUCGUCUUCGAUGAUGUCGUCUGCCUCUAGGGGGUGAAGCCUAGCAGGGUGCCCGAGGUACUCCCUUAGAGCUGCUUGUGCGAACGGUGCCCUCUAGGGUAGGUGGAUUGUCUUGGCAUUGUCUCUUGCUAUUGACUGCCUCAUCCUCAAAGGCUUCCUGAGGGAUGUCAUCUGCGAGGGCUGCCUUACCCUUCUUUUCAACGAGAAGGGCCGCCUUCGCUGCGUCUUCGAUGGAAGUGGUGGCCAUCAAAGUUGCUCUCUUGGGGGCCAUCAUGGGAAUGGUUUUUCGUUGCACGAACGGUGGGCGCCAAAUGUUGGAACUGGGUGACACGUGGUCUAGCUAGCUCAAACAAUAAGAGAACGAAAAAAAGUUUGAUGCUUGCUAACACAGUGUAUUAGAGCAACGGUGUUUUUUCCCAGUCCCUCACAAUGGUGUUGUACGUGGGUAUUUAUAGGUAACCAGGGGAUGGUUCCACCCUAUCAAAUACGGUUAUGCCCCUGGUUACCUACGUUAUCCCUGGAAUAUUCCCCUCUAAGGGGUUAUCGCGGGUCAUUACAGUGUGAUUAAGUACACCCACGGACGGACGCAUUAUCAACUCUACCCACACAGUGGCUUACAAGUGGGACCCUACGGCACAAGGUGAUCUCACACGGGCCCCCCAUUACAGUAACGUGCGGGUAGCGACAUGUAGUCUUCACACUCCAUUCCCCCGGCCUUUGGCGAUCAUGGAGGCCUUCACCAUUCCUGACUGAGGCGGGAACCGCCAAGGCCUUCGCCUAUUUCGUACGCUCCCUCCGUCAUGGCGCCUUUGCUAUUCCAGUCUUCGCCUGCUCUUGCCUUCCCUCCGACAUGUUCCACUUCUGUUGUGAAACGAUCGAGCGAUGGGGGCGUUAUGCCUUUGCCCCAACACCGAGACUUCUUUGCCUAGAGUCACACUCGGCAAGGAGUUUGCCGAGUGUUUUUGGCAAAGCAGCUGUGUCCGGUAGUGAUAGUGUGUUACAUGCUAAUGUACAGUGUAAGUUUGUCACACCUUAAAAUUCCCUAAUUUUAGGAUGUGAAUAGGAAGAAUAAUUAAUGCAACGAUAUUUGUAUAAUUUUAAAAUUUUGCCAAGUAAUUUAUUAUACAAGGAAUUUAACAUAUGUAAAUAAUAAUAAUUUAUUUUUAAAAUUAAAUGAGCUUGUGUGUUUCCUGUUUGCUUGUAUGUGCUCUUGGUGUUUCUUGAGUGCAAAAAGUUUUUAAUGUGUUUCUCUAUCAGCUAGGUUCUCCCAAGAAUUUACCAGAUUAUUCUGCCAAUUAUUCUCAUUUUCCUAGAGCUAUUUUUAUUUAUUAGAAGACUCUAAAUAUUUUAUGGGCUUCAAAUAUUUUAUUCAGGUUUGCCAUGUCCAAAUAGACCUCUAGGAUGUUUCCUAGAAUUUUCGAAACCUACAAGAUACUUUUCAUGCUUUAAAUAUUGAUUCUAGACAUUUCUAAAAUUAAAAUAAAUCAAUAAAAUAAAUAUUCCGAAAAUAAAUUCUAAACCUUAGUGAGUGGCCCACUUUAUCCAUUCCUGAGCCAAUUUAGGCCUAAGGCGUAAUCGCAAAUCCAAUUUCCCUCAAGAUAGCGCUUGCGCGCGUGGAUUCUCAAUCACAACGACUAACACGUAGGGCCCACUUGUCGGAGUUGUCUCUUACCUAGAGUCCCUAGUCAUCGUGAUUAUUGGAAGGUAUAAUAUGAGCAGGAAUCCAGAAGUACAAAUAUGGCAAAGAUAAUAUUGGAAUAGGAGAGACAAGUGAGAGUCCUAAACAAAUAGGACAAAAUCUCAAUAUAUAAGAUAGAGUUGUAAGUAGAUCGAAUUAGAUCCUAAUGGAUAAGGAAGGCAUACAUGUAAUUAUAAAGAGUUGGAUUCUUAUACAACUAGGUCACUAACUAGACCUAUUAUAUAACCUACUCAUAUUCACUCGUGUAAUUACCCCCUCCUCCUUGUACAAUUCUCAAUAGGGAGCCCCCGAGAAUGCAGACCGGAACAUAAUAGAUCAAUAGCUACAAUUCUCAAUUCUCGGUUCUUGAUCAAUAGAACAUAAUAGAUGUAGGGUAUUAUCUCACGAUGAGAGCCCGAACCAGCCUAAAUUUUGAUAAUGUUUUAUACCUCAAAAACAUGAUUUGACAAUGUUUUCCAAGUAUGCGAGCAGGCAUCUUCGGAAUCAGGUUACGGGUAAACAAGAGCAUGGUCAAGACGAAGCUUGACUAGGAUGGAAGACGAUCAUGACGAAGGAUGAGACGAUCACGAAGUUAUAUGCAGAAAAGCUUCGGCAUGACAGCAGAAAAAGGGAACCGACUUAAAGAUGAAAAGCCAAAUUAGACCUCGAAGAAUUACUAUAGAGUUAUUGAUAAAAGUAAAGGGCAUUAAUGUAAUUUUACAUGGGCUGCGUCCCGUGCCUAUAAAUAGAUGAACAGUACUCCCGUACUGUUUACACUGACUUGGCAUUAGCAUCACGCUUGUACCCUUACUUUCCUUCAAGCCGAAGGUACAUUUGUAAUUUGUUGUUUAUAUAAGUAAAAUAAAUAGAAAUAAAUUAAUAAUAAUGUUCAAAGUAAUCAUGUUAUUUUCCGUGUUUUUGUAUAAAUCUCUUUUAUCUUUCAUUAUGAUUAUGAAGGUUUGACCUUCAUAACCUUCGUUCGAAAUCCAUUAUAUCCAAAGGGAAAUAAUGCUUCGAAGGACGAAGGGCUUUGAUAUUUAACAUUUUAUGUUGCCUUGUUCUUAAUUCAUAGCAUUUGAGAACAAGUCCCCAACAUUGGCGCCCACCUCCGGUGAACUCACUUCCAUUUCUUGAGCUUUGAACACCUUCGGCAAGCAUCACCUUCGUCAUGCCGCCGAAAAAAGCUUCAGCGACAGGGGCUGCCACUCUGCAGCCGCUGGACCCCAAUCAGGACGUCCUUUCUCUUAGGGAGGCCCGAAGCUAGAAGAGGAAGGCCACCAGUCCAACGCCUCCGGAGGACGACUUGGACCAGGAAAUCCAAAACCUGGAGAUGCUUCAUCAACAGGUGCAACGAAAGAAGGAGAAGAUGGCUCGUCUAGCUGAUCUUCAGAGGCAAAUAGACGAAGCUUCGGAAGAGGUUCGUCAUCUUGCUCAAGAUGACCAGAACCGAAGGCCUCCGCGCAGAGAGCUUCAUCAGGAAGGCUUCUACAAUGAGGACGACUGGUAUGAAGAUUUCCAUCAUGGAAAUUUUGCUUUUGACGAUGCUUCUCCUCUAUCAACAGAAUUGCAGGCUACACCAUGGCCCCAGUCUUACAAGCCACCCCAGCUCCCCAUGUACGACGAUCAUACAGACCCAAAGCAAUUCUUGAUGAGCUAUGAAGCAACCAUAUCUUCGUAUGGUGGCAAUACUGCAGUCAUGGCAAAGUCUUUUGUCAUGGCCGUCAAGAGUGUCGCUCAAACCUGGUACUCCUCUCUUCGGCCAGGGACAAUCACCUCAUGGCAGAAGCUAAAGGAUAUGUUGAUAACCAGCUUCCAAGGGUUUCAGACAAAGCCAGUUACUGCUCAAGCUUUAUUCCAGUGUACCCAGGACCACGAAGAAUACCUUCAGGCGUAUGUCCGAAGGUUUCUGCGUCUGAGGGCACAGGCGCCAACAGUGCCCAAUGAAAUUGUCAUUGAGGCCAUGAUUAAGGGACUUCGGCCGGGACCUUCAGCGUAAUACUUUGCCAGGAAGCCACCACAAACUUUGGAGAAGCUGCUCCAGAAGAUGGACGAGUAUAUCCGAGCUAACAAUGACUUCCGCCAAAGAAGGGAGGAGGCAUUCAGGUUCUCUGAAAUGACCAGGGGCUUCGGAGGAAGAUUUCAUCCGAGGCACGUCAGGUCAAUUCAUAACUCCACUCAAAGUGAUGAUAGAGGGAGCCAACAGCAAAGGCCACAAUACUCUUCGCAAGCUUCGGGGCAACAGCAAAGCUCUGUUCGGCCGCCAGCGCCAUGGGGCAGAGGCGCCAGGGGCUUCGGGGGAAGAUUUGGGGAUCAGCCAAGAAGAAUUUACUGCCUAUUCUGUGGUGAAGACAAGGGCCAUACCACCAGGAUGUGCCAUGUCACCAUCCAGAAGCAAAAGGAGAUAGCAGAAGCUGCAGCACAACAGAGUCAGGCGAAGCAGGUCAUGCACACUGCUUUGUACCAUUCGCCUUACAUUCCAGAAUAUGUAGGCAAUCACUCUAUAGCUUCUGUUGCUUCGGCAAGUCAACCCCAAGCAUCUUGGCAACAGCCUCCACCGCCACCACCAACACAGCGAGGUCAGCAGCCAGAAGGGAAUCAGCACAAUCACCUUCAGAGGGACUUCAAAGAGGAGUCCGAAGCUCGCACAGUCAAUAGCACUAUGCCAGAGUCGAAGCACAUUUACUGACAGAUAUCCUACCUCGACAGCAAUUUUUUCGCAUUUUCACAUUCAGUAUUACUUUUUUGUUAAUAAGGAACAAUUAUGGGAAGUCUAAAUGUCUUUUAUCGUUUUUCAAUUUCUUGUAACAGUUUCGCCUUUUGCCAUAAUGAAAAUAUAUCUUCUCCAUAGGCUUGAGUUGCCGAAGCAUAAGAAUUUAUGGUGGCACGAAGGACCUUUGAAUUAUCAAAAAUUUGUUCUAAGGGACACAGUGCAAUUUAUUCGAAGCAGUAAAAAGUCGUUCCUAAGGGAGCGCAGUGUAAGUUUUCUGAGCCUACAGCGAAAAAUAAGCGCUGAUUCCGCUGAAAGUAAAAGACGAAGAAGCUCCUAAGGGAGGCUUACAGCAAAAAAUAAACGAUGAUUCCGCUGAAAGUAAAAGGCGAAGAAGCUCCUAAGGGAGGCUUACAGCGAAAAAUAAACGCUGAUUCCGCUAAAGUAAAAGGCGAAGAAGCUCCUAAGGGAGGCUUACAGCGAAAAGUCAGCGCUGAUAUAAAAAGAUUGUGUGCUCUAUUGCAGGGAUGUGUGUAUCUUCGGCACAAAUAUCAUUUUGCAUAACAUAACAUCAUCACAUCAUUUUGCAUAACAUAAGAAUCAUACAGCAUAUUGCAUGUGGAACAAGAAGGGGACACAAUAUUGAUCUUCGGAGAAUGUUUUGGAAAAGAGAAAAUCGUACUAAGGCACAAGAUAAAUUAAGAAGAAGUGUAGCUUCAUUAGAGAGACAACAUAAAACUUUUUAUAGCUUCGGAGAAUGUUUUCACGAAGCUUGGAUAGUCUUCAUCAGAGAAGUAUGGAAAUUCUUGUGAUAUAUAAAAGAUUUUCUUCACGAAGCAUGAAAAGAAGGGAAGGUGUUUUUUCGCCAAAGGCUCAAAAAACGGUAUGUAUGCAAAAUUUCAUGCAUCAUAAAGAAUUGAACCAUAAAUAGAUUAUAUAUUACAUUCAAAGUUACAAAGUAUUACACAUGUUACAUUCCAAAUGUUUUUACAAUAGCAUUUAAUCUUCCCAAAGAACUACUUCUGCAGCUUCGUUCAGUAGCUGAUCGACAACUUUGUCCAUGAUGGCUUCGGCCAUUUUUCUAAUUUCGUCGUCCCCCUUUGGGUGGGGGCCCGGAGAUGCCUCAGCAGGUUCUGAGGGAGGAGAAAAUACGGCUAUAUUACUAUUACAAACCGCGAACAAAGUUUGAAAUCAAAAAUUACAACAGAAUAAAAACCACUAGUUAAUACCUAUUUGCCCUUCGGGCUCUGCGCUUUUCUCAGCAGCCUCUGCUACCUUCCUAGCAUCAUGGAUGCCUUUUUCGCUUUUUUGAAUGAUUUCUUGAGGCAUUUCUCGGCCGCCAUUGUCCCAGAUGUCGGUGAAAAAUUUUCCACCAACCAGGCUUGCUUCGGCCGAGGGUUCCUUUAUAUCUUCGGAAGACAAGGCAGUUUUGGAUUGUGCUAAAGAUUUCACAUGGUCACAGCCUUUUCUUUCCAAAACAGUAGCAAUCCCCCUGGCGCCUGAAAAAGCACAUAUGUCUCCGCGGCUAUUCAAGAUUUCCUCGAAGGCCUCAGUUUCGUGACUGAUCCAUUCAAUCGGGCCUUCUGGAUUCCCCCUUGUGAAAUUUUCUUCGCUAGAGAAUGCGCCAACGCUGGCAAAGCUGGAUUUUAUCUUCUUAACACACUCUAUGGAUUUAUCAUAGCACCUUUUCUUGGAAGCACGAAGCUUUUCAACAUUUAUUUCCAAAUGAUUUGCCCAUUGAUCACUAAGUUCUCGUUUUGUUUCUUCAAGUAUGCGUUCUUCUUUAGCUCUGGCCAGCUGUUUCCGAAGAUCCUGAAUUUCGCGUUUUUGGGCUUCAGCUUGAGCCUUAGAGGUAGCUUCGUCUUCCUUUAUUUUAUCCACCAGUGUAAGCAGAAUUUUAUCUUUUUCCAAAGCUUCGUUCCUCAGCUUAAUAACCUCUGUUCGUAGGUUGUUGAAAGCAAUAUUAUAGCUCUCGUCUUCGGCAUUCUUUUGCGCUCUCAAAGCGUUGCUCAGUAUUAAACCCUAUAUGAAAAAAUAAUUAGCAUAAGAAUAAAAGAAUGAUUCAAAAAUUACAAAUUUCCAAAUAUACAAUUCUCAUACCUUCAGACUAUUAUAUGCAAGGCUAUCCGCAAGAUCGUCCUUCGUCAUAGCGCAGAGCCCAGCUUCAAGCUUCGGGAACCCCAUACUUCUAGCCAUCUCCCGGCAGACAGAUAAUUCUUUGUUGUCUGGGAGGCAGUAUAAGAAGUCAUCUUCAUCUGUGCCGUUGAAUACUAAGGCCCCUUUCGGAUACUUCAGUUCUCGGGCAUAGUGAUUAGCUUCAAAAAUCUCUUCUUCAGAUAAUCUCUUCCCCGAAGCAUGUCGUAUAAUAUAAUCAUGUAUUUUGGAAGAUGCUUCGGGGGGCAGCAGUGCCAGUUUCUUCACUCAAAAUUUGUUCUGCCAUUUCUGUUUUUUCAGCUUCCAAGGAUUUCACCUUGGCGGGCUAUGAAGGCCCGGCUUCAGUUUUAGACUUUGGCUUUGAAGCUUCGGCGUCAAAGGUUUCAGUGUGCACUUCGGAAGUUUUAGCAAUUUUCUUUGGAGUUGUGCUUGAAGAUUUGAUUGUCUCUAAAACAUCUAGCACAUUAACCAUCCUUUUUCUUUUAGGGGUCACUGCUGGACCCUUUUGGCUUUUUGUUGCCUCAGUUUUUGCCGAAGGACUCAAGAUUUCUGAUGUUUUUACUUCUUUAGCCCUCGUUUCUUCAGCCUUCGUUUCUUCUAUUUUUUCAGUCACUGGCACUUCGGCCAGCACUUCAAUAUUUGGCAGGGGAGCUGUCUCUUUAGCUUUAGUGGCCGAAGGAGUCCCACUAACAAAUGUAGGCACUGUGGCCGGUUCAAUAUAACGUGGCCGGUGUGUGAGAACUUUGACCCUUCUCCUCUUCGGCGCCGGCUCGCUAGGAGCGACUGAAGCAGUUUCCUUCGCAGAAGAUGUAUUCUUUCUUUUUUCACCCCGUGCCGGAUAAUGGUAGUCGGGGUACACAAACCCAAUUGUAUCAAAAACUCGGUUGAGUCUUUUCCUUUUUCGGCCUCCGAAGGCCGCCGAUAAUGCAAUAUCUUCGGCCUUUGAGUAUACACCAAGUAAUUAAUCACUGAUGGCCUCAAUACUUUUCAACCAGUCAUCAUCUGGCUCAACGAAUUUAUCUCCGUAUUUAAAUGUGUAUUUCAACCUGACUAGUCCACCUUCGUCAGUUUCUUUAAUGGUCUCCUUCGGCAUUUCCCAUUUUUCCAUAAGUGGCCAUAUUCUGAAGGCAAUGUGUUCUUGGACUAAGUCCCUUGUUCCAAUAAAAGAGCAAACAACACCGAAGGCUCUUUGUCAUUCUUCGGCUGCUUCAUUCAUUUCCACCUUCGGCCUCCGUAGGCUGAAGCGUUGCCAGAUGGGACGCAUGAUGAUCCUUUUUAUAUCUUCCCGUGAUUUCAAGUCAUUCUUCACGUAAAACCAUUCCGUCAUCCAGUCGCCGGGCCACCUCUUUCGGAAGGUCGGCACGGGGCAGCUUGACCCAGACCGGGAGCCGAAGCUGUAGCAGCCAAAAUUGUUGUGAUACUGUUCUUUACCCCAGGGUUUUGUCUCGUACAGUAAUUCAUGUAUGUUGCAGAAACUUUUCGCAUUAGGUUCCAAACCUUGGCUUAUCAUGGCCCACACAAAGAUAUUCAUCCUUAUGAUUGCUUCGGGGGUAAGUUGGUGAAGGUAGAUUUCAAAUAUCUUCAGUACUUCUACAACAAAACUGCUUAAGGGAAAUCGUAGUCCAGCUUUUAAGAAGCUUCGGAAUACCACGACUUCAUUUUCCUUAGGAGUCGGGCAAGUCUUCUCUCCUUCAUCAGCCCUCACAAUGGACAAGUCCCGGAAAUAUCUGCCCCUCAUAUUGACAAGAUGAUUUUCUUUAAUACUUGAUUUACCAAAAACCGCAUGGCUUGGUCGCCAAGGUCGAUCUUCGGAGUCUUCACCACCACUAUCCACAUCAUAACUGUCACUGUCACCAGUAUCUUCAGAUAAACCCUCCAAAAUUUCUUUAGUAAUCUUCUCUGUAUUAGUCUUCGACAUUGAUUGAAGAAAGCCCAGAUGCAUCUCCUCAGAAAGACUUAGCUUCGAAUCACCAACAGCUUUUUUAUCUUCAGACAUCCUUGCAAACGCUAAGAAAGUCCUCUCGAAACCGAAGCUUAAAAAUCUAAAAAGUCAAGCAAGUGUUGUUGCGCGCAGGCUAAAAAGUUGGGUGAGUAAAAGCAGUGGGCAAGAGAGCGUGUCAAAUAAACUUGUGAUGAGCUCUUAUUUAUACACCUAGUGCAUUGAAAACUGGAGGGUCCCGCUUGUCAAAGACUGUUGCUAUUCUAGCAAAGAGAAGGUGUUUUUUCGGACCUUCGGCUUAAGGCCUUCGUCCAUGUCGCAAUAUGAAUUUAUCAUUCCAGCAAAUUAAUAUUGCGAAGGGCUACUGUUGGGGCCUUCGGCUUCCGAAGGUCCUCAAAAACAUGAUUUGACAAUGUUUUCCAAGUAUGCGAGCAGGCAUCUUCGGAAUCAGGUUACGGGUAAACAAGAGCAUGGUCAAGACGAAGCUUGACUAGGAUGGAAGACGAUCAUGACGAAGGAUGAGACGAUCACGAAGCUAUAUGCAGAAAAGCUUCGGCAUGACAGCAGAAAAAGGGAACUGACUUAAAGAUGAAAAGCCAAAUUAGACCUCGAAGAAUUACUAUACAGUUAUUGAUAAAAGUAAAGGGCAUUAAUGUAAUUUUACACGGGCUGCGUCCCGUGCCUAUAAAUAGAUGAACAGUACUCCCGUACUGUUCAUGCUGACUUGGCAUUAGCAUCACGCUUGUACCCCUACUUUCCUUCAAGCCGAAGGUACAUUUGUAAUUUGUUGUUUAUAUAAGUAAAAUAAAUAGAAAUAAAUUAAUAAUAAUGUUCAAAGUAAUCAUGUUAUUUUCCGUGUUUUUGUAUAAAUCUCUUUUAUCUUUUAUUAUGAUUAUGAAGGUUUGACCUUCAUAACCUUCGUCCGAAAUCCAUUAUAUCCAAAGGGAAAUAAUGCUUCGAAGGACGAAGGGCUUUGAUAUUUAACAUUUUAUGUUGCCUUGUUUUUAAUUCAUAGCAUUUGAGAACAAGUCCCCAACACUUACCUACCCUAUAAAUUCACUAUUGAGAAAUCCACAACAGAGGGAUCGGAAGCCCGCCCCUAUGAAGACUCUGAGCAGCAAGAGUUUACUUUAAGAGGCAAGUUAUAUCCUUGGUUAUAUUGUCUUUAUCUAUAUAAUAUUUACUAUUAUAUUCUCACCUAUGCAUUUCACAAUUAGGUUAACAUGAUGGGACCUAUAUCUUAUUUACACCUAGUUUAAUUAUUAUUGGGUAGGCAUGCUAGUGCUCUACUUGGUUUAUGGGAUAAUGUUAUAUAACAAAGACGACUAUUAUUUUAGUCGCAUCGAUAUUUUUUAUUAUUGUGGUAUUGUUGUAUAUUUAAUUCGAAUAUGGAGCGACGAGCCAAGAAAAAAGUACAGCCACAAGGACUAUUAUGGCUCUCGCUGAUUAAUUAGGGAAGCUAGUAUGGGUUAGCCUUAUCGAAAAGGCAAGAGGGGAGGCAUACCUCAAGUAUAGAUCGGUUCUCGUACUGAUCUGCUCUGUGGUAGCUUUUCAUUAGAGGGAGAUCUAUACCACCUCGACCUGAAACCUUAGCAGGUUACCUCAUACUAGUGGAUCUUUAUAAAGACCUUAUAUUGAACCCCACCACGCUUCCUUGGAAGAGGGGCAUAGGAGUCAUGACUCCUGGCAAAUGGGUAACACGACUUGUGGGUAAAGAUAUACAUCCUCGUAGAGUGCAGAAGUGAUAUAUCAACCAUUCUCACGGUUAGAGCAGCUUGGAUCCUCACAUGAUUAUUCUAUGUAAGUAAAUUAAAUGUAUUUGUAGGUGCUUUAUUUAUUGUUGGUUUUUUUUAUUUGGUAACUGCUAAUAAAAUUUUGACCAACAUAAUUAAAAUGUGGAAUGCUACAACCUCAGACUUAUUCUUGUAAGUCUUACACUGCACUUUUUCUACAUCCUUGUUGUGUACCAACCUUAAGUGUACUUAUUCUUGCUGAAUUCGCUGCUUAGAACAAGGUCAGCAAGAAGAUGACUACUAUGAAAAUUUUAAAGAGUUUUAGGCCUUCGAUGCUCCGGUCAACCAACAUGGAUAGUCGUUGUUGUCGUCAUUUAGUUUCUUUUGUUUAUUUUAUUUUAGUUUAUGAAAUUGGUUUCUAGACACACUAAAGUCAUCAUAUGUGUGUAAUUUGAUCUUGGUGUACAUAUGAGAUGCAUCUAGAUUUGUUUUCAAAUCCGGGUGUGACAAAGUUGGCCACGACCAUGGUUUCAGGAAGGAGAGCUAUGCAUACUUCUCUAUUGGCCUCCUCACGAACUGGCUUAAUCUAAAACAUAGCUUUGUUAUAUUUCUAUUCAAUAGAAAUAUGUGUUCUACAUGGCUUGAUAUAUUAUGAUACAAAAAUGAAUGGAAGAUCAUAAAAGGAGCAAAUUAUUUGUAUUAAUUCCUUGUGCAAGAGUGUUGCGUGAAAUCACCUUAAAAUUCAUGCAUCUAAAAUAUAGGAGAAGCGAUAAAGAAAACAACAAAAACACCAUGCCAUUCAAUACACUAGUGACACAAACAUGCACAUUCAAAACAAACAUACAUUACCAUGUGAUAAUAAUGGAAAGAUAGUGAGAAACAAGACACUUCACACAUGAAUUAUUGCUUUCUCGAUCGAUAGGACAAGAACAACAUGCUUGGUUUUUUCAUUCUCAAGGUGUUCGGCAAUACAGUGAGCGAACUCUUUGAAUAACUUGUCGAGUAUGUGUUCUCCAAAUUGGCUUGCGACCAGCGACUCCAUAACUGCUCGUAGGCACUUAGCAACAUUUUCACCGCUCCCGAUACUGUUAUGCACAUCAUCACUUUCCGAGUCAUCGUAGGGAUCCCAAUUUAUCUCAAAUACUUUAACAUGAUUCAUGUUGAACAACCCAACUUGCUUCAAAAUCGCCUCCACUUCACCAACCGAUGGUGAGUAGAACGGAAGAUAGAAUGACUCAAGUUUUUCUUUCUCCACAAGACCCUGCAAAGGUCAAACAAAGUCCAGUUAUUUACUGCAAAUUAAAGUUACUACCUAGUACCUAUUAGAGUGAUCAAAACUCAGUACUUCUUUAUAUUUAGUUUACCUCAUCAACUAGGGAUUUCAGUGACUGCGCAAGCAAUCCGUGAAGAUGGUUGGGCUCUCUAGUGAACACAUCCUCAUGCUUCCUUCCAAUAAAUGUUAGAACCAUUUGGCCACCAGACACGAGUUCCUCGUAGCGUAGCUUGAGGAAGAGGGAGAAGUCCUUCUCAAACUGCUGUUGAAACAACUUCACCAUCGACGGUGGCAUAUUCUUUGUGAUGUAGAUAUCUAGGCAUUUAUUUUUGGUGUCCUUCAGUUGUUCUGAUGCCUAUAUAUGUAUAUAAACACAAAAAUGGGUUACACAAAAACACAACUAUACGUUGUUUUAAAAGACUCAAAAAGUCAAAAGCAUGGACACAUCCAGCAGCCUGACAGGUAAUGCAUGAUGAUUUUCUGAGAAAAACAUACAAAGUCACGUGUGAAUGAACUGUAUGCAUGUGUACCUGAGAGUGCCAGUGAACGGAGAACAAAGAGUGGAAAAGGUGAACGCUUUCGCUAGGAAAGAUCCUAGUGUAGAAGGAGCCUGACAAACCAGAGAUAUAGCACGGAGGCAGUGCCUCAGCUGCCUCACCCUUGUGGUUUCUUGCCAUCGACUUAUUGAACUGCUGGAUGAGCAGGAAGAGAUUGUUGAAGUCGUUUCCCGGCAGGUCAUUCAGGAAGAACUGAAGUUGUGGGUAGUCAUGUCGUCGGUCGUGUUCUUUGCAAUGGCGAGCUAUGAUGCCAAUCACCUCGGAGACGAAGCGCAGUGUGUUAGGCCCCGAUGAGCAGCCUAAGUCGGCCACGACCAUAGUUCGAGGGAGGAGAGCUGAGUAUGCUGCUCUAGUGGCCUCCUCAAGGACUGGCUUGAUCUGAAACAUAACUUUCUCCUGUUGCCAUCGAACAGAAACAUGUAAUACUUGAUCUGGAACAGAAGCAGGUAUAUAUAUAGAGAACACACAGCUUGUACCACAGUACGUAUGCAACAGUAGUAGCUGUGCAUGCUGGAAAUAAAUAAUGGAGAGUAGAUCUUUUACCUGAAUCCUAGAGUUUUUCGUGUAGCUAGUUUCUCCGUUCCCUGUGGCCAUGUGGAGAUCACGCUCGAUUGUCAUUGGCAUGGCUGCAACCUGCAAUCCGAGGCUUCAGCUAUGGUGGAGAGAAGAGAAGUACCCAAUCCAAAGCUCAGCACAUACAAGCACAACACAGUUUUGCAAUCUUAUAGAAAAGUUUGCCAUGUUUUUUGCACAUGCUCCUCCGAUCCUACAGCGCUAUUAUUACACAUGAAUCAGCUGCUCAUUUGUGUUCGACGUCAUCAACAGGAUCUCAUGAAUUUUAUGACCACAAAUAUUAAUUCGUUUUUUUCGUCGGUCAAGCCAAAGUGCGAUGAGUACGAUGUAAACUAUAAAUAAUACGAUACGUUCAUUGCUAGCUGCCAAACGAAGUGUCACUGUGAUCAUAAUCAUUCUGUUCAUUUCUGCACUGCCAAACGAAGUGUCACUGUGCGGGGCUUGUGCAUUGCUGGCGACCGGCCACCAACUCAUGUGCCUCUGCGUCUGUACCACACAGAUGGUCGCCAAUCAUCCGUUGUACAGAAAGUGGAUAGAGAUCGAGCAUGUUCCCUAUGCAGUAAGUGGAUAGGGAUUGAGUGUUCCCUAUGCGAUAUAGGAUAUACUAUCUCAGUUCUCGAAUAUUUGUAGUCCACUAGUUUAUUUUUAAACUAAACCACGACAAAUAAAAAAACGAAUGGAUAUCGGAUAUAAUACCUCAGUUCUCAAAUAUUUGUUGUCCACUAGUUUAUUUUUAAACCAAACCAAGACAAAUAAACGAAGAGAGUACUAUUUUACAUAUAUACACUAAAGAAUAUCAGAGGCGCUGGAAGAGAUUGGAAAACACCGUGAUGCCCCUGGCCGGUGUGCUGCAUGUUUAUAUAUGGGCAAUAACAACCAUUGCCGUGGUUUACAUUUGGAUAAUCAUGAGUCUGUUUCAGAUAAUCACGCAGAGUUGGUUACACGAGAUAAACUCUAAUACAAUCGACUAUAUGAGAUACGAUUGAUAUACUAACUCUGUGUUAUCUGUUACAGGCGCUUUGCUUUACACGCCCCCUCAAUCACAACUUUCUCAAGUUGAGAUUGUAUUUAAAGUUUUCUAAUUUCUUCACUGUAAGAGCUUUGGUAAAACCAUCUGCAAUAUGAUCUCCUGUGGGAACAUAGUCAAUGUCCAGUAAUUUCCUGGCGACACGCUCCCUGACAAAAUGAUAAUCCACCUCAAUGUGUUUUGUUCUGGCAUGAAAGACUGGAUUAAAUGAUAAAUACUUGGCACCCAUAUUGUCUACCCAAAGUUUUGCGACUGAGGGGCUUGAAACUUUCAGUUCAUUCAAGAGAGUUUGAAUCCACAUGAUCUCAGCUGUGGCAUUAGCUAGAGCUUUAUAUUCUGCUUCAGUGCUGGAUCGAGAUACUGUAGCUUGCUUCUUUGCAUUCCAUGACACUAAAUUAUUUCCAAGAAAGAUAGCAAAACCUCCGGUGGAUCUCCUGUCAUCGAGGCAUCCUGCCCAGUCUGCAUCUGAAAAUCUGCUCACUAGAAAGGAGGAAGAUUUGCACAAGCUUAGCCCAAGACUAAUACUAGAUUUAACAUAUCUCAAAAUUCUUUUUACUGCUGUCCAGUGAGAUGUGGUUGGAGCAUGUAGAAAUUGGCACACUUUGUUUACUGGAAAUGCAAUAUCUGGUCUUGUUAAGGUCAAAUACUGCAGGGCCCCAACUACACUUCGAUACUGAGUAGCAUCAUUUGGCCCAAGCAGAGAACCUUCAUGAAGAUGUAAUUUUUCACUUGUGGAUAACGGAGUACUCUCAGGUUUACAAUUCGCCAUGUUUGUCCUCCGUAGUAAAUCAGUUGCAUAUUUUUCCUGUGUUAACAUGAUAUCGUUUUGUGUCUUGUUUACCUCUAUACCAAAGAAGUAGUGAAGAUUCCCUAAGUCCUUUAGAGCAAAUUCUUCCUGCAGAUUUUUCAGUAGUGCUGAAACAGCUUCUUGCUUGACCAAGGAAGCCCUCACCCAGGUAGCGGCAUGCAAAACUGCCACAGAAACCUGGAAGGUCAUCGAAACAAUUUACUCCUCCAUGACCAAGGCACGCUCCAUCAACACAAGAAUCACCCUCGCCACCACCAAGAAAGGGGACCUCACAAUUGCUGAAUAUGUCGGCAAGAUGAGGGCCCUGGGAGAUGAGAUGGCAAACUCCGGCAAGCCGAUCGACGACGACGAGCUCAUCUCGUACAUCAUCACCGGCCUCGACUACGACUACAAUCCGGUCAUCACCUCCCUUGUCGCGCGAGCUGAUCCGCUCACCAUUAGGGAGGUGUACUCCCAACUGCUCAGUUAUGAGCAAUGGCUGGAUCUCCUACGCGAGUCAGAUUCCUACUCCGUCAACGCUGCCACCCGUGGAAGAGGAAGUUCCCGAGGAAGAGGCGGCAACCGUGGUGGAGGAAGUAGAGAUUCUAGAGGCCGAGGACGUGGCGGAUCUCAGUCUCGCCAGAUUGGCAUCGGCAACAGAAACGCUCCACAACAAGACAGCAGGCCCAAGUGCCAGCUCUGUGGCAAAAGAGGACAUCUGGUAAUGAAGUGUUGGCAUCGCUUUGACGAAAAUUUUGUUCCCAAUGAAAAAUAUGCAGGGGCAGCAGCCACAUCAUAUGGAGCAGACUCAAACUGGUAUGUAGAUACUGGAGCCACAGAUCACAUCACCAGAGAUCUUGAGAGGCUAGCAGUACAUGACCAAUACAGAGGCCAUGAUCAGAUCCACACGACAAGUGGUGCAGGUAUGAACAUUAGUCGCAUUGGUUAUUCAACUGUUCCAACUCAUAACCGUGAUCUUAAACUCAAUAACAUUCUUUAUGUUCCUCAAGUUACAAAGAAUCUUGUCUCAGUUCAUAAACUAGCCACCGAUAACUCAGCCUUUCUUGAAUUUCAUCCCAAUUUCUUUGUGAUCAAGGAUCAGGCCACGAAGAGACCUCUGCUUAAAGGACGCUGCCACAAAGGGCUCUAUCCUUUGCCAUUGACAUCAUCCAAGCAAGCAUAUGGAGCCACUAGACCAUCUAUUGAAAGAUGGCAUAGUCGUCUAGGUCAUCCCUCUGUUCCUAUAGUAGAAAAAGUUAUUCGUCGUUUUAAUCUCCCUUGUUCUAGUGAGAAGAAUAAACAGUCUGUUUGUAACGCCUGUCAAAAGGCUAAGAGUCAUCAGUUACCUUAUCCCAAGUCAAGUCAUGUGUCGAGUCAUCCCUUAGAACUCGUUUUCUCUGAUGUUUGGGGUCAUGCACCCAACUCUAUAGGAGGCAAUAAAUAUUAUGUCAGUUUUAUCGAUGAUUAUAGUAAAUUUACUUGGAUUUAUCCUCUCAAAUUCAAAUCCGAAGUCUUUCAAAAGUUUGUUGAAUUUCAAACUCUCGUUGAGCGUCUUUUCGAUCGCAAAAUAAUAACCAUGCAAACCGAUUGGGGCGGAGAAUAUCAAAAACUUCAUUCAUUCUUUGCUAAAGUUGGAAUCAGCCAUCAUAUCUCCUGUCCUUAUGCACAUCAACAGAAUGGGUCGGCGGAGAGAAAACACCGCCAUAUUGUUGAAGUUGGUCUAGCCCUUCUUGCUCAUGCUUCUAUGCCCCUGAAAUACUGGGAUGACGCCUUCCUUGCAGCUGUUUAUUUGAUCAACCGUACUCCUAGCAAAACCAUAAAUUAUGAAACACCUUUGGAGCGUCUUUUUCACCAAAAACCAAAUUACUCCUUUUUGCGCAUUUUUGAUUGUGCUUGCUGGCCUAACCUUCGUCCCUAUAAUUCUCAUAAGCUUCAAUUCCGCUCCCGUCAAUGUGUCUUUCUAGGAUACAGUAAUUUUCACAAAGGUUUCAAAUGUCUUGAUCUUUCUUCUGGACGAGUCUAUAUUUCAAGGGAUGUCAUCUUUGAUGAAACAAUUUUUCCCUUCUCCUCUCUCCGCCCCAAUGCUGGUCGUCGUCUCCAACAAGAAAUUUCCCUUCUUCCUCCAUCCCUUCAACAUUCUGAUAUUAUCACCGGUUAUGGGGGCCAACAUGUGGAUAAUCAUGUGCCUACAUGUUCUACUAACACUACUAAUCCAUGUGCUUUGAGCUCUCCACCUGUGCAGGACACAGCCGGGUCAAAUGAUGCUUCCGGCCCAAGUACUGAGGCCGAGUCACCUAUGCCAGCUCCUGUUGACGAUGCUGCCCUGCCCGCCAUGCAGUUGGAUGAGAGCGCCAUACACGAUCCGCCUGCAGCCACGGACUCCCCGCCUCUUGGAUCCUCUGCACCCGGGGGGGACCAACAGCAGUCGCAGCAUAUGGAACAGCGACGCCCGAGUACACGUCUCCAACAUGGAAUCCGUAAGCCCAAAGUUUAUACUGAUGGCACUAUCAAGUACAAUUUUCUUACAACUUCUGGUGAACCACGAAACUUAGAAGACGCCUUGAGUGAUAAAAACUGGAAAAAUGCUAUGGAUGCUGAAUUUAUGGCACUAGAAAAGAAUAGAACCUGGCACUUAGUUCCACCUCAAAAAGGCAGGAAUAUAAUUGACUGUAAAUGGGUUUAUAAAAUUAAAAGAAAACAAGAUGGAAGCUUAGAUAGAUAUAAAGCUCGCCUAGUUGCAAAAGGAUUUAAACAAAGGUAUGGUAUUGAUUAUGAGGACACUUUUAGCCCUGUGGUCAAGCCAACUACUAUCAGGAUUGUUCUCUCUAUUGCUAUCUCUAGGGGGUGGUCUCUUCGUCAAUUGGAUGUGCGAAAUGCUUUUCUUCAUGGAAUCCUUGAAGAGGAAGUGUACAUGAAACAACCUCCUGGAUAUGAGUGUUGGGGCGAAGGCAAAGACGCCACCCUUCGCUCGAGGCCUUCGCUGCAGCCGCCGGUCCGACGGAGACAAAGCGGGCAGGGACACCCUUCGCAGGACUCGGCACUUUGACGAAGGCCUGCGGCGACGUCCUACCACGGCGUGUCCUCGUUCAGUCCCAAGGCCCACGUGUGAUCUGGCCCAUUGUAACGGGCCCCGCGUGGCCGCCUCUGUAUUACGGGCCUAACUUGUAAAGGAAUACUUGUAAUUACGGUCUGUAACCCUGCUUUAUGGGAAUAUUCUGGGGAUAAAAUAGGUGCCUGAGGGCACAUGCGUCCUUAACACAAGACGCUGGGCACUCAGAUACCUAUAAAUAUCCCCGCACAGUGCCCGUGAGAGGCUAGAUGAACAGAGCUAUUGCCCCCGUGCACGUAACCCUGUUGUCACCACUAUUCACCCUUGUUGGCCUUCUUGCUGCUGUGAGCGAGUUCCAACAUUUGGCGCCCACCGUUCGUGCUACGAUAAAACCACCCGCGAUGGCACCCAAGAGAGCUAACCCCAAGGCUGACGAGGCUGCGAAGGCAGCACUGCUGGCCGCAAGAAAGGGCAAGGCCCUCGUCCUCACCCAAUCCACCCACCAAGAGCCCACUGAAGACAAUGUUCCCCACACCGGCGAAGACGACACCUUCCGCACCUGCGGAACCGAAGGACAGUCACAGCCGCCCCCAGGCUUCGCCCCACUGGAAGGCGCGGAUCUCACCGAGGACGGUGAGGUCCUCGGCGUCUCAACAGAAGAACAGCUGCAGCUGCGCGCCCUGCGCCUCAGGAACCGCAAUCUCCAGAGGCAGAAAGAGAUACUGGAGGCCAAGCGCCAGCGUGUGUCCGCAUUAGCCAAAGUGCGGCAAAUGAUACGCGACGAGGAGCAGAAAGCUCAAGACCUCGAGCGCGAGAUCGCGCUGAUGCAGCGCGAAGGCCACCUCGGUCUACAGCAAGAGCCACCCCUCCAACAGCGCACACAACCGGAGGACACGCGCGAAGGCCACCUCGGCCGGCAGCAUGGCCCACCCCUGCAGCACCGGGCGCAGCCGGAGAACCCGCGUUUCCCCCAGCAUGACUACGUCUCCCAGCACGGCGCGCCAUUCCAAGGGGUCAACUACCUCGACGAGCGAAGCCCCCUGGCGCCACACCUACAAGUGACGCCUUGGCCAGCUAACUUUCGAGCGGGGGCAUACCCCAAGUACAACGGCAGCACCGACCCGGCGCAGUACAUCAUGAGUUAUCAAGUCGUCGUUGCAUCAGCCGGAGGGGACGACGCCACAAUGGCGAAGUCUUUCAUCAUCGCACUAGAGGGCCCAGCACUCACCUGGUUCACCAGAUUGCCUCCGCUGUCCAUCGAUUCGUGGAGAAGUCUCAGGGACAAGUUCCUCCUCAACUUCCAAGGGUACCGUCCAGACACCGACGCUUUGACCGAGCUCUCGCUUUGCAAACAGCUAGAAAAGGAGACUCUGCGGGAGUAUUACCGCAAGUUCUUAACACUCAAGUCGCAGCUGCCCUCUGUCGACGAUCAGAUCGCCAUCCACUACGCCAUCAAUGGCCUUCGGGCCGGCGUCCUCUACAGCCAUUGUAUCAGAGAUCCACCCAAGAGCUUGCAGGAGCUAUAUCAGCUCUUCGAAAAAUAUGCCAAAUCCGAAGAGCUCCACCAGCGCAAGGUCGAGUCACAACGGAAACCCAAAGAUGCCCCGCAGUCCAGCCGCACGUGGACAAGGACUCCGCAGCCAGACUCCGGUCGAGAGGGCCGCAGUCAGCAGCAAGUGCACAACAUCGUCAACCAACAGCCUGCUGCUGAUCCCCCUCGCCGCCAGGAAUAUCCCCCCAGGGCCGCGGAAAUGGAACUCGCGGCAGGGGUCGAGGGCGGGCGCAGCAGCCGCCGCGCCGGUUCUAUUGCCUUUUCCACGGCGAAGACUGCGCCCACCAGACCAAAGACUGCCCCGAGACGAAGGCCACCAGAGAAAGAAUGGCGCGGGCGCAGCCAGCCGACAAUCCUAGAAUUGUCGCGCAUAAUUACCAACCACCCCCUCCACCAUACAUCCAUGCUCCCGCUCCGCAUCCACCGCACCACGCUUACCAACACCAUCAGGAAGUACAAAUCGUACCUCCUCCACCCCCACCGCCACACCAGCAACACCAAAACAUCCCCCACGCCCCAAAACAGGAAGACUUCGCCGAUCAACCAUAUCGCGGAGUCAUUCACAUGAUAACAGGGGGGUCCAGCACUGACUUCGACACCAAGCGGCAGAAGCGGGACCACUACCGCAGCAUCAACCACGUCGCCGUCACUGGCCCAGUCGUGCAGACGAAGUGGUCCCAUAUACCGCUAACCUUCGACGCACGAGACGUCGACCUACGCAGCGCCCCCCACAUCGACGCUAUGGUCAUCAAUUGCAGCGUGGCAGGCUGGGAUUUACACAAAGUCCUAGUCGACAACGGCAGUCAGGCGGACAUCAUCUUCCUCCACGCCUUCGACCGCAUGGGUAUAAGCCACAGCUUGCUGAAGCCUUCGGACAACCCGUUGUAUGGUUUCGGCGGCAAGGGCACCUUUCCAGUUGGCAAGAUAGAGUUGCCCCUCUCCUUCGGUGUAGCGCCCAAUGCCCGAAGUGAGCAAGUAACCUUCGACAUUGUCGACAUGGUAUAUCCAUACAACGCCAUCAUGGGCCGGGGAUCCAUCAACAAGUUCGAAGCUGCCAUCCACGGGUUGUACCUAUGUAUGAAGAUACCAGGCCCGCUAGGCGCCAUCACAGUCUACGGCAACCAGCAGACGGCGCGCAACAUUGAGCGGGACUUCGUGCCCGGUCAGAGAAACAUACACUGUCUCACAACCCAGCGCGAGGUCCCUGCGCCGGCCAGCCCAACCGACAAGCAGCACGACAAGGCACAGUUGCAGUGCCAAGACGGGACCAAGACUGUCCCCCUCGAUCAGGCCACGCCCAAGCACACAGUAACUAUCAGCGAAGACCUCACCUCACUUGAGGAAGAGAGACUUCUCUGCUGCCUGGCCAAGAAUAAGGAUGUCUUCGCCUGGUCUGCCCUCGAUCUGGUCGGAGUCAGCCGAGCCAUAAUUGAGCACAGCUUGGGGAUUAACCCUUCGGUGCGACCCAAAAAGCAGAAGCUUCGCAAAAUGUCAGACGAAAAGACAGAGGCCGCCAAGGCGGAGGUGCAUCGCCUCCUGGAGGCUAAAUUCAUCGAGCCAGUGGCUUACCCCACGUGGCUCUCCAAUGUUGUGAUGGUGCAGAAAAAAAGCGGAAAAUGGCGCAUGUGCAUAGACUUCACCAGUCUCAAUAAGGCCUGCCCAAAGGACAAUUUCCCGUUGCCGCGGAUCGACAAAAUAGUCGAUAGCGCGGCCGGAUGCGAGGUCAUGUCCCUCCUCGACUGCUUCUCCGGCUAUCACCAGAUAUACAUGAAGGAGGAAGACAAGGCUAGCACCAGCUUUAUAACACCCUUCGGCACUUAUUGCUUUGUCAGAAUGCCGGAGGGUCUCAAGAAUGCCGGAUCCACCUUCUCCAGACUCACCAAAACGGUGCUCGAGGGGCAGGUCGGCAGAAAUAUAUUCACAUAUGUGGACGACAUCGUCGUCGCCAGCAAGAAUAAGGAGGACCAUCUCGCCGACCUGGCAGAGACAUUCGCGAACAUGCGAGAUGCACGACUCCGCCUAAACCCGGAAAAGUGCGUUUUCGGUGUCCGCCAGGGCAAGAUAUUGGGCUACCUGGUGUCCCGCCGCGGCAUCGAGGCCAACCCAACCAAGAUCCAGGCCAUCGUCGAUAUGUCGCCUCCGCAGUCCGCCAGGGACGUCCAGCGCCUGACAGGCAGGAUGGCCGCUCUCAACAGAUUCAUCUCCAGGUCCGCCGAGCGAAGUCUCCCCUUCCUCAAAACACUCCACGGCGCGAAGGACUUCGCUUGGGGACCGGAGCAAGCAGCGGCCUUCGCCUCACUAAAACUGUACCUGUCGGAGCUGGCCAUCCUCACGAGCCCCGACUCCUCGCUCCCCCUAUUGCUCUAUGUCGCGGCUUCGCCGCACGCAGUCAGCGCGGCACUGGUACAGGAGCAGACAGUCGAGGGCGCAGUCAGACAGUGCCCUGUCUACUAUGUCUCCGAAGUCCUGACACCGUCCAAAUGCAACAUGACAGAGCUGGAGAAGAUUGCCUACGCAGUUGUUAUGUCCUUGCGCAAGCUGCGCCAUUAUUUUGAAGCAUUCAAGGUCCGAGUCACCUCAGACAGGAGGCUCGGCGAACUAUUCAGGAACCCGGAGGCAUCAGUGAGGAUUGCCAAGUGGGCAGCCGAACUCUCCGGCUACCACAUCAGCUUCGAGCCUAGAACAGCUAUCAAGUCGCAAGUCCUGGCAGACUUCGUCGUCGACUGGACUGGGCCAGUAACACAGCCGGACCCAUCCACAGAAAAGGUCUGGACUAUCCAUUGCGACGGUGCAUGGUGUCAUGCGGGGGCAGGCGUUGCUGUAGUCGUCACCUCGCCAGCCGGAGUCAAACACAGAUAUGCAGCACGCCUCAGCUUCGCUCUGGAAUCCGACAAAUGUACAAACAACAUAGCAGAGUAUGAAGCAGUCAUCCUCGGCCUCCGCAAGCUAAGGGCCCUCGGAGUCACCACAUGUAUCAUCAAAACAGACUCCAAGAUAGUUGCCGGUCAGGUCAAAAAAGACUAUGCAGCAAAAGACCCCGCCCUCAUGCAAUACCUCGCGGCUAUCCGAAGUCUCGAGAGACAAUUCAAGGGAUUCACCCUGCAGCAUGUGGAUAGGGCCAAGAACGAGGAGGCCGAUGCCUUAGCCAAGGUCGCCGCCAGGGGCGAGCCCCUGCCCUCCGACGUGUUUUUCCACACCAUCGGCACUCCAGCUGUCCGGAGCCCCGAAGGGCUCCAGAUAACUAAUGAUAGCGAAGGCCACCGUAUAGUCAACCUAAUCAUGACAGAAGACUGGAGGGCACCAAUAACCCUGUUCCUACAGGGGUACUAUCAUCCAGCCGACGUCAGUGAGGCAAAGCGCCUCAGACAUCGAAGCCGGGACUUCGCUCUGAUCGAGGGCCAACUGUACAAGAAAGGGGUCAGUCAGCCAAUGCUCAAAUGCGUCACCGAAACCGAAGGCAUGCAGAUCCUACGCGAAGUUCACAGUGGCACGUGCGGCUCGCACGCAGGGCCAAGGGCCCUGGCUGCCAAGGUGAUCCGACAAGGGUUUUACUGGCCCGCAAUGAUCUGCGCCGCAAAUCGGGUCACGAGGUCCUGCGAAGCCUGCCAGAAGUUCUCCCCUCAGUCAGGCAACCCCUCGCAAUAUACAAAGCUGAUUGCCCAUACAUGGCCUCUCCAGCGCUGGGGCCUGGACAUCGUCGGGCCCCUGCCCACCGCUCAGGGGAACCUUAAGUUCGCCUUCGUAGCUGUCGAAUACUUCACCAAAUGGAUUGAAGCGAGGGCUGUUUCCACAAUCACAUCAAAGACUGCCCAAAAAUUCUUCUGGCAGAACAUCGUUUGCCGCUUCGGAGUACCGUCCGAGCUAACAGUUGACAACGGCAAGCAGUUCGACAGCCAAGAUUUCAAGGAUUUUUGUUUCUCCAUCGGCACCAAGCUUGCCUUCGCUUCAGUCUAUCAUCCGCAGUCCAACGGGGUCGUGGAGCGCGCCAAUGGGAAAAUAUUCACAGCUGUCAAAAAGAUGCUCCUCGAUGAAAGAAAAGGCAGAUGGACAGAUUUAUUACCAGAGGCGGUCUGGGCGCUAAACACAACCGAGUGCAGAGCGACCGGGUUCACUCCUUUCCGCCUUCUAUACGGAUCGGAGGCAAUGACCCCGCAAGAAAUAAAGCAUGGGUCCCCGCGUACAGUUCCGUCAGCCGUCCCCGAAGUGGAUGAGCCAACUUCAAAAGAUCUCAUUGACGGAGACCGGGUCUUCGCCCUACAGGCCCUAAACAAAUAUCAGGCCCAGACCAAAGCAUGGCGCGACCGCGCAGUCAUCCCAAGGGAGUUCAGCGAGGGGGACCUCGUACUCAUCCGAACAGCUCGGACGGAGUCCAAGGGCAAGUUGGAGCCCAAGUGGGAGGGCCCCUUCAUAGUCAAGUCAAAAGCUUCCCGCUUACAGGCUCACAACGCCAAACGGCGAGGACCUAGAGCACUCCUGGAACGUCGACAACCUUCACAAAUUUUUUGUUUGACCCAUUUAGGGCUGAUUUCGCCCUUGUAAUUCGCUGCAAACAAUCUUGUACCGGCCCGCACUCUUUUCCUCCCGGGGGGUGAGGUUUUUAACGAGGCGGAGCCAUGUAAUAUAUGUGAGAAAAAUCCCCCGCAAAAGCAUGUGUCGAAAAAAGACCGCAACAACGGUCUUCGGCAUUCGACCAAUUCGAAGUCACCGCGAGGCUAAGCGCUAGCCACCCUCGCGUGCGACCAAUCCGCGCAGAAGUCGCCUAAGGGUGCAGCCGGACUUAGCACAACAAGUGCGCAAAAAUCCAAAGUCCAUCGCGAAGACUAUCCGCGCAGAAGUCGCCUAAGGGUGCAGCCGGACUUAGCACAACAAGUGCGCAAAAAUCCGAAGUCUAUCGCGAAGACUAUCCGCGCAGAAGUCACCUAAGGGUGCAGCCGGACUAAGCACAACAAGUGCGCAAAAAUCCGAAGUCUAUCGCGAAGACUAUCCGCGCAGAAGUCGCCUAAGGGUGCAGCCGGACUAAGCACAACAAGUGCGCAAAAAUCCGAAGGCUAUCGCGAAGACUAUCCGCGCAGAAGUCGCCUAAGGGUGCAGCCGGACUAAGCACAACAAGUGCGCAAAAAUCCGAAGGCUAUCGCGAAGACUAUCCGCGCAGAAGUCGCCGAAAGGUGCAGCCGAGCUAAGCACAAGCGCGCAAAAAUCCGAAGCCUAUCGCAAAAACUUCGCGCAAGAGCCGCCUAAGGGCGCAGCCGACCCAGUACAACAAAAGCAGAAACGACACCAAGACCAAUUAUAAUCGUGCUGGCACAGCAUAAUCAAUCACACCAGACAAAGUACACAGCGCCCUCGCAGGCACAGGCACGCGAGGGCACACAACUCCAUUUUACAAGCCCUUACACAUACACAAGCGAGGGCACCGCGCCCUACAUCGGCUCAACCUUAGGAAUAAUCCCCAUCUCUCUAUAAUUAAACAACAUUAUCCUAAGCUCCUCACCCGCAAAAAGGCUUCGCAGCUCCCCUUCCCCUGCACCAGCGGCGGCCGGCAAAGACAGCAGCUCCUGCCGACCAGCCCUGCUAACGCGGAGCCGGGCCCCUUCCUCCGCACUAAUCCUACGCUUUGCAACCGCCCUUCGUCGUCGGUGCCCGGUGCUAGGACCGGGCACGUCUGGCGCGUCCGCAGCGUGUGGCGCAGCCUCCGCCGCAGCCACGUCCAAGGCCGCAAAAUAAUCCAAGUCCCCCUCCGAAGACUCCUCAGUCCACUCAACCGAGCUCCCAGAGUCAGUAAAAUCACAAAACUCAGAAACAGACCCACCAUAUUCAUUUCCAUCUUUCGCGGUCGAAGCCGCCAAAAACUCAGUAGUAGCGGUUGCGUGCGCAGGCCCAAAAUCUCGAACCUGCGCAGCAACCAAAAUUCAGUACAACAUCCAAAAAUUCCUCAACCCUAAACACCACAUAUGCCACCUGCGAAGGCCCUGCCGCUGCGGGAGCCUCCGCCGAGGCCUCCGCCGCUGCCUCCGCCCCCACCUCCGCUGGAUCUUCAGCGCUCGGCACAGCAGCUGCGGGGGCAUCGGGCGCGCCUUCGGCCACCUUUGGGGGAAGGUCUUCGCCGGCCGCAGCAGGUGCAGGGGCGCCUGGUGCAUCUUCCGCGGUCUCCGGGGUCGGUCCGGGGGCGACUCCAGUCGCGGCCUCCGCAGGGGUCGUCUCCGGGUCAGGCAGCGCGCUGUUCAGCGCCCCGAAGUCGUCCACCCGCUCGCCACGCUCCGCCUAAGACAAAACGCACAAAAAUUCAGCAAACACACGCACAGACCGCAUCCAGCAAACGCCGAGCAAACGACAACGUUACCUGAGCCCUCGCAGCCGCGGCCCGCGCCCGGACCACCUCACAACCGUAUGAACUCCACAUCCGGUCAUAGAGGGCCCCGGCGGAUUCCUUCACCACGGGGUCUUCGACCUCAAAGAUAUCUCGCCCAAAAUCCUCAUCUGCCUGGUCGAGGGCCUCAAAGUGCCGGCAGCCUUCGCGAGAGAGCGCGUUCAUUGCUGCCUCGCAGGUGACCAGGGAGGUGAACGCCAUCAACCCCGCCAAGACAGUGGGGAGCUCCUGCAGUUCCUCCUGCACCCAUUCCAGACAGCGAAGUCCGGCCUCUCGCUCCGGCACCUCGAAGUCACCCGUCCGCACACCUAGCUCGCGGUAUGCAGUCAUGAGCUGCGUGCGCGUCCGUUCGGCCUCCGCUCGCAUCGCGGCCUCGGCCCCCUCCGCGCGGCUCUCCAGGGCAGUAAGCCGCCGCUGCAGCUCUCCGGCGAGCUCCUUGGCGAUAUUGCCUUCCGCCCGCGCCAGCCUGGCCUCCGCCUGAGCAGCCUGCUCUUUGGCGAUGGCUUCGUUGGCCUCCCUCCUCUCCCCCGCCAUCUGGCGCCGGAGGUCAGCCUUCUCCUUCUUCAGGGCGGCCACCUUCUCCGACAGUUUGCGGCACUUGCUGUCGGAGGCCGAUUUCUCACGAACAGCGUCAGCAUGUUGCGUCCGAAGUCUCUCGACCUCGGCAGACAAAGCUGCCGUAAGGGCCCCCGACGCGGUGCGGCUGGUGAAGUCAGCCACCUGUAGAACACACGUAAGGCCGUUGCGUAAAAAAAAGAGAGGGGGGCGGAGAGGGCAUAGCUCGGCGGACCUGACUCAGCGCCUCCGUCGCUCGACUCAACGCCUCCGUCGCUCCCCUCAGCCGGCGGGUCGCCACGCCCGCCUCGUCCCUGACCAGCGCGAGGGCAGACACCUCGCCUCCGGCGCCAAGGGUCUCUCCCCCCGCCUUCGGCGCUGGCGCAGCCGUCGCGAUCGCCGCGCCAGGCAUAACCAGAGCAAGCGGGCCCUCGUCCGACCCUGCAACGCGUCAACAAAUUAAAAAAAACGUGUGUAUAUAUUUAUAUAGACUUACCCCCAAGAUAAUCCUCCACAUUAAUCUCGGUGCCGAAGUCGGCAACGCGUUUGCCGGCGGCGGUAACGUUCGGGCCGCCUUCGCAGCCUCCGCCACUCCGCUGACAGACGGCACCACCUUCGUCAGCGUGGGGCCUCCGGCGCCCACCGUCACCUCCGGCGCCUUGCCAGGCGCAGAGGCGCCCACCUUCGCCGGCAGCGGCGGCUUGCCUCCGCCGGAGGCCUCCGCCUUCGCCGUUCCCCGCUGCCUCUUCGGCCGAGCUUCGUGAACCCUCACAGUCGCCUGGCGUUUACGCGCCGCCCCUUGGCGAUCCUUGUCCAUCACUGCCCACACAACAUGACCGAUAUUUCGCCCAUAAGGAAAAACUCUCCACCGAUGAACCAUACGAGAUGUAAAACAGUCCUCCUCAGCCGCGCAGGGGAUAGGAAUGUCUUUAGGCCAACAACCCCCGGUAACCCUCAGCAUCCGAGCCGAAGACUCCCGGAGCUCGGGCGAAGACAUCCUCUCCCCCGGGGCCGCACACGUCCUCAUUAACUCUCUAGCGAAACUAUCAGACACCCCAAGUCUUCCCAUCGCAGUACCUAAUUUUCUCUUUUUCAAGGAGGCGGCGGCCACCAGCGCAGGGUCGCCUCCAGUCUCCACCGCCGGUUUCUUCCCACGGCGGUCCGCUUCGUCUUGACCAGGGUAGCCGUCGUACGGCAGUUGAUUUAAUUCGAAGACCCUGUUCAAACGUUCAUUUGACCCGCGGAUGUCAAAGCUGCGCUGGCCUUCCGUCCUCGGCACAUAACGCCCCACGAGCCGCACCGCCAAGUCCUCCGCAUCACGCACAAAGGCGGCCGGGUCACGGUUUCGCAAAUUCAGUGCGAAGGCAGGACUUCGCACCACCCUUCCUCCGUGAAAGGGCAUCUGGCGAGGGCAUACUUCGCCCAGCGCCCAGCCGUGCGCCAAGGGCCAGACCCCGUACGCCACGAACUCUUCAACUAAAUCUCGAUCGCUGCUCUGACCGGCGGCGCACCGAAGGGCCCCUUCGUCUGCAUCAUCUUCUGCUACUUCAUAAGGCGGAUACGCAGAGUAAUAGUGAGAGCACAUUUCGGACACGGGGAGCCCGUUAUGGCCUUCGACAGUAGCCUCAGCAACAUAAAACCAAAAUUCAUUCCAAUUGCCCCACUUGUUGCGGGCGCACGGGACCAACUCCACUACUGGCAUUGUGGUCUUGCCGGUCUUCGGCGUGAAUGUGCAUGACCCGAACUGGGCAACUCCGUCCUCAACCAUCCUUUUCUGCCAAUGCAAACAAUAAUUCUUCGCAAAAACUUCAACUGACGGCUGUCCGCCGUACGAAGUCGUCGCCCAGACAUACUUCGCCAGCGCCACUAUGGCGUUCGGUGUCAGCUGAUGUAUUUGAACGCUGAAUCUACGCAGGACUUCGCUGACAAAACGGUGCGCAGGCAAGCGGAGUCCGGCGACGAAGAACGCCUCGAAAACAACCAACUCGCCCUCUGGUUCGGGGACCUCCUCCGUCCCCGGAGCACGAGCGACUCCGCCGCCAAAGUAGCCCAACCGCUGCAUAUCUUCAAUACGGGCUGACGUCAUCCGCGACACACCAAAUUCAACAGAGUCGCCGGCGCGCAACUCCUCCACCACCACGUUACUCAACGUCUCCUCAGACGAGGCGGCGGCCGGCGGCGCAGCGUCGGCGGAAGAAGAAGAGGAUGGCAUUGCUACGUACCGUCGGCGGCGGCGGGCGGUCUGCUUCACUCGAGCCAGAACGCCGGCGAGCAAAGGGAGCAGCGGAGGAAAAGGAGCAGCAAGACGGCGGGCGGCUAGGGUUUUACGAAGCGCGGAAGGCAGAGUUCAAACAGCGCCGCCCCCGCCCCCUUUUAUAGGCAGGGCGCGGCUCUUCGGGAAACCCGCAAUCCGACAGGCCGCGACGCUUCGGGAAACCCGCAAUCCAACAGUACGCCGUCCAUCAACGGUCACAUCAAAUACCCCCGCAGAACCACUUCGAGCGAGGGCAGCGUCUCCGCCAUCUAGCGACGUCUUCGGCACCAGGUGACUUUGUCGAACUGGUCCCUCGGAGGGCAAAUGUUGGGGCGAAGGCAAAGACGCCACCCUUCGCUCGAGGCCUUCGCUGCAGCCGCCGGUCCGACGGAGACAAAGCGGGCAGGGACACCCUUCGCAGGACUCGGCACUUUGACGAAGGCCUGCGGCGACGUCCUACCACGGCGCGUCCUCGUUCAGUCCCAAGGCCCACGUGUGAUCUGGCCCAUUGUAACGGGCCCCGCGUGGCCGCCUCUGUAUUACGGGCCUAACUUGUAAAGGAAUACUUGUAAUUACGGUCUGUAACCCUGCUUUAUGGGAAUAUUCUGGGGAUAAAAUAGGUGCCUGAGGGCACAUGCGUCCUUAACACAAGACGCUGGGCACUCAGAUACCUAUAAAUACCCCCGCAUAGUGCCCGUGAGAGGCUAGAUGAACAGAGCUAUUGCCCCCGUGCACGUAACCCUGUUGUCACCACUAUUCACCCUUGUUGGCCUUCUUGCUGCUGUGAGCGAGUUCCAACAAUGAGGACAAAGAGAAGCCAAGUUAUGUUUGCAAACUAGACAAAGCUCUUUAUGGUCUAAAACAAGCUCCUCGGGCCUGGUAUGCAAGGUUGAGUAAGAAACUUUUUGAUCUUGGUUUUAGAAGUUCCAAGGCCGACACUUCCCUAUUUUUCUAUAAUAGCAAAGAUGUGUCUAUGUUUAUCCUUAUAUAUGUAGAUGACAUAAUUGUGGCAAGCUCAAAGCAAGAAGCUGUUUCAGCACUACUGAAAAAAUCUGCAGGAAGAAUUUGCUCUAAAGGACUUAGGGAAUCUUCACUACUUCCUUGGUAUAGAGGUAAACAAGACACAAAACGGUAUACUGUUAACACAGGAAAAAUAUGCAACUGAUUUACUACGGAGCAAGAAUCCUAGGACCUGUUGGUCUGUGGUCUUCCAGUCCUCCCAUGCCGGAUUGGGAACGUCGACGUCCUUGUCCUUGAUGGUGGUCGCCGGAGCUGCAGCAGCACCCGUGAGGUAACCCUCUAGGCGCACACCCCUGACGACGGCUAGGACUUGCAUCUUCCAGAGUUGAUAGUUCCCCUUGGCCAGUUUCUCAGAAACAGCUUGACCGACGAGGGGAUUGAUAAUUGCAGCAGUGCUCGACAUGAUGAUUCUCUGGUGGAUUUUGGUGUUUAUGGAUUGGCUCUGAUUACCAUAAAGAAUAUCAGAGGCGCUGGAAGAGAUUGGAAAACACCGCGAUGCCCCUGGCCGGUGUGCUGCAUGUUUAUAUAUGGGCAAUAACAACCAUUGCCGUGGUUUACAUUUGGAUAAUCAUGAGUCUGUUUCAGAUAAUCACGCAGAGUUGGUUACACGAGAUAAACUCUAAUACAAUCGACUAUAUGAGAUAAGAUUGAUAUACUAACUCUGCGUUAUCUGUUACAGGCGCUUUGCUUUACAUACACUCUAUUUGGAAAAAAACACUGUUGAACUAUAGUACUUCCUCCGGGUUCAAAUGAAUUGACUUUCUGGUUGUUUUAGAGAUUGCUCAAAUUUCGCAUACACACUUCUCAAAACUAACUAGAGGAAAACAUCCUAUCUUUCCAUCAAAAAUGCAUACCCCAUUCCCAUCAAACCUUGGUCGAGCACAUAAGAACAUCAUUUAGGACAGUUAUUCUUAUUCCGGCAUGUUAUCAGUGGCUCAUCUUCAUCUAGAAGAAGGUAGUAUCGCUUUGAUUUUCUAGUAAGGAAGAACCAUUUCUCAUCAAUGAAGAUAGUGUCAAAUAAUGCCUUAAAUCUUGGAUAUUUGGUAUGCUUUUAGGCUCAAGCAUAUUAACACACCACUGCAGCCUAGCUUGCUUGUUUGCUUCGGUUAAGUGCAACUUGAUACUAUUUGCAUGCUUUUAAUAAUACCUUGUUUUAGAGAUCUCAACAAUUUGGACUUGCUCACAUGUAAAAUAGCACAUACAUCUUCCUGACUUGUUCUAUCUUUUAGAGCAGUGUUUUCGGUGCUUCUAAAUCCAGAGGAACUGGUUUACGGCCAAAACUCUACCACGGCUCUUAGCAUAAACAUCAACAAUAAUAAUGCCUUGAUCAAGAGAUUGCUUACCAUCGUGCCAUAUAUGUUGCACAGUUCUUAUUUUGUAUCAUGCCUCAUAAGCUUUCCAUUUUUACUUCUUGCCAACAAGACUUGAUAUACUUGUUUCUUCACUUCACCUGGAGUAUCUUUGCUACCUAAAAAUAUUCAUAGUGCUCUAAAUGGUAAACGUAAAAAAUGGUAACAGUGGGUGAUACUAUAUUAAGGCAUAUAUCACUAACUAUUAUAAGGAGUUGUUUUUUGCCACAUGAUGAUAAGAAUUUUUGACUAGUGGAGAACUGAAUACAACAUAUCACACAUGUAAGGAGGACAUGCUCCUCUUGUGGAAUGGUUCACAUAUGCAUAGCGCCUCUCUUACACAUUUGUCAUAGCUUCAUAUAAAAGAAUUAACCUAGAGGUACUACUUAUUAAGUGACAAAUAUUAUAAAUUGACCCCCCCCCCCCUCACUCCUAAACUUUCAAAAAUAUAUGACAUGUUUAGUUCACUUCUCUUAGGGCUAGUUUGAGAACUUCAUUUUCCCAAGUGAUUUCUAUUUUCCCAUAGAAAAAUAAACUAAUUUCCAUUGGAAAAAUGGAAAUCCCUUGGAAAAUUAGGGUUCCCAAACUAGCCCUUAGCAUAAUGUUGCACCUUGGAUCCUCAAAACACUGUUUGUUUGAUUGCUUGCACAUACACAGUGCCCGCAGUCAAGCCUGUGGGAAACGCCAGCAACAAGCUUACACAUAUGUAGCUCACACACUCCUAGAUGCCUUUUUUGUUUGUUUUUCUCGUUAUAUUUUCUAAUUAAAAGAUUUAAUCACCAAACCAGUUUCAUAUAUAUGUUUCUGACAUUUGUGCGAAUAAAACUAGACCACUCAUACUAUAUAUAUAUAUAUAUUAAACAAAAAAAUAUGUGCUUAAGAUUAACAAAUAAUUAGUGUCUAUUGGUAUGAAAUUGGUGCCUAUUACGUAAUUUUUACAUAUAAUUAGUGUCUAUUAAUAUAUUUCUAAUUUUUAAUAAGUAUUCAUGCAAGCAACCGAACAACAUCUCUAAUAAACCAUGUUGGACACAUGCAACAAUCAAAGAGGAGGUAUGUUGUUACCCAGACUUGUCAGAGUCAGGCUCACUAGAUUGGAGCCCAGCUCUACCAUGCAGUCAACCAAAUACGCCCAUACUAAAUCCACCACUACGACCACACAUAGGCCACAAGGGCCAACUACUAUACAUAACUAAUAGGUUGGGGUGUUAUGAUACUCCUAAUUCUUAUAGCACAUAGCACUAUAGAUUUUCGAUGGCCAAAAGCCGCCAAAAAUAAGGGUUUUCCGCUAAAACUAGCUUAUUUUCAGCGGCAAUAGGUAUAUUUUCUGCGGUACCCAACGGCCACGGAUAAUGAGCCGAAAAUAAGUUCCUAUUUUCAGUGGCCACGCUAUUACCAUCGAAAAUAAGAUAUUUUCGACGGCCCUCUUUGCCAAUGGAAAUAAUAUUGUUAUUUUCGUGGGUCUUUUUCAGCCGCUGGAAAUAAAGAUUUUUUUAAAUAAAAAAUAAAUAAGUAAAAAAAUCAUAUAAAUCAUAGAACAAUUAGGAAAAAUCAUAGAAAAAUUAUACAACAUCAUAUAGUUGAGAAUGCACUUUCCAUCACACAUGUCCAGAAAGGUCAUCUAAAUCUUCACAAGUUCAAAUAUCAUCCUAAUACAAUAACAGUACAUAUUAGUUCAACUAAGAAGCAAGUCUAGCUCCUUGUUGUAGUGUUCAGACCUCACAAUAGUAACAUGACAAAUUGAAAGGGAAAUGUGUCAUUGGGCUAUUUCUACAAAUGUUUUGGUGAUUAAGUGUCCAACACAAAUGUUUUGAACUACUUAUGUGUUAAACAAGCAAAAGGUGCAAAUCAAAGAUAAGGUAUGUUUUUAGACUUAGUGUAUUGUUUUUGAGUACUAACAUGGUUAUCUAAGUGCUAGAAACAGUGAGAAAAGAAACUGAAAAGACUUAGCUCUGUGCAGCCAAAUUCAGCUCAUUCUGGCACACCAGACUGUCCGGUGAUGCACCGGACAGUGUCCGGUGCGCCAGGCUGGUCUCCGGUGAAAGUGUUGUUCUCGGGAAUCGACAGUGGCGUACGGCUAAAAAUCACCGGACUGUCCGGUGAGUCAUCCGCGGUGAACUCGUCGCUCUCGGGAAACGGAAAAGGCAACGUGGCUAUAAUUCACCGGACUGUUCGGUGAGCCAACGGUCGGCCGCGCAAUCUUCGCGCGACGCGUGGCAGCUCCAACGGUCGGCGGGGGGCACCGGACUGUCCGGUGUGCACCGGACAGUGUCCGGUGUGCACCGGACAGUGUCCGGUGCGCCAACGGGCCCAGAGCUGCAACGGUCGUCUGUGCCCGAUUUGGAAGGAAAUCACGCACCGGACAUGCUACAGUAGCUAUCCGGUGGCGCACCGGACUGUCUGGUGCGCCACUCGACAGAAGGCAAGGAUGGCCUUCCAAGUUUAUCUACAACGGAUCCUAGCUGCCUUGGGGCUAUAAAAGGGACCCCUAGGCGCAUGGAGGAGUCACCUAAGCAUUCACUAAGCAUUCUAAGACUCCCGCACUCCGCCUCCGCGGAAUUGGUCGACUGUGUUAGUGAUUUGAGCUCCGUUUGAGUCGUGAACUCACUGUGCUACGUUUCGAGCUCAAGUCUUGGCUUGUGUGCGUGUGUGUGCUACGGAUUUGUGUCUUGUGUGUGUUGCUUUUCCCAACCUUACUUCGUGCUUUCUUUGUGAUCUCUAUUGUAAGGGCGAGAGACUCCAAUUUGUGGAGAUUCCUCGCAAACGGGAACAAUACUCUAAAAGAAAAACCGUGGUAUUCAAGUUGAUCAUCGGAUCACUUGAAAGGGGUUGAGUGCAACCCUCGUCCAUCGGGACGCCACAACGUGGAAGUAGGCAAGUGCUACUUGGCCGAACCACGGGAUAAAAAUCACGCGUCUUGUGUUGCUUUCUCUGUGAUUGUUGUGUUCACAAGAACUCGCUUCAAGCUACUUAGCUGUACUAAUACUUAUAACUAAGUUUUGUGGCUAUUAGUGUUUGAUUUUUACAGGAUCACCUAUUCACCCCCCCCUCCUCUAGGUGCUCUCAAUUGGUAUCAAAGUCGUACUCUUCAUCUAAGGGACUAACUGCCCGAAGAGACUAAGGGAAAGGGGAUGGUGGUCAACGACAAGGAAAAGGGGUCCGUCUUAAAUGAGCCAAGAGAUGACAAGCCUACCGACUCAGGCUCGAGUAACAAGAAAAGAGACGGGAAGAAGAAGAGGCGCAUCAAGAAGAUCAUCUACUACGGCAGCGAUGCAUCUUCUUCUUACCAAGAGACGACGACGACGACUCUUCAUCGAAAAAGAGAACGGUUAAUCAAAACUACUCUUUUGACUAUUCUCGCAUGCCAUACAAUUCAAAUGCACAUUUACUUUCUAUUCCUAUAGGAAAACCUCCACACUUUGAUGGAGAGGACUACUCAUUUUGGAGUCAUAAAAUGUGUAGUCAUCUAUUUUCUCUCCAUCCUAGCAUUUGGGAAAUAGUGGAAAAUGGAAUGCAUUUCGAUAGUAUGGAUAACCCUGUGAUUAUUAAUGAGCAAAUCCAUAAGAAUGCCCAAGCUACUACUGUGUUGUUAGCAUCUCUUUGCAGGGACGAGUAUAGUAAAGUAAGUGGCUUGGACAACGCCAAGCAAAUCUGGGACACCCUCAAGAUCUCACAUGAGGGAAAUGAUGCUACAAUGAUCACCAAAAUGGAACUGGUGGAAGGCGAGCUAGGGAAAUUCGCCAUGAUCAGGGGAGAAGAGCCAACACAAACCUACAAUAGGCUGAAGACCCUGGUCAACAAGAUUAGAAGCUAUGGAAGCAUAAGAUGGAUGAAUCAUGACGUCGUCCGACUCAUGCUCAGGUCAUUUAUAGUUAUUGACCCCCAUCUUGUGAAUCUUAUCCGUGAAAACCCCAGGUACACAAAGAUGAUGCCCGAGGAGAUACUCGGAAAAUUCAUGAGCGGGCGCAUGAUGGUAACGGAGGCACGAUAUGUGGAUGACGCCUUGAACGGUCCACUACCUAUCUACGAGCCGCAGCUCGUUGCUCUCAAAGCAACGAGCAGCAAGGAGGCGCUACCAAGCAGAGUAGCUCAAGUGGAGGCUGUCGGACUUAAUGAAGAUGAGAUGGCGCUUAUCAUCAAGCGCUUCAAGACCGCACUCAAAGGACGCAAGGAAUACCCUAACAGGAAUAAAACAAGGGGAAAACGCUCCUGCUUCAAAUGCGGUAAGACUGGUCACUUUAUUGCAAAUUGUCCCGAUAAUGAUAGUGACUAGGGACAAGAAAAGAGCGGGAAGAAGGAGAAAAAGAAGAACUACAGGAAGGCAAAGGGCGAGGCACAUCUUGGAAAGGAAUGGGACUCAGACUGCUCCUCUUCCAACUCCGAUGACGAAGGACUCGUUGCUUCGGCCUUCAACAAAUCCUCACUCUUCCCCAACGAACACCAUACAUGUCUAAUGGCCAAGGAGAGAAAGGUAUGUGUUCGGGACACACCCAAGUACACUUCAUCUAGUGAUGAAGAAUCCUCCGAUGAUGAAGUAUAUUACUCUAGUUUAUUUAAAGGUUUAGAUAAAGCUAAAGUAGAAAAAAUUAAUGAAUUAAUUGAUGCUCCAAAUGAAAAAGAUAGAUUGUUAGAAAAACAAGAGGAUAUUUUAUAUGAGGAACAUGAAAAAUUUGUUAGUGUGCAAAAAUCCCUUGCCUUAGAAAUUAAGAGAAAUGAAAUGUUAUCCUCUGAAUUGUCUGUUUGCCAUGAAUCGGUCUCUAGUUUAAAGAGUUUAAAUGAUGAACUAAAUGCUAAGCUAGAGGAAGUCAACAAAACUAGUUCAUGUGUAGAUCAUGUUGUUAUUUGUAAUAGAUGUAAGGAUUUUGAUGUUGAUGCUUGUGAUGAUCACCUUAUUUCUAUUACCAAAUUAAAAGAUGAGGUGGCAAGUCUCAAUGCUCAACUUAAGACUUGCAAAAUUAAUUUUGAUAAAUUAAAAUUUGCUAGGGAUGCCUACACCGUUGGUAGACACCCUUCAAUUAAGGAUGGGCUUGGUUUUCGAAAGGAAGCCAAGAACAUAACAAGCCAAAGGGCUCCCAUUCCCAACAAGGAGAAAGGGAAGGCUCCUAUGGUUAGUAAUCCUCAAAGGAACCAUGUUUUUAUUUAUGAUAGGAAAAGUGCUAAUCGUGCUUGUUAUAAUAGGAGUUAUGAUCAUGAUGCUUUUAAUUCACAUGCUAUGUUUGCCUCUAGUUCUACUUUUGUUCAUGGUAGAAGUAGGCCUAGGAGAAAUCAUGUUGUUCAUCAUGUGCCUAGGAAAAUGUGCAAUGAAUCUACUACUGUUUUCCAUGCUUGCAACACUUCUUUUGUUCUUUCAUGUAAGAAUGCAAAAGUAGUGGCUAGGAAAUUUUGAUCCAAAUGCAAGGGAGACAAUACCUGCAUAUGGGUUCCAAAAACUAUUGUGACUAACUUUGUAGGACCCAACAAGAGUUGGGUACCUAAAACCCAAGCUUAAAUUCCUUGCAGGUUUAUGCAUCCGAGGGCUCAAGCUGGAUUAUCGAUAGAGGAUGCACAAACCACAUGACGGGGGAGAAGAAGAUGUUCACCCCCUACGUCAAGAACAAGGAUUCCCAGGAUACGAUUAUCUUUGGAGAUGGGAAUCAAGGCAAGGUCAAGGGUUUGGGAAAGAUAGCCAUCACCAAUGAGCACUCCAUAUCAAAUGUAUUUCUAGUAGAGUCGCUUGGUUACAACCUUCUGUCUGUAAGUCAAUUAUGUCACAUGGGUUACAAUUGUCUUUUUACAAAUGUUUAUGUAUCUGUCUUUAGAAGGAGUGAUGGUUCAUUAGCUUUUAAGGGUGUAUUAGACGGCAAACUCUACUUAGUUGAUUUUUCGAAAGAGGAGGUCGAUCUAGAUGCAUGCUUAAUAGCUAAGACUAGUAUGGGCUGGCUAUGGCAUCGCCGUCUAGCACAUGUUGGGAUGAAGAACCUUCAUAAACUUCUAAAGGGAGAACAUGUGUUAGGACUAACCAAUGUUUGUUUCAAGAAAGAUAGACCAUGUGCAGCUUGUCAGGCAGGGAAACAGGUGGGAAGCACUCAUCACAGCAAGAAUGUGAUGACAACAUCAAGACCACUGGAGCUUCUUCACAUGGACCUCUUCGGACCCGUUGCCUACCUUAGCAUCGGGGGAAGUAAGUAUGGUCUUGUAAUUGUUGAUGAUUUUUCCCGCUUCACUUGGGUGUUCUUUUUGCAGGAUAAAUCAGAAACCCAUGGGACCCUAAAGUGCUUUCUAAGGAGGGCUCAAAACGAAUUUGAGCUCAAGGUGAAAAAGAUAAGAAGCGACAACGGGUUCGAGUUCAAGAAUCUGCAAGUGGAGGAAUAUCUUGAGGAAGAAGGCGUCAAGCAUGAGUUCUCUGCUCCCUACACACCACAGCAAAAUGGUGUGGUAGAGAGGAAGAACAGGACGCUUAUCGACAUGGCGAGAACGAUGCUUGGAGAAUUCAAGACGCCCGAGCGGUUUUGGUCAGAAGCUGUGAACACAGCUUGCCACGCCAUAAACCGGCUCUACCUACAUCGCCUUCUCAAGGGGACCUCGUAUGAACUCCUUACCGGUAACAAACCCAAUGUUUCUUACUUUCGUGUAUUUGGGAGCAAAUGUUACAUUCUGGUGAAGAAAGGUAGACAUUCUAAAUUUGCUCACAAGGCAGUAGAAGGGUUUUUACUAGGGUAUGACUCAAAUACAAAGGCAUAUAGAGUCUUCAACAAAUCAUCGGGUCUGGUUGAAGUCUCUAGCGAUGUUGUAUUUGAUGAGACUAAUGGCUCCCCAAGAGAGCAAGUUGAUCUUGAUGACAUAGAUGAAGAUGAUGUUCCGACUGCCGCAAUGCGCACGAUGGUGAUAGGUGAUGUGUGACCACAGGAACAACAAGAGCAAGAUCAGCCAUCUUCCUCCACAAUGGUUCAUCCUCCAACUCAAGACGGUGAACAGGUACCUCAAGAAGAGGGACAGGAUCAAGGGGGAGCACAGGAAGAACAAGUGAUGGAGGAAGAAGCACCACAGGUCCCUCCAACUAAAGUUUGAGCGACGAUCCAAAGAAAUCACCCCGUCGAUCAGAUUCUAGGUGACAUAAGCAAGGGAGUAACACCUCGCUCACGUUUAGCUAAUUUUUGUGAGCAUUACUCGUUUGUCUCUUCUAUUGAGACUUUCAGGGUAGAAGAGGCCUUGCAGGAUCCGGACUGGGUGUUGGCCAUGCAGGAAGAGCUCAACAACUUCAAGAGGAAUGAAGUUUGGAGCAUGGUGCCACGUCCAAAGCAAAAUGUUGUGGGAACCAAGUGGGUGUCCCGCAACAAGCAAGACAAGCACGGGGUGGUGACAAGAAACAAGGCUCGACUUGUGGCAAAAGGUUAUGCCUAAGUCGCAUGUUUGGAUUUCCAGGAGACUUUUGCUCCUGUGGCUAGGCUAGAGUCUAUUCGAAUUUUAUUAGCCUAUGCCGCUCACCACUCCUUCAGGCCAUUUCAAAUGGAUGUGAAGAGCGCUUUCCUCAAUGGGCCAAUAAAGGUGGAGGUAUACGUGGAACAAGCACCUGGCUUUGAGGAUGACAGGUACCCUGACCAUGUGUUCAAGCUCUCUAAGGCGCUCUAUGGACUUAAGCAAGCACCAAGAGCAUGGUAUGAAUGCCUUAGAGAUUUCUUAUUUGCUAAUUCCUUCAAGGUUGGGAAAGCCGAUCCCACUCUUUUUACAAAGACUUGUGAUGGUGAUCUUUUUGUGUGCUAGAUUUUUGUCGAUGACAUAAUAUUUGGUUCUACUAAUCAAAAGUCUUGUGAGGAGUUUAGCAGGGCGAUGACACAAAAGUUUGAGAUGUCGAUGAUGGGCGAGUUGACCUACUUCCUUGGGUUCCAAGUGAAGCAACUCAAGGACGGCACCUUCAUCUCCUAAAUGAAGUACACACAAGAUCUUCUCAAGUUGUUUGGGAUGAAGGACGCCAAGCCCGCGAAGACACCAAUGGGAACCGACGGGCAUGUUGACCUCAACAAAGGAGGUAAGUCUGUUGAUUAAAAGGCAUACCGGUCUAUGAUAGGUUCAUUGCUUUAUUUAUGUGCUAGUAGACCGGACAUUAUGCUAAGUGUAUGCAUGUGUGCUAGAUAUCAAUCCAACCCUAAGGAAUGUCACCUUGUGGCCGUUAAGCGAAUUCUUAGAUAUUUAGUUUCUACGCCUUGCUUAGGGAUCUGGUAUCCAAAGGGGUCUACCUUUGACUUGAUUGGAUACUCAGACUCCGAUUAUGCCGGGUGCAAGGUUGAUAGGAAGAGCACAUCGGGGACGUGCCAAUUUCUAGGAAGGUCCCUGGUGUCCUAGAGUUCAAAGAAACAAACAUAUGUUGCCCUAUCCACCGCUGAGGCCGAGUAUGUUGCCACAGGACAAUGUUGCGCGCAACUACUUUGGAUGAGGCAAACCCUCCGGGACUUUAGCUACAAUCUGAGCAAAAUCCCACUUCUAUGUGACAAUGAGAGUGCUAUCCGCAUGGCGGAUAAUCCUGUUGAACACAGCCGCACUAAGCACAUAGACAUCCGGCAUCACUUCCUCAGAGACCACCAGCAAAAGGGAGAUAUCGAGGUGUACCAUAUUAGCACCGAGAACCAGCUAGCCGAUAUCUUUACCAAGCUGUUGGAUGAGAAAACUUUUUGCAGGUUGCGUAGUGAGCUAAAUGUCUUAGAUUCGCGUAACUUGGAUUGACCUAUAGCAUACAUGUGCUCUAUGCCUUUGAUCAUGUUACUUUGAAGCAUUUACAUUACUCGUUGUAUAUUUGUGGUGCUCAAGUUGUACAAGACCUCCCCGGACCUCACAAGUCCAUAUGCAAGUGAUGCACAUAUUAAGGGGAGAUGUGCUACAACUUGACCCUUUGAGUCUAACCUGUGUGUUUGAGUACUCUUGAUGUAGUCUUAAAGGGAAUUGAAAGGGAAAAUGGACUUGACCGUUGCAAAGACUUCCACUGCACUCUGAUAUUGGUGUAUUUAAUUCCAAGUUCAUUCUUAUGCUCUAUUAGCCUUUUUGCUCUUAAUUGACAUUUUUGGUGAGGCAAUGGGGUUAAAAGGGGCCAAAAAUGAUCCCAUUUUGGUGCUUAAUGCCAAAGGGGGAGAAAUUAAGGGCCAAAGCAAAUGGAUCAGCUACCACUUGUGGAUUUUAAAAAAAUUAGAGUUAGAACUUUUGAUUUGUCCAAAAUACUCUUAUUGCAAAAUUUGGUCUCUUGUGGGGAGAAUUUUGAUUAUGGGAAAAGGGGGAGUUUUUGGCACUUGAUCAAUUUUUCUCUUGGAAUAUCUCUCUAUAUGCCCAAACAAGUGUGUUUGACUUAGAGAUAGGAAAAUGAAUUUGAUUUGCAACAACAAACCAAGUGGUGGCAAAGAGUGAUCCAAAUAUGCCAAAUUAUAGUCAAAAACAAUUUGGUCUUCAAUUGCAUUGAUGUUACAGUUCUUUUUGUUGCUUUUUGAUGUGUUGGCAUAAAUCACCAAAAAGGGGCAGAUUGAAAGGGAAAUGUGUAAUUGGGCCAUUUCUAUAAGUGUUUUGGUGAUUAAGUGUUCAACACAAAUGUUUUGAACUCUUUAUGUGUUAAACAAGCGAAAGGUGCAAAUCAAAGACAAGGUAUGUUUUUAGACUUAGUGAAUUGUUUUUGAGUACUAACAUGGUUAUCUAAGUGCUAGAAACAGUGAGAAAAGAAACCGAAAAGACUUGGCUCUGUGCAGCCAAAUUUAGCUCAGUCUGGCACACCAGACUGUCUGGUGAUGCACCAGAAAGUGUCCGGUGCGCCAGGCUGGUCUCCGGUGAAAGUGCUGCUCUCGGGAAUUGAUGGCGGCGUACGGCUAAAAAUCACCGGACUGUCUGGUGGUGCACCGGAUUGUCCGUUAAGUCAUCAGCGGUGAACUCGUCACUCUCGGGAAAUGGAAAAGGCGACGUGGCAAUAAUUCACCGGACUGUCUGGUGGUGCCCCGGACUGUCCGGUGAGCCAACGGUCCCUAGCGCCAACGGUCGGCCAUGCAAUCUUCGUGCGACGCGUGGCAGCUCCAACGGUCGGUGGGAGGCACCGGACUGUCCGGUGUGCACCGGACAGUGUCCGGUGCGCCAACGGGCCCGGAGCUGCAACGGUCGUCUGUGCCCGAUUUGGAAGGAAAUCGCGCAACGGACAGGCUACAGUAGUUGUCCAGUGGUGCACCGGACUGUCCGGUGCGCCACUCGACAGAAGGCAAGGAUGGCCUUCCAAGUUUGUCUUCAACGACUCCUAGCUGCCUUUGGGCUAUAAAAGGGACCCCUAGGCGCAUGGAGGAGUCACCUAAGCAUUCACUAAGCAUUCUAAGACUCCCGCACUCCGCCUCCGCGCAAUUGAUCGACUGUGUUAGUGAUUUGAGCUCCGUUUGAGUCGUGAACUCACUGUGCUACGUUUCGAGCUCAAGUCUUGGCUUAUGUGCGUGAGUGUGCUGCGGAUUUGUGUCUUGUGUGUGUUGCUUUUCCCAACCUUACUUCAUGCUUUCUUUGUGAUCUCUAUUGUAAGGGCGAGAGACUCCAAUUUGUGGAGAUUCUUCGCAAACGGGAACAAUACUCUAAAAGAAAAAAUGUGGUAUUCAAGUUGAUCAUCGGAUCACUUGAAAGGGGUAGAGUGCAACCCUCGUCCAUUGGGAUGCCACAACGUGGAAGUAGGCAAGUGCUACUUGGCCGAACCACGGGAUAAAAAUCGUGCGUCUUGUGUUGCUUUCUCUGUGAUUGUUGUGUUCACAAGAACUCGCUUCAAGCUACUUAGCCGUACUAAUACUUAUAACUAAGUUUUGUGGCUAUUAGUGUUUGAUUUUUACAGGAUCACCUAUUCACCCCCCCUCUAGGUGCUCUCACAAAGAUCCGAUGGCCACACAAUGUCUGACGGCUUCCUAGAGCCAUCAGACAUAAGAUCCAACGUCUGACUGCUGUCAGACAGGCCGUCGGCGAUAACCUUAUGUCCGACGGCCUGUCUGAUAGCCAUCGGACAUAGCCUUAUGUUCGACGGCUGUCAGACAGGCCAUUGUACAUAAGUGAUUUUAUGCCACGGCGCCCAACCGCGCCGUUUCAUUUCGCUCCCCCAGCCAACUCACGCCCACCCGCCGCCGACGCCCGUGCCCGUCGCUCGCAGUCGCUCAUACCGCCGGCGCCCGCCCCGCCACCGCAGGCGCCCGCUCCUCCCCCAGUAACCCUCCGAUUAUAAGGAUCCUCCUACGCCUGAGGUUCAAAAGUUCUUCAAGCUCCUUACAGCUGCCGAAGAGCCGCUGCAUGAGCACACGAAAGUGACCGUCCUUGUGUUCGUGACUCGACUUAUGGCUAUUAAGUCCAAGUUUGCAUUCUCAAACAACUGCUAUAAGGAGCUUCUGAACUUGAUUAGUGAUGUAUUUCCAGAGAAUCACAAGAUGCCAAAGGACAUGUACCAGUCCAAGAAGUUGCUCUCUGGUCUCGGUAUGGACUACGAAAAAAUCGACGUCUGUGACAAUAAUUGUAUGCUUUUCUGUAAGGAGACCACGAGUGAGAAGAAGUGUAUAGUAUGUGGUGAGCGUAGGUUCAUAGAGGUUGAAAACGGCGAUGGUUUGACCGUGAUGACCGAGGUAGCAUGUAAGCAGCUUCGUUACAUACCUCUUAUACCUUGGUUGAAACGUUUGUUCAUCUCCAAGAAUACAGCCUGACACAUGAGGUGGCACAAAGAAGGCGUACGUGAGAAUCCAGAUGUCAUGGCGCACCCAGCUGAUACAGAUGCAUGGAAGGCACUAGAUGCCUUUGAUUCCAGCUUUGCUAAUGAAGUGUGUAAUGUCUGCAUCGAUUUGGCAACAGAUGGUUUCUCACCUUUCAAUCUAACUGCACCAUCCUACUCAUGCUGGCCCGUCUUUGCUGUUCCAUACAACAUUUCGCUAGCUCUUUGCAUGAAAUAUGAAUUUAUUUUCUUGUGUCUUGUAAUACCUGGUCCGGAUCAUCCUAGAACAAAGAUCGAUGUGAUGAUGAGACCCCUGAUUAAAGAAUUGAAAAUUUUGUGGGAAGGAGUCGAGACGUACGAUUGUUACAAGAAAUAGAAGUUCAACCUAAGAGCUGCAUUUUUGUGGUCGAUUCACGAUUUUAUGGCUUAUGGUAUCUUUGCUGGAUGGAGUUGUCAUGGGUUCUGACAUGUUCGAUAUGCGCUGAAGACACUUUAUGCUUCUGACUAAAGUUUGGUGGAAAGAUAUGUUACUUCAAUUGCCAUAGAUGUUUUUGCCUGAGGAUCAACCGUUCAGGUUCGAUAGGAACGCUUUUAGAAAGGACAUUAUUGUGACGAGGGGACCACCCAAGCGUCUUAGUGGUCCAGAGAUUCUCGCAAGACUUAAUGAUUUGAGACUAAAUGAACAUGGAAAUUGUUAUGAAGGUUUUGGAACCGAGCAUAAUUGGACUCACAAAUGUGGUCUAUGGAAACUCCCUUAUGUAAAAGCCUUAAUUCUAAUGCAUAACAUCGAUGUGAUACACCAGGAACAAAAUAUGGGUGAAAGCAUUAUCAGCCCUUGCUUGAAUAUCACUAACAAAACAAAGGACAACCCUAAGGCUCGAAAAGACUUGGGCUUAAUUUGUAGUUGACCAACUCUGGAGCUAGGAGAGAACGAGAAGAAGCCAUGUGCUCCUUUCAAUCUUAAAUCUAAAAGGAAGAAACAAUUGAUGAAAUGGUUGCAAAACAUAAAUUUCCUAAAUGGUUACGCCGCGGGCUUUAUAAGGUUUGUGAAUUUGAAGACAGGCAUGUUUUCUGGGUUGAAGAGUCAUGACUACCACAUAAUAAUGGAAAGACUCCUUCCUAUUAUGUUUCGUGGUUUUGUAAAAAAUGAUGUGUGGAAAGCGUUGUCGGAGCUAAGCUACUUUUAUAGACAUCUUUGUGCUAAAGAAAUAAAGAAAGAGAUGAUGGAGAAGCUUGAGCAACAAAUAGCAGUUUUGGUAUGCAAAUAACUUGAAAAAAUAUUUCCUCCAGGUUGCUUCAAUUCGAUGCAACAUCUACUUGUUCACCUACCAUACGAAGCUAAGGUAGGUGGUCCUAUCCAGUAUAGAUGGAUGUAUCACAUCGAAAGGACACUAAAGAAGCUACGUGCAAUGGUUGGUAAUAAGAGAUGAGUUGAAGGGUGCAUUGCUAAAGAAUUCAAAUACAAAGAGAUAGCAUCAUUCACGGGCCUGUACUUUAUAGAGGAAAAAAAUGUCAAUGCCCUUGCGUUGCGGUAUCAUGUCGACGAGCCCCCUAUCAGUGAUAUUGAAAUUUUUCAAAGGAGGGACAAAACUGUAGGACCCAUCAUAGCAUACUGUUUCACCAAUGAUGAAUGGAAGACUGCUUUACUCUACAUGUAUAACAACAUGGAAGAGAUGAAUCAGUUUCUCCUGUAAGUGUAAACUUAAUUUUUAGUCAUUGUCGCUAUCCUUGUUUUUCUUAUCCUAAUAGGUCUAUUUCCUUGUACUAACAGUGAAUUUGAUUCUCAAAAUUCGAUGUCUGGUAGUGAACGUGAUCAGAUUCGUCGAGAGGAAAAAGAUGGGGGACCUAAUUUCUUGUGUUGGUUUCGAGAUUAUGUAGAUAUAAAUUACAAUAUACACCCAAACCUUCGACAAUUGUCCCUAGGAGCAGUAACUAUCAUACAUUAUGGUCGGUAUGAUGUCAAUGGUUUCCGUUUUCGUUCUACAAGGUUCGAAGAUGCUCAUCCUCUAGCAGCCACAACAAAUUCUAGAGUUGUAACUAGAGUUGUCGAUGAUGAAGGGAAGGUGACUAAUUAUUAUGGAGUCAUUAAUGAUAUACUCGAGUACAAGUUUUUUGGAGAUGAACAACUCAAAGUGGUGGUCUUCGAUUGUGAUUAGUUUACUCCAAAUACAACGCAAGAAAACCAAUAUGGCAUGGUGGAAGUCAAACACAACGAUCGAUUACAAGGCCACGACACUAUUUUUUGUAGAAACGGUACAAGUUGCCGGAAGAUGGGUCAUAUGAUCUGAACGCUCAUUACAUGUUUGAGUAUAACGCGAACGAUGUUGUUGCAGAUGCAAUGUACUAUGCAUGACUUCAGGCUAUAAAGGCAUGGUACAGGGCAAGUGAUGAUGAUCGGCUGAUGUCGAAGACCAAGGCAGAGUGGUCAUCAAUUUACCUUACGGAGGAGUAAUACCUUGAGGUAAACAAAUUGUUGCAUCUCAUAUCGUUUUUUGCCGAUUCUUGUUUUGGGUACAUGUUAAUCCAUCUAUUUGUUUGAUUGAAAAACAUUUCAUGUAGGUGUCUAUGCCUGAGAUGGCCACCCAAUCAGAAGGUUAUCGGGCCUUAUGCAGUUGGUGGGCUUCCCCUAAGUUUCAUGCCAUUUGAAGUGUCCCGAUCCUCUGGGACUCAAAUGUGAUACAAUUACUAGUCCCAGGAGGCUAGUAAACACAUUUAUACAUUAGAUGAUUCCAGAUCUGCUUAAACGAGACAAACCUAUAAAGGUGGCGAACAACUUUAAGAGUUGGUCCACAACUCAGGACAUAUCAUCAGAGUGGGGCUGAAGCAGCCCGAUAUACGUAGCGAAACAAAUCAGCGGUCCAACAGCCACAGGCAAGGUUGGGAACAGGCGUAACUCUUACCCGAUCUCCUUAGCAGCCCACCUUCACCUGCGGAAUGGGGAAACAGAUAUAAUGCAUGGAAUAUGUGGAGCUCAGGAUAUUUUGCAGAAACAGCAAUAUUUUAUGCAGGGUUGUUUUGAAAAACAUUUGUAUUUUGCAAAGCGCAUCCUCUCCAAAAGGAGCAGGAAGUUUUUCAGUAUUAUAAUAAAAUCCCCUGGACUAAACCAUCUAGGUAUCUCAGCAUUUUCCCACUGGUUUUCCUUUUCAAAAACAGCUACUGGACUUCCCGUCCACCAUAGCUCACGGCUCAACCGCCGAACCUUUUAAAAACCACUUUUCUCAAACGCACCCUUUUUGAAAACCAAACAUUAAUUGUCAUACCAUACCAGACUCGUCCAUUCCUGUGGACACAGACUAUUCGAAUAGGUUUGAACUCUGCGCAGAGGGGUACACUUUACCCACUAGUCCGGCUCUGCGAUCUCAUGAUCAAUGAGAUCCGAAUCCGAAUCCCUUUCCUUCCCCGCACGUCCUAACCUUAACGGUUAUACCGGAAGGAGUCAGGCCACCGCCAUGUCCAAACCGGAAAAAACAUUCCCCCUCCUUAUCCUCCCGGUGCUCCCCAGCCUUCGUAACCCUGGGGUUGGACCGUACGAGUUCAGAUUGAGUGACUGCCCACACAGUCUCGAGUGGUUGUACUUAUCAUGAGUACAGGUAGUGAAAGAUGACAAAUCGGUCCUUAUAAGAGGGUACAAUCCUUCUGCUCACGCCUAAACCAGCUGAGCCAUCACCUUAGGCCCUCCCCUAAACCAGGGAGUCCCUGAUCAUCCCUACUCAAAGGUGAUAAGGGUGAAAACCCUUCAUCAUACACAUUUUGAAAAGCAUUUUCUUUUGAAAACUCACACCUUUUCUCAAAUCAUUUGGAACAAAUAUAUCAAGGAUUGAUUGCGGCAAGCGGCUGGGUGGCCAUAAUAACUUGUCUCAAAAUCAUAUCAUGCAUAAAAUAACAGGCUGAGGGUUGUGGUUGAACAAUCAUAGGUAAUUUAUGCAUCAAAGGGAUCCAGUGAGCUUGCCGUGCUUAUCCGGCGAAGGGGAAAUAGGAGCUCGCGGAACUGGCUUCUAGCUCCACUGCCUGGUGUAGACUUGCAGAUCUGGCCUCCACGAGACGGCACGAACGCUCGAUAACUAUGCAACAUGAACAAACAAACAUACAAACCAACAAUUAUACCAACAAAUAUUUAGUAUAGUGGUCAGAAUAGCGAUAUAUGGGUGGGUAGAGUCGUGAGUAGAAUCUGUGUCAUGUGGUGUUGAGAUACUGCUGGUGGUGAAGCGAAGGUGCUUACCAGGAGGGUGGACUGGAGACAAAGCGACACUAUGUGUGUAGCCAGCAGAGCGGAGUAACUGAGUGGGUAGGGUGUUUGCCUUGGCUGAGGGUGUUGAGUGUGUGUGGAGAGGGAGAGGGUGGCUGGGUCUAUUUAUAGCUGAGUGUAGGUGGUGUAGCACAGUGAAGUUCACUGUUGGUGAGAAUAGUGACGAAUGAAUCGUCUCACUUAGUAUGAAUAGGAGAGUUAUAGGCAGAAUAUGGGACAAGAGUAUUUUGGGAGUUUUUUUUUGGAAUAUGGACCAUGCUUAAGGGAUGAUAUGGUUGGAUAGGGAAUAGUUUGAUAAGAAUUUAGAAACAAGAAUUAUUGGAAUCGGAGUUUGGAAGCCUGGUUCGAAGGAAUCUUAAAGUUAAGCGUGCUCAACUUGGAGAAACCUGGGAUGGGUGACCAGAUGGGAAGUUCCCACUAGAAGGAAAAUCAUAGUCACCGGAGUUCGUAUGACUGAAAUAUGGGUCUGGCUGGUUUUAGGUGGACUGGACAGCAUGAUGUAUGAGUAGUUGAAAUUUGGGGUGAUCGGCUAAUCGAUGAAUAGUAACUAUGAAUAGUGACGACGAAAAAGUUACUAUAGAUAUCAUCGAUGAGUAGUAACGAUGAUAAAUAGUAACGAUGAUGAAUAGUAACAAUGAAUAGUAACGAUAGUGAAUAGUCUCGGUGAAUAGUAACGAUGAAUAGUAAUGGUGAAUAGUGAUGGUGCAUAGUUUGUAUGAACGAACGAUGAAUAGGAACUAUGAACGAACGAACGAACGAUCGAAUGAUCGGACGAACGAACAAUCGGAUUUUCGGCAGCAUAACAGCAGGACAAAGAUUAUCUGGAAGAACGAUGAAUAGAGACUAUGAACGAACGAUGAACGAUGAAUAGGAACUAUGAACGAACGAUGAACGAUCGAAUGAUCGAACGAACGAACGAUCGGAAUUUCGGCAGCAUAACGGCAGGAAAAAGAUUAUUUGGAUGAACGAACGGACGAACGAUCGAAUGAUCGGACGAACGAACGAUCGGAAUUUCGGCAGCAUAACGGCAGGACAAAGAUUAUCUGGAAGAACGAUGAAUAGGGACUAUGAACGAACGAUGAAUAGGAACUAUGAAUGAACGAUGAACGAUCGAAUGAUCGAACAAACGAACGAUCGGAAUUUCGACAACAUAACGGUAGGAAAAAGAUUAUUUGGACGAACGAACGGACGAACGAUCGAACGAUCGGACGAACGAACGAACUAAGAACAGGGGACGAACGAUCGAAUGAUCCUUGUGCUAGUGUGUGAUUGUGUGGAACAUGGAGUGGGUGUGUGUGGGGGGGAAGAGAGUUGCCAUGAAAUGGCUUGGGGUGGGAUGAGAGGAGGCCCUUGCCCCUCUAUUUAUAGCCAUGGUAGGGGGAUUAGGGGGAGGGAUGAGAGGAUUAGUGGGAGGAUGAGAGGAUUAGUGGGAGAUUAGCAUGGAUUUGUCUUAUAUGAGUGUAAUUAGCUUGUAUAGCUCAACGUAUGACACCGGAGGCAUACGUAUACGUAUGAACAUGAAGAAAGUUAUGAAGAAAAUAUUUGUGGGGACUUCAAAAAUGAUUCUGAAGGUAUUUCUCAAGAGGAAAAUACCUGGAGAUAUAUCGGUGGAAUAUUUGGGCAGUAUUUCUGGAAAGAACUUGAAGAGGAUCACUAGGGAAAUAUCUCGGCAGUAUUUCUGUAAACAAUUUGAGGGGGAUCACUGGGGAAAUAUUUGUAGGAUAUUUUGAGGAGGAUUUUAGAGAGAAUAUAGACCACUAUACUUUAUUUGUUGAUAUCAACUCACAAACAAACAUUUUGAAAUGAAAUUUGAAAUUCAUUUUGAAUUUAGAGCGAGUUUGAGAAAAUUUCAGGAUUUGAAUUUUUGGGAUGCUACAAAUCUACCCCACUUAAAAGGAAUCUCGUCCUCGAGAUUCGGCUUAGAAGGGUUAUGGGUAUAGCUUUACUUCAGCUACAUAUCUUCACUUUGCAACUCUUCGAGGAGAUAGAGCUUCAACAGAAUCUGGCCUUUGAGGGGCAUUCGGUUGCUGAUUGCAAACGCUGAUUCUGGCUACUCAAAGAUCAUCUUCAGGCUUCUAGCUUUUGCUUGGCAGCUAGCUUAUUGAAGAAGCAUCGAUGCCAACACACAAACCUUCUUCUUGCGAACUCCCACAUGGAUUCCUUCAUUGAUUGGUCUUCUAGUGCUUCAUCAACGGAACUUGGGUGACCACUUCUCAUCCAGAAACUCAUAUGCUUCGAUGAUCUGGUCCUCCACAAGCUUGCUACAGGCCUUCUUCUUUUUCUCCAUAGCAGGAACUUUACUGGAACACUACCCCACUUAAAAAGAAUGAGGGUAGAACUCUUGAAUCUUGGGGAUUUGAACUCCUUGAAGUACCUCAUAACAAGGGUGUUACGGGGCCUUCUUCUGCUGUUGCUGCUUGACCAGGCUGCGGAGAGAUGACUGACACAGGGUUGAUUCUGGGAGAACCUUCUUCUUAUCUUCUCUUCACUUAUCUUCUUUUCUCUUCUCACUUUUCACUUUUCACUGCCUCUUUCUUUCUCUUUGCUCUUCCCACUGGAGGAUUCUAUCAAAGAGUAUUACUAUCACACAUUGGAGGAAACCAAAGAUUAUGAACCAUGUACAACAGUCUUCAACCCAAGAAUCACCAAGCAUUGUGAUCUUAGGGGCGAGGGAGUGGAAAAUGGAGUUGCUUGCUAUUUGGCAGAGGGUAUUUUAUCGGGAGUGUUUUGCUUGGGAUGGGAACUGAGGGAGCUGGUGCGGAAGUUUUAUAGGCGAGCGGUAUGCGAGGUGGUGCUUGGGUGCGGAGUGGUGGUGAUGGAGUAGGUGCCACGUGGCAGCGGAUGCGACGGAGGGGAAAGGGGGGCCUGGUGUUGCCGGCGACAAUGGUGGCGGUGGAUGUGCUGCUGAGAGCACCUAGAGGGGGGGGUGAAUAGGUGAUCCUGUAAAAACUUCAAACUUAAGCCACAAAAACUUGUUAAGUGUUAGCACGAUUAUUGCCAAGUGGCUAAGGUGAAGUCUCAACAAAACACAGUACCACAAGAGAAUCAAGCACAGAGUGACACAGUGGUUUUAUCCCGUGGUUCGGCCAAGACCAACGCUUGCCUACUCCACGUUGUGGCGUCCCAACGGACGAGGGUUGCAAUCAACCCCUCUCAAGCGGUCCAAAGACCCACUUGAAUACCACGGUGUUUUGUUUUCCUUUCACUAUCCCGUUUGCAAGGAAUCUCCACAAAUUGGAGUCUCUUGCCCUUACAAGUAUAUGAUCACAAAUGAAACACAGAGUAAGGGAGGGAAGCAACACACACAAAUCCACAGCAAAAGCGCACACACACGGCCAAGAAUCGAGCUCACAAGACUAUCUCAGAGUUCUUACUUAGAACAGAGCUCGAAUCACUUAGAAACAUAAACGAAUGCGCAGAUACUUAGUGUGGAUGAUCAAGAAUGCUCAAAGGUUGCUUGUGUGUCUCCUCCAUGCGCCUAGGGGCUCCUUUUAUAGCCCCAAGGCAGCUAGGAGCCGUUGAGAGCAAAUCCGGAAGGCCAUCCUUGCCUUCUGUCGUCGGGGGCACCGGACAGUCCGGUGCACACCGGACACUGUCCGGUGCCCGAUUUGUUUCCUUAAACGGCGAAGACGACCGUUGCAGACCGUUGGCAGAUCUGGCGCUGUUGGCGCACCGGACAUGUCCGGUGCACACCGGACAGUCCGGUGAAUUUUAGCCGUACGCCACCGGCCAAUUUCCCGAGAGCGGCCAGUUCGAGUCGCGCCAGCCUGGCGCACCGGACACUGUCCGGUGCACACCGGACAGUCCGGUGCUCCAGACCGAGCUGGGUCUUGGCAGCACACAGCCAAGUCCCUUCUCCUUUUCUCUAUUCUUCUUCUUUCUGUUUCUAACACUUAGACAAAUAUAUUAGUACUUAAAACCAAUGUACUAAGGCUUAGAAACAUACCUUUACUUCAUGAUUUUCACCUUGUUCAUCCAUGUACAUAAAUUCCCAAUUAAGCACAUGUGUUGGCACUCAAUCACCAAAAUACAUAGAAAUGGCCCAAGGGCACAUUUCCCUUUCAAUCUCCCCCUUUUUGGUGAUUUAUGCCAACACAACAUAAAGCAACUAGAACAAGUGCAAAAUCACUUUAAAUAAAAACUCAAAUUGGUUUUAUUCAAUUUUGGCAUAUAUGGAUCAUCCUUUGCCACCACUUGGUUUGUUUUUGCAAAUCAAACUCAAAUCUCUAUCUCUAAGUCAAACACACAUGUUGAAGUAUAAAGAGAGUCAUUCCAAAAGAGAUUGAUCAAAGAUUUCAAAAACUCCCCCUAUUUCCCAUAAUCAAUACUUCUCCCCACAAGAAACCAAUUAUUGACAAGAGAGACAACAUAAGAAUUUUGACAAACCAAAAAUUCUAUUCUACUAUUUUCAAAAUCUCUCAAGUGGUAGCUGAUCCAUUUAUUGCUUUGGCCUUUAUUUUCUCCCCCUUUGGCAUCAAGCACCAAAACGGGAUCAAUCUUGGCCCUAUAACCCCAUUGCCUCACCAAAAUCUUCAAUUAAGAGCAAAUGGCAAUGAGAGUUCAUGAGAUGAACUUGGAAUUAGUUACCCUCUCAUCGGAGUGCAGUGGAAGUCUUUCAUGGUCCAAGUCCACCUUUCCCUUUCAAUCCUCCUUCGAGACUAAAUCAUCAAACUCAAGCACAUGGUUAGUCUCAAAGGGUCAAGUUGUAACACAUCUCCCCCUAAACAUGUGCAUCACUUUGCAACGGACUUGUGAGGUCCAGGGAGUGUUUGUACAACUUGAGCACCACAAUAAGCAACAAAAUGCAAAAAGGAACAUGAUCAAAAGCAUAAGUACAUGUAUGCUACAAUUCAAUCCAGGUUCCGCGAAUCUAUGACAUUUAGCUCACUACGCAACCUGCAAAAGGUCUUCUCAUCUAGAGGCUUAGUGAAGAUAUCGGCUAGCUGGUUCUCGGUGCUAACAUGAAACACUUCGAUAUCUCCCUUUUGCUGGUGGUCUCUCAAAAAGUGAUGCCGGAUGUCUAUGUGCUUUGUGCGGCUGUGCUCAACAGGAUUCUCCGCCAUGCGGAUAGCACUCUCAUUGUCACAUAGGAGUGGGACUUUGCUCAGAUUGUAGCCAAAGUCCCGGAGGGUUUGCCUCAUCCAAAGUAGUUGCGCGCAACACUGACCUGCGGCAACGUACUCGGCCUCAGCGGUGGAUAGGGCAACGGAUGUUUGUUUCUUAGAAUUCCAUGACACCAGGGACCUUCCUAAGAAUUGGCACGUCCCCGAUGUACUCUUCCUAUCGACCUUACAUCCAGCAUAGUCGGAGUCAGAGUAUCCAACUAAGUCAAAGGUAGACCCCUUUGGAUACCAGAGCCCGAAGCAAGGCGUAGCAACCAAAUAUCUAAGAAUUCGCUUCACCGCCACUAAGUGACACUCCUUAGGAUCGGAUUGAAAUCUAGCACACAUGCAUACACUAAGCAUAAUAUCCGGUCUACUAGCACAUAAGUAAAGCAAAGAACCUAUCAUUGACCGGUAUGCUUUUUGAUCAACGGACUUACCUCCUUUGUUGAGGUCGGUGUGUCCGUCGGUCCCCAUCGGAGUCUUUGCGGGCUUGGCGUCCUUCAUCCCAAACCGCUUUAGCAGAUCUUGCGUGUACUUCGUUUGGGAGAUGAAGGUGCCGUCCUUGAGUUGCUUCACUUGGAACCCAAGGAAGUAGUUCAACUCGCCCAUCAUCGACAUCUCGAAUUUCUGCGUCAUCACCCUGCUAAACUCUUCACAAGACUUUUGGUUAGUAGAACCAAAUAUUAUGUCAUCGACAUAAAUUUGGCACACAAACAAAUCACCAUUACAAGUCUUAGUAAAAAGAGUUGGAUCGGCCUUCCCAACCUUGAAAGCAUUAGCAAGUAAAAAGUCUCUAAGGCAUUCAUACCAUGCCCUUGGGGCUUGCUUAAGUCCAUAGAGCGCCUUAGAGAGCUUACACACAUGGUCGGGGUACCGUUCAUCCUUGAAGCCAGGGGGUUGCUCCACGUACACCUCCUCCUUGAUUGGCCCGUUGAGGAAAGCGCUCUUCACAUCCAUUUGGAACAACCUGAAAGAAUGGUGAGCGGCAUAUGCUAGCAAGAUUCGAAUUGACUCUAGCCUAGCCACAGGAGCAAAAGUCUCCUCAAAAUCCAAACCUGCGACUUGGGCAUAACCUUUUGCCACAAGUCGAGCCUUGUUUCUCGUCACCACCCCGUGCUCGUCCUGUUUGUUGCGGAACACCCACUUGGUUCCCACAACAUUUUGCUUCGGACGAGGCACCAUUGUCCAAACUUCAUUGCGCUUGAAGUUGUUUAACUCCUCUUGCAUGGCCAACACCCAGUCCGGAUCUAGCAAGGCCUCUUCUACCCUGAAAGGCUCAAUAGAAGAGACAAAGGAGUAAUGCUCACAAAAAUUAACUAAUCGAGAUCGAGUAGUUACUCCCUUGCUAAUGUCACCCAGAAUUUGGUCGACGGGAUGAUCCCUUUGAAUCAUCGCUCGAACUUGAGUUGGAGGUGCCGGUUGCGCUUCUUCCUCUAUCACUUGAUCAUCUUGUGCUCCCCCUUGAUCAAGCGCCUCCACUUGAGGUACCUGUUCGUCAUCUUCGGUUGGGGGUUGCACCAUAGUUGAGGAAGAAGGUUGAUUUCGUUCAUCUUGUUCCUGUGGCCGUACUUCUCCAAUCGCCAUGGUCUGUAUAGCGGCCGUCGGAACAUCUUCUUCAUCUACAUCAUCACAAUCAACAACUUGCUCUCUUGGAGAGCCAUUAGUCUCAUCAAAUACAACGUCGCUAGAGACUUCAACCAGACCCGAUGAUUUGUUGAAGACUCUAUACGCCUUUGUAUUUGAGUCAUAACCUAACAAAAACCCUUCUACAGCUUUGGGAGCAAGCUUAGAAUUUCUACCUUUCUUCACUAGAAUGUAGCAUUUACUCCCAAAUACACGAAAGUACGAUACAUUGGGUUUGUUACCGGUUAGUAGCUCAUACGACGUCUUCUUGAGGAGGCGAUGAAGGUAGACCCUGUUGAUGGCGUGGCACGCUGUGUUCACGGCUUCCGUCCAAAAGCACUCGGGGGUCUUGAACUCUCCUAGCAUCGUCCUCGCCAUGUCGAUGAGCGUCCUGUUCUUCCUCUCUACCACACCAUUUUGCUGUGGUGUGUAGGGAGCGGAGAACUCGUGCUUGAUCCCUUCCUCUUCAAGGAACUCCUCCACUUGAAGGUUCUUGAACUCGGACCCGUUGUCGCUUCUUAUCUUUUUCACUUUGAGCUCAAACUCAUUUUGAGCUCUCCUGAGGAAGCGUUUGAGGGUCCCUUGGGUUUCAGACUUAUCCUGCAAAAAGAACACCCAAGUGAAGCGGGAAAAAUCAUCAACAAUAACUAAACCAUACUUACUUCCCCCUAUGCUUAGAUAGGCGACGGGUCCGAAGAGGUCCAUAUGCAGUAGCUCCAGGGGUCUUGACGUGGUCAUCACAUUCUUGCUGUGAUGCGCUCCUCCCACUUGUUUACCUGCUUGACAAGCUGCACAAGGUCUAUCUUUUUCGAAAUACACGUUAGUCAAACCUAUCACGUGUUCUCCCUUUAGAAGCUUUUGAAGGUUCUUCAUCCCCACAUGUGCCAAGCGGCGAUGCCACAGCCAGCCCAUGCUAGUCUUAGCUAUUAAGCAUGCAUCUAGACCGGCCUCUUCUUUUGCAAAAUCAACUAAAUAAAGUUUGCCGUCUAAUACACCCUUAAAAGCUAGUGAACCAUCACUUCUUCUAAAGACAGACACAUCUAUAUUUGUAAACAGACAGUUAUAUCCCAUAUUGCACAAUUGACUAACAGAUAGUAAAUUAUAUCCUAGUGACUCUACUAAAAACACAUUAGAGAUAGAGUGCUCAUUAGAAAUUGCAAUUUUACCUAACCCUUUUACCUUGCCUUGAUUCCCAUCACCGAAUAUGAUUGAAUCUUGGGAAUCCUUAUUCUUGACGUAGGAGGUGAACAUCUUCUUCUCCCCCGUCAUAUGGUUUGUGCAUCCGCUAUCAAUAAUCCAGCUUGAACCCCCGGAUGCAUAAACCUGCAAGGCAAAUUUAGGCUUGGGUCUUAGGUACCCAACUCAUGUUGGGUCCUACAAGGUUAGUGCAAAUAUCCUUAGGGACCCAAAUGCAAGUUUUGUCUCCCUUGCAUUUUGCCCCUAACUUCCUAGCAACAAUUUUCCUAUCCUUUCUACAAAUAGCAAAGGAAGUGUUUAAAGCACAAUAAAUUAUAGAAGGUUCAUUCACUACUUUCCUAGGAGCAUGAAUAACAUUCUUUCUAGGCACAUGAGCAAUAUUUCUCCUAGGCAUAUCCCUAUCAUGCUUAUAAGAAGAACUAGAGGCAAACAUGGCAUGAGAAUCAUAAACAUGUGAAUCAAAAUCAUUAUAAGCAUUUCUAGCAUUUCUCCUAUCAUAAUACAUAAAAGCAUGGUUCUUUUUAGCAUUACUAGCCAUAGGGGCCUUCCCUUUCUCCUUGACGAAGAUGGGAGCCUUAUGGCUUGUUAAGUUCUUGGCCUCUCUCUUGAAGCCAAGACCAUCCUUAAUUGAGGGGUGUCUACCAACCGUAUAGGCAUCCCUUGCAAAUUUUAUUUUAUCAACUUCAUUCUUGCUAGUCUUAAGUUGGGCAUUAAGACUAGCCACUUCCUUAUUUAAUUUGGAAAUUAAAACUAGAUGUUCACUACAGGCAUCAACAUCGAAAUCCUUACACCUAGUGCAAAUCUUAACAUGUUCUACACAAGAGUUAGAUUUAUUUGCUACUUCUAACUUAGCAUUUAAAUCAUUGUUAACACCUUGUAAAGUAGAAAUGGUUUCAUGACAAGUAGAUAGUUCAUAAGAAAGCAUUUCAUUUCUUUUUACUUCUAAAGCAUAUGAUUUUUGUGCCUCUACAAAUUUAUCAUGUUCAUCAUACAAUAAAUCCUCCUGCUUUUCUAAAAGCCUAUCCUUUUCAUUCAAUGCAUCAAUCAAUUCAUUGAUUUUAUCUAUCUUAGAUCUAUCUAAGCCCUUGAACAAGCAUGAAUAAUCUAUGUCAUCAUCACUAGACUCACUAUCACUAGAAGAAGCAUAAGUGGAGUCUUGAGUACUCACCUUCUUCUCCCUUGCCAUAAGACAUGUGAGACGCUCGUUGGGGAAGAGAGCCGAUUUGUUGAAGGCAGUGGCGGCGAGUCCUUCGUUGUCGGAGUCGGAGGAGGAGCAAUCCGAGUCCCACUCCUUUCCUAGAUGCGCCUCGCCCUUUGCCUUCUUGUAUUGCUUCUUCUUUUCUCUUUUGUUCCCCUUUUCCUGGUCACUUUCAUUAUCGGGACAGUUAGCGAUAAAAUGACCAAGCUUACCGCAUUUGAAGCAUGAGCGCUUCCCCUUGGUCUUGGUCUUGCUUGGCUGCCCCUUGCGACCAUUUAGCGUCGUCUUGAAUCUCUUGAUGAUGAGAGCCAUCUCUUCAUCGUUGAGUCCGGCCGCCUCAAUUUGUGCCACCUUGCUAGGUAGCGCCUCCUUGCUUCGUGUUGCCUUGAGAGCGAGAGGUUGCGGCUCGUUGAUUGGACCAUUCAAGGCGUCGUCCACAUAUCUCGCCUCCUUGAUCAUCAUUCGCCCGCUAACAAAUUUCCCAAGAACUUCUUCGGGCGACAUCUUGGUGUACCUGGGAUUUUCACGUAUAUUGUUCACCAAGUGAGGAUCAAGAACGGUAAAUGACCUUAGCAUUAGGCGGACGACGUCGUGGUCCGUCCAUCGCGUGCUCCCGUAGCUUCUUAUCUUGUUGAUAAGGGUCUUGAGCCGAUUGUAUGUUUGCGUUGGCUCCUCGCCCCUUAUCAUUGCGAACCGUCCAAGCUCGCCCUCCACCAACUCCAUCUUGGUGAGUAAGGUGACGUCGUUCCCCUCAUGAGAAAUCUUGAGGGUGUCCCAGAUUUGCUUGGCGUUAUCCAAGUCGCUCACCUUAUGGUAUUCAUUCCUGCACAAGGAAGCUAGAAGAACAGUAGUAGCUUGUGCAUUCUUAUGAAUUUGUUCAUUAAUGAACAUGGGACUAUCCGAACUAUCAAAAUGCAUUCCACUCUCUACAAUCUCCCAUAUACUAGGAUGGAGAGAGAAUAGGUGACUACGCAUUUUGUGGCUCCAAAAUCCGUAGUCCUCUCCAUCAAAGUGUGGGGGCUUGCCGAGUGGAAUGGAGAGCAAAUGAGAAUGUGAACUUUGCGGAAUACGAGAGUAAUCAAAAGAAAAGUUCGAAUUAACCGGUUUUCUUCUCUCGUAGUCGUUGUGGUCCUCGUCCUUUUGGGAAGAAGUAGACUCGUCGCUGUCGUAGUAGACGAUCUCCUUGAUGCGUCUGGUCUUCUUCUUCUUCCCUUCCUUCCGUCUUUGGCCCGAGCCGGAGUCGGUAGGCUUAUCGUCCUUCGGCUCGUUGACGAAGGAUUCCUUCUCUUUGUCGUUGAUCACUAUACCCUUCCCCUUAGGAUCCAUCUCUUCGGGCGGUUAGUCCCUUUGUGAAGAGAACGGCUCUGAUACCAAUUGAGAGCACCUAGAGGGGGGGGUGAAUAGGUGAUCCUGUAAAAACUUCAAACUUAAGCCACAAAAACUUGUUAAGUGUUAGCACGAUUAUUGCCAAGUGGCUAAGGUGAAGUCUCAACAAAACACAGUACCACAAGAGAAUCAAGCACAGAGUGACACAGUGGUUUUAUCCCGUGGUUCGGCCAAGACCAACGCUUGCCUACUCCACGUUGUGGCGUCCCAACGGACGAGGGUUGCAAUCAACCCCUCUCAAGCGGUCCAAAGACCCACUUGAAUACCACGGUGUUUUGUUUUCCUUUCACUAUCCCGUUUGCAAGGAAUCUCCACAAAUUGGAGUCUCUUGCCCUUACAAGUAUAUGAUCACAAAUGAAACACAGAGUAAGGGAGGGAAGCAACACACACAAAUCCACAGCAAAAGCGCACACACACGGCCAAGAAUCGAGCUCACAAGACUAUCUCAGAGUUCUUACUUAGAACAGAGCUCGAAUCACUUAGAAACAUAAACGAAUGCGUAGAUACUUAGUGUGGAUGAUCAAGAAUGCUCAAAGGUUGCUUGUGUGUCUCCUCCAUGCGCCUAGGGGCUCCUUUUAUAGCCCCAAGGCAGCUAGGAGCCGUUGAGAGCAAAUCCGGAAGGCCAUCCUUGCCUUCUGUCGUCGGGGGCACCGGACAGUCCGGUGCACACCGGACACUGUCCGGUGCCCGAUUUGUUUCCUUAAACGGCGAAGACGACCGUUGCAGACCGUUGGCAGAUCUGGCGCUGUUGGCGCACCGGACAUGUCCGGUGCACACCGGACAGUCCGUGCCGUCUUCCGACCGUUGGUUGGCUCACCGGACAGUCCGGUGCACACCGGACAGUCCGGUGAAUUUUAGCCGUACGCCACCGGCCAAUUUCCCGAGAGCGGCCAGUUCGAGUCGCGCCAGCCUGGCGCACCGGACACUGUCCGGUGCACACCGGACAGUCCGGUGCUCCAGACCGAGCUGGGUCUUGGCAGCACACAGCCAAGUCCCUUCUCCUUUUCUCUAUUCUUCUUCUUUCUGUUUCUAACACUUAGACAAAUAUAUUAGUACUCAAAACCAAUGUACUAAGGCUUAGAAACAUACCUUUACUUCAUGAUUUUCACCUUGUUCAUCCAUGUACAUAAAUUCCCAAUUAAGCACAUGUGUUGGCACUCAAUCACCAAAAUACAUAGAAAUGGCCCAAGGGCACAUUUCCCUUUCAGCUGCAAAGGGGGCGUGGGGCGGUGGUAGUGCGCAUGGAGGCGGGCACGCGUGUGAGGGGCACGGGUGAGUGGUGGGGUCAAUGACCCUGAUGUUUGUGGUCUCUGGUUCCAAGAAUCUUUGCCUCUCUGUAUGGUAAUAACUCCUUCUGUCCUCUUUUCCUGUUUACUUUGACUCAGGGGCAGUGCUUUGAUUCUCACGGUCGGUCCUUUUGACUGAGCGACUGGAUAGGUUCUUCUGUAGCUUAUUCCAUGCUUCAAGGGUAAGCUUCCCGGUAUCUUCUUGGGUAAGGUGCUUUUCUCUUGAGAUGGGUUAAGGUGAGAAUGGAAGCAUAAGGUGAGGAUUGGAUCUAAUUUGUGAUCUGUGUUUUUAGAGAAAACCUUUCUUAAAAAGAAAGAAAACACACAAGCUCAGCAAUGAUAAGCACAAACAAAUCAAAUAUUUUGAAUAGGGGAAUAAUAGAGUUUUUCCAAAGCACGGGCUACUCAGAUUCGGGGGCUAAGCAUAACUACUAUUGCUCGGCUCUUGAACUGAGAACUAUGCUAAAUGCGACUUAUAAGCACUAACGUUAAGGCAUCACAUAUGCACACGAAAGGGGAGAAAACAUCAAGCAAAAUUCAUUUUGAAAUGCCCUAGGGGGCCCACACAAAUAGAGUUUUUCAAAGCACGGGACUACACGAUUACCUCUCAUACAUGCAGGGCUCUAGCCAAAGUGAAGAAAAACUUCACUACCCAAUGCAUGCAGAGGACUGGGCAUACUAACUUCAGACCAGGCAACUUCUCUUCUGGCAAGGCUUGCACACAACUUCAAUCUGAGACAUCUCCUGGAUGGGUUAAGAGGGAGCUGAUGUUGAUGACUUCUUUUGGCGGCGACUGAGAUGGCAGGACAGGGUUGAACUCUUCUUCAAGCGGGACUGGCUCUUGUAGCUCCUCAGAGGGCGGCGAUGCUGGUGGGGUGCUUGCAGCUUCUUCUUUGAGCUCACGGGAUGGUACUGGAAUUUUCUUCAUGGUGAGGGGCUCAAACAACUCUGGCGGGGGAUCUUGGGCGGAUUCGGGGUGCUCUUGCUUAUCCAUAGCCUGAGGGAAGACUGGAAUUCCUUCCAAGACUAUGGCUCCUUCCGGGAGUUCCCAAGCCUUCUUCUCUCCUCUGAUAGAGACCGGGUGACCUUCAAGAAUCUGGGGGUCUUCAGCUCUGAUGGGUUGAACAGGGUUGGAUGAAGCGGGCUCUUGGAUCCGCAGGGCUCUAUGUUGGUUAUGGGUGACCAAGUAGGCCUCCAUCAACUUCUGGACGUGCUCAUCCUUGGCUUGCUUCAGGGCUUCCACAGCAAUGACUUCACGACUUCCAAGGCAGCUACACGGGCUUGAGCUGUGGUGAGAUCCACAUGGAGCUGACGGUUGCGCUUCUCUGCAUCUUCUGCUCGGGCAAUCAUCUGACGGUGGUGCCGAGCCAAGAAAUCAUACUCGGCAUCCAGGGUGAGCAGGUAUGCAGUGAGGUACACGACUGUGGGGUCAUCCUCAAGCAGCUGCUGCUCUUCCAAUGCACGCAUCCUGGCCAUCCAAGCGGGAUGGUCUCUCUGAAAGGGCGGAAAGAAUCUGAGCGGGGUGUCGGCCACUUCUUCUUCAUAGAUCUGACACAGGGCCCUCAAUGCCUUGCGAGCGACGACUUGGCAGGUGUCUUUGAAUCUGUGCCCAGCAUCAGUGACACUCCAUUCCACAUGGUGCGGACUGGAUCCAAUGUAUACAGUCACGACACACUUCUCUGUGCCAUGCUCGACGAAUUCACGACCAUCAUACUCUGGCUGGCUCCUGAUUCCGAGGCGAACUGUGCAUGCUCUCAACAUCUUGGGGAAACCAUCUUCAUUCUGGCAAAACCUGGUUUGGCAAUGAACCUCCAUCUGACUUCUGAGAGAAGGAAAGGGGGAAAGCAUUUUUGAAAUGAAGGGAUGAGAGCAAGAUUUUUUUAAGAAAAUAGUUUUGACUCAAAAACUUUUGAUCAGGCUAAGGGUUACGUCCUGCAGCCAACCUAACAGCUCUGAUACCACCUGAAGCGUCCCGAUCCUCUGGGACUCAAAUGUGAUACAAUUACUAGUCCCAGGAGGCUAGUAAACACAUUUAUACAUCAGAUGAUUCCAGAUCUGCUUAAACGAGACAAACCUAUAAAGGUGGCGAACAACUUUAAGAGUUGGUCCACAACUCGGGACAUAUCAUCAGAGUGGGGCUGAAGCAGCCCGAUAUACGCAGCGAAACAAAUCAGCGGUCCAACAGCCACAGGCAAGGUUGGGAACAGGCGUAACUCUUACCCGAUCUCCUUUUUCUGAAAAAAAUAAAUAAGCAAGGGUGAGUACAAACGUACUCAGCAGCCCACCUUCACCCGCGGAAUGGGGAAAUCAGAUAUAAUGCAUGGAAUAUGUGGAGCUUAGGAUAUUUUGCAGAAACAACAAUAUUUUAUGCAGGGUUGUUUUGAAAAACAUUUGUAUUUUGCAAAGCGCAUCCUCUCCAAAAGGAGCAGGAAGUUUUUCAGUAUUAUAAUAAAAUCACCUGGACUAAACCAUUCAGGUAUCUCAACAGUUUCCCACUGGUUUUCCUUUUCAAAAACAGCUACUGGACUUCCCGUCCACCAUAGCUCAUGGCUCAACCGCCGAACCUUUUAAAAACCACUUUUCUCAAACGCACCCUUUUUGAAAACCAAACAUUAAUUGUCAUACCAUACCAGACUCGUCCAUUCCUGUGGACACAGACUAUUCGAAUAGGUUUGAACUCUGCGCAGAGGGGUACACUUUACCCACUAGUCCGGCUCUGCGAUCUCAUGAUCAAUGAUAUCCGAAUCUGAAUCCCUUUCCUUCCUCGCAUGUCCUAACCUUAACGGUUAUACCGGAAGGAGUCAGGCCACCGCAAUGUCCAAACCGGACAAAACAUUCCCCCUCCUUAUCCUCCCGGUGCUCCCCAGCCUUCGUAACCCUGGGGUUGGACCGUACGAGUUCAGAUUGAGUGACUGCCCACACAGUCUCGAGUGGUUGUACUUAUCAUGAGUACAGGUAGUGAAAGAUGACAAAUCGGUCCUUAUAAGAGGGGACAAUCCUUCUGCUCACGCCUAAACCAGCUGAGCCAUCACCUUAGGCCCUCCCCUAAACCAGGGAGUCCCUGAUCAUCCCUACUCAAAGGUGAUAAGGGUGAAAACCCUUCAUCAUACACAUUUUGAAAAGCAUUUUCUUUUGAAAACUCACACCUUUUCUCAAAUCAUUUGGAACAAAUAUAUCAAGGAUUGAUUGCGGCAAGCGGCUGGGUGGCCAUAAUAACUUGUCUCAAAAUCAUAUCAUGCAUAAAAUAACAGGCUGAGGGUUGUGGUUGAACAAUCAUAGGUAAUUUAUGCAUCAAAGGGAUCCAGUGAGCUUGUCGUGCUUAUCCGGCGAAGGGGAAAGAGGAGCUCGCGGAACUGGCUUCUAGCUCCACUGCCUGGCGUAGACUUGCAGAUCUGGCCUCCAUGAGACGACACGAACGCUCAAUAACUAUGCAACAUGAACAAACAAACAUACAAACCAACAAUUAUACCAACAAAUAUUUAGUAUAGUGGUCAGAAUAGCGAUAUAUGGGUGGGUAGAGUCGUGAGUAGAAUUUGUGUCAUGUGCUGUUGAGAUACUGCUGGUGGUGGAGCGAAGGUGCUUACCAGGAGGGUGGACUGGAGACGAAGCGACACUAUGCGUGUAGCCGGCAGAGCGGAGUAACUGAGUGGGUGGGGUGUUUGCCUUGGCUGAGGGUGUUGAGUGUGUGUGGAGAGGGAGAGGGUAGCUGGGUGUAUUUAUAGCUGAGUGUAGGUGGUGUAGCACAGUGAAGUUCACUGUUGGUGAGAAUAGUGACGAAUGAAUCAUCUCACUUAGUAUGAACAGGAGAGUUAUAGGCAGAAUAUGGGACAAGAGUAUUUUGGGAGUUUUUUUGGAAUAUGGACCAUGCUUAAGGGAUGACAUGGUUGGAUAGGGAAUAGUUUGAUAAGAAUUUAGAAACAAGAAUUAUUGGAAUCGGAGUUUGGAAGCCUGGUUCGAAGGAAUCUUAAAGUUAAGCGUGCUCAACUUGGAGAAACCUGGGAUGGGUGACCAGAUGGGAAGUUCCCACUGGAAGGAAAAUCAUAGUCACCGGAGUUCGUAUGACUGGAAUAUGGGUCUGGCUGGUCUUAGGUGGACUGGACAGCAUGAUGUAUGAGUAGUUGAAAUUUGGGGUGAUCGACUAAUCGAUGAAUAGUAACUAUGAAUAGUGACGGCGAAAAAGUUACUAUAGAUAUCAUCGAUGAGUAGUAACGAUGAUAAAUAGUAACGAUGAUGAAUAGUAACGAUGAUGAAUAGUGUCGGUGAAUUUCGGCAGCAUAACAGCAGGACAAAGAUUAUCUGGAAGAACGAUGAAUAGAGACUAUGAACGAACGAUGAACGAUGAAUAGGAACUAUGAACGAACGAUGAACGAUCGAAUGAUCGAACGAACGAACGAUCGGAAUUUCAGCAGCAUAACGGCAGCAAAAGAUUAUUUGGAUGAACGAACGGACGAACGAUCGAAUGAUCGGACGAACGAACGAUCGGAAUUUCGGUAGCAUAACGGCAGGACAAAGAUUAUCUGGAAGAACAAUGAAUAGGGACUAUGAACGAACGAUGAAUAGGAACUAUGAACGAACGAUGAACGAUCGAAUGAUCGAACGAACGAACGAUCGGAAUUUCGGCAGCAUAACGGUAGGAAAAAGAUUAUUUGGACGAACGAACGGACGAACGAUCGGACGAACGGACGAACGAACCAUGAACGAUCGGACGAACGAUCGAACGAUCGGACGAACGAACGAACGAACUAAGAACAGGGGACGAACGAUCGAAGAACGAUCGAACGAUCCUUGUGCUAGUGUGUGCUUGUGUGGAACAUGGAGUGGGUGUGGGGGGGAAGAGAGUUGCCAUGAAAUGGCUUGGGGUGGGAUGAGAGGAGGCCCUUGCCCCUCUAUUUAUAGCCAUGGUAGGGGGAUUAGGGGGAGGGAUGAGAGGAUUAGUGGGAGGAUGAGAGGAUUAGUGGGAGAUUAGCAUGGAUUUGUCUUAUAUGAGUGUAAUUAGCUUGUAUAGCUCAACGUAUGACACCGGAGGCAUACGUAUACGUAUGAACAUGAAGAAAGUUAUGAAGAAAAUAUUUGUGGGGACUUCAAAAAUGAUUCUGAAGGUAUUUCUCAAGAGGAAAAUACCUGGAGAUAUAUCGGUGGAAUAUUUGGGCAGUAUUUCUGGAAAGAACUUGAAGAGGAUCACUAGGGAAAUAUCUGGGCAGUAUUUCUGUAAACAAUUUGAGGGGGAUCACUGGGGAAAUAUUUGUAGGAUAUUUUGAGGAGGAUUUUAGAGAGAAUAUAGACCACUAUACUUUAUUUGUUGAUAUCAACUCGCAAACAAACAUUUUGAAAUGAAAUUUGAAAUUCAUUUUGAAUUUAGAGCGAGUUUGAGAAAAUUUCAGGAUUUGAAUUUUUGGGAUGCUACACCAUUUCCCAAAGGAACAAGGGAAAUCGUGGUACUGAGUCAUUCCACAACUACGGUGACGAUGGACAUGUGCGCUUGGCUAAGAGAAUGGUAUGUCAUAGUAUGUUGUAACUUCGAAUUACAUAGAAAUGUGUCAUUCUAACUUGUAUGUACAAGAAGUCAAAUCCAAUCGUACGCCCACGGAUGUGGAGGUGUAUAUGCAAGGGCAUAGGGGUUCUGAUCCUCAUGAUACUGAUGUUUUAUGCACUCAGACAGCCACCGACCGUCUAGUGAGUUUUUGGUACUCUAUUAUGUGUUUGUGCAUCAACUCUAUGAUGCAAUUAUAUUUCAUAUGUUUGCCUCCAGGCUUCGUAUGGGCAAGAGAUGGUUCAGCGCCAUGGGCAGGACUACGACUGAAGGAGCCAGCCAAUCGACCCUUGGGCAGCAUAUGCUAGCACAGGAGGACAAGCCCAUGGACGGUGAGAGUAUUUGAUUUGGAUUUCAAAAUUAUUCUCAUAUGCUUGCGAUUGAACUGAGUCCGUGGUUUACUCUACUAAGUCCAUGGUUUACUAUACUAAGUUCAUGGUUCACUCUUGUAGGUUGGGUAUUUUUUAUUCUACGAGUGAUUCUAGGGAGCUGAGACGUUGUGGACGACAGUCCACAUCCUCAUCUUCGCAGUCGUCCCAUUCUCGGUCAUCCACCCAAGAGAUAGAGAUUGCAGUGUUGCGUUAGCAGGCAUAUUAUCAUCUAUCAGUUUUGAGGCAACAAAUGGAGUACUAGAGGUAGCAAGCUGAGUACCAGAAGAAGAAGGACGAGUAUUAUUCAAACAUCUAGGCCCAGAAUCAAGCUCUACUCUCGUUAAGUUGAAGUAACAUUUUAUUUGUAACAACUAAAAAACACAUGAUGUGUACCUUAUUUUCUCAACAAUUGCUUGUAUCUAAUUUGUAGCAACUGGCACAACAAGCGGGUGUCUCGAUGCCAACAUAUGGGAUGUCACCUCCGGACUUUGCACUACCGCCGCCAAUGCUGUUGCCUCCUCCUCCAUCACAAUUCCUUAUGGUAUGUACACAUAUGCGUGUGUGAUAUGUUCAUAGAUGCCUUAUGUGUUAAAAUGAAAAACUUAGUGGUUAAUAUUUCAUGUGUGUGUUAUAGGGCUUUGAGACACCUCCCGCUUCAGUUGCCACACCUGGAGAUGUGUCUGGUAAAGACGACGCAUCAACUUCUUGGGUGAAAAACAUUUUCAAUGCCCAGAGUCUAGCCAGAGGAAGUGGCUAUAACUCCAACCAACCAGGUGACUGAUAAGUGUGAUAGUUUGUCAAAUGUGUUUGAUUUGGAACUAUGUCAGUGUUGAUGCCAAAGACUAUGUGAAUGUCGAACUAUGUCAGUGUUUAAUUUGGAACUAUAUGUUGAUGUAAAAGACUUGUUGCAACUAUUAGGAACUAUGUGUUUACGAAUGUUAGGUGAUGUUUGAGAAUGUAAAUAGUUAUGUGAAUUGAUGUUUGUGAAUGUGAAUAUGUGGUUGUAUAUAAAAUCUGUGUAUAUAUAUGAAAUCUGUAUUUUUCUGUAAAUGUUAGAAAUUUACAAAAAUAGGGUUUUUUGCCACUACUGAAUAUCAUUAUGUCCGACGGCUUAGCAGAGGCCAUCGGACAAAAGGCUCUAUUUUGUUCGGCGGCCUCUCCUAAGCCGUCGAACAUAAUAGAGCCUUAUGUCUCACGGCCUCUGCUAAGCCAUCGGACAUAAGAGAUGUGGGAUCCACAAACGACCAUUACGGUCGUUAGCGACGUUAAAUGUUGAUGUCCCUUUGCGGCCGUCGGACAUAAGCUAUGUCCGACGGCCGCAAAGGGACAUCAACAUUUAACGUCGCUAACGACCGUAAUGGUCGUUUGUGGAUCCCACAUCUCUUAUGUCCGACGGCUUAGCAGAGGCCAUCGGACAAAAGGCUCUAUUUUGUUCGGCGGCCUCUCCUAAGCCGUCGAACAUAAUAGAGCCUUAUGUCUCACGGCCUCCGCUAAGCCAUCGGACAUAAGAGAUGUGGGAUCCACAAACGACCAUUACGGUCGUUAGCGACGUUAAAUGUUGAUGUCCCUUUGCGGCCGUCGGACAUAAGCUAUGUCCGACGGCCGCCGUCGGAAAUAAGCUUUUGUCUGACGCGUUACAACCGAGGGACAGGUACCGUCGGACAUAAGCCUUCGGUCAUCGUAAAUAGCUUAUGUCCGACAACUUAGGGCUUAUGUCCGACGGCUUUGAUCGUCGGAAAUGCCCUGUUCUACUGUAGUGCCUGAAGGUAUUACCAUAACAGCUGCUAGGUAGUGUUUUCAUGUACUAAAUUAACACUUGUGUCGGGCUCACCUAUUGAGCGAAGUACUUGAAACCUGGCCUACCCUCUCGGCAAGUUUGUUUCUUCUUUCAAAAAAUCUGCACCAAAACAAUAGAAGAGUAUGAUCACUAACCAUGAAACCAUUUUGGAAAAGUUGAGGCACGAGUAGUCAAAAUAGUAGAUGUAUGGAUGAUCUCUCGUGAGGCAUAAUCAAUAUCAGCAACACAAUUCGGUUGUUUCAAACUUUCGACAGUGAGAUCGGCCAUGUCAUUUUCGAUAGUCGGCUGCAACCGUCGAAAAUAACCAAUAAUUUCGGCGGUGGUGCUUUGGCCGCCGAAAAUGAAGAGUAUCCAUGUAGUGUUGGAGCGGACAUCUUUGGAUUGGGCUUUCGCAUCCUCACUAUCGUGCCUAUAUGUUGGUCCAUCCACCAUCGCUUGUUCAGAGUUGUCAACAUUUAUUUAGUAUUUGGUCAUGUUAGACUAUCUGUUUGGUUUGCUGCCUCACUUGCCAUAGCUUGCUACACCUAAAGUUAGGCAAGUUUGACCGAGUUAGGCAUGUAUUUGGUUUAUAGUCACAAUUGUGGCAAGAUUUUUCUUCUGCUGCGUAGGUCCCACUCGCCAAUGACUUAUAAAAGUGUGACAUAUUCUCUUAGACAUGCCAGGUCCCACUCGCCAAUGACUUGUAAAAGUAUGGAAGAUUUCCUUAGGCAUGCCACAGUUGUGGUGUAGAAGUUGGCAAAAAAUGUGUGGCAAUUUUUGGCACCUUAAGCGUAGAACCAAACAGCCCUGGAACAACACCACCAGGUGCCGAACAUGGAGUAUUAACAAUCAGGGAUGAAGCGCAGUGUAUUAGAUCAACUCCAAUCUCUACUAUUAUAAUGUAUCGGUUUCGUGCAGGAAUAGAAUUAUACAUGAAACUGUUUCCACCGUCACCAACCACCACCCCACAAACAGCGCCACCAUCCAAUGUCCUGCUCGUCCAAAACCACCGACCCUAAGACAGAGCUGCCAUACAACCCCCUUCACGGCGCAUACGGCGAGCAACAAACCCCCGCAAACACCGCCCCAUGCCCCAACACAGACUCCGAGCUCCUCAGCAUGCGCCUCCGAGCUCUUCAGCGUCGCGCCACCCAUGGGGCUCGCCUCUCAGACCCCGACCUGAACCUACACGUUGUCGCACUCUAGGCCCAGCACAGACUCGGUGGUCGGCGCCAGCACCGCAGGUGUCGUCCGCGAUGCCAGCUCAAGAAGAAGUCCAAGGAGGCAGGCCACGACGGUGGACCCUCAGCUGCUAUGGAUAAGUACCUGCAGAUGUACCAUAGAUUGGAAGACCGCGCCUAAGCUGCCCUCUACCGCUAGCUAGAAAAGCUCGCUGAGAACUUCAUUAAGAAGAAGGCCAAGGAGGCGGGCCACAGCGGUGGACCCUUAGCUAUUGUGGAUAAGUACCUGGAGAUGUAACAUAGAGUGGAAGACCGUGCCUAAGAUGCCCUCUAAUGUAGACGCUAAGAAGCUUAAGACACUAGUAGAAAAAAGGCUCAAUACCUGCGGGACCAUUUAUUUUUACAGACAGAUCCGGUUAUCCACCGACUGUACUAUUUCUAGUGGCGGUUCCUUAAGAAAACUGCCACUAGAAAUCGUAUUUCUACUGGCGGUUCCUUAAGAAAACUGCCACUAGAAAUCGUAUUUCUACUGGCGGUUCCUUAAGAAAACCGCCACUACAAAUCAUGGAUUUCUACUGGCGGUUUUCUUAAGGAACCGCCAGUAGAAAUACGAUUCCUAGUGGCGGUUUUCUUAAGGAACCGCCACUAGAAAUCAUUUUUAUCCUUAAUUUUUCGAGUUUUUCAAACGACCUUGUAUGACAAAACCACCAAAAUAAAAGUUGUAGAUCUCUAAAAGUUAUGAAACUUUGUAGUUGACAACUUUUUUAUUUGAACUCAUUUCAGUUCUCAAAAAUUGAAUCUAAGUAUGUCAAAUUUAAAAUUCAAAUUUUGCAAACUACCUCGGAUGAAAAAAGUGUCAAAAUAAAAGUUGUAGAACUUCAAAAGUUAUUUAUCUUUGUAGUUGACAACUUUUUUAUUUGAAUUCGUUUAGGGUCUAAAAUAAGCAAUUUACACUCAAAUGGUUGUAAUAUGUGGAGAAAACAACUACAAACUAGACACAAAGCAUGUCAUAGACGGAGUGGUAGUGGAGGAUACGCGCGAGAGUGAGGUUGACGGUUCGAUUACUAACAAUCGCGUAGCGCGCACCGGGCGGGUGGGGUGGUCCUAAUACAAAUAAAUUUUUUUACUAUUUUAAAAAUUUGUUUUAUGUUUUCUGGAAACGAUUUGCACUGGCGGUUUUAUUACGUCGACCGCCAGUGAAAAUCGAUUUUCACUGGCGGUCAAUUCCAAGAAUCACAUAAAGUCGAUCUUAAGUUUGACUCUAUACUAUGAAGGAUCUAUCUUAAGUUUGACUGCGCAAAUAAGUGCAGUAUUGUCAAGGGCGAUAAUUAGGGACACCUGAAUUACCCCCUAACAAAUGCACCCAGAGAAAUAAGGACUAAACUCCCAAGGGGUAAUAACCGAGCCACCUAUAAAAAGUCAAGACAUCCCCCUAAGGGUCUCCCACCUCGAGCGGGGCUCCGCCUCACCCGAAGUCGACACCACUCGCUCUGCCUCGCUUGAGGUCGCCUCCGCUCAGUCCGUCUCGCCCGAGCCAGCCUCGAGAAGAUAGGACAAGGGCGCUCGAAAACAGGCAGGGGACAGGUGCAUUUAAUGCGUGUGCCAACCCGCGCUGUGGCAGCGGAGCACAGUGGUGGACAAGAUAGCGAUCACAUCUAAGUGUAGCAGUAUGAUUACACAUGUGCCAAACAGUGCGCGCAUGCCACCUGACGCCCUCUGAUGAGACGCCUAAUACGACAAGCCAAGCGGACAAGUCUUCGGGCGCAACCUCUCUGCCUCGCCCAACCUAAGCUUAGCCCUCGGGCAAAAUCUCCACCUCGCCCGAGCUUGGCCUUGGCCACCGGCUACGCCGCGAAUCCCGCAGACAGCCACUCCGCCCGACUAUAGCGCACGUCAAGGGAUGGCUCAUCUGGCACCUCGAAAGACUUAUGCAUCAACCAAGCGAGGGCUCUGAUCUUGAUGAGUGCUGUAGAGAAUCUCGACGUCACCGCGUGCCAGGGCGCCCUGUAAGCAGCCUUUGGCCCAAACCCCGACGCUGCUACAACCACCACGGCAUGGGCAGUCUCUCCCUCGGGAGCUCGAGCAUACGGACGACCCCUCGGUCUUGGCCUCGGCUCUCCAUGGGAAGUCAGCAAACGCGAAUCUAUUGCACGGUUCGCCGUCACGUCAAAUGUCAGGGCAUCUCUCCUUCAAAAUACAAGACUCAGCUUCACCAUGCGCGCUCCCCUGGGUGUAUAAAUACGGCAGUGGUCCCUCCAUUGAGGGACAUGACCACAACAACAACACACGUAGACGAGUUCUUGUUUUCUCACUCUGUCUUAGAUAUUGGCACUUGCCUCAAUCAUCUCUAGGGACUUGGGGACUUCCCCUCUCACGCCGUGCUUGUAAACCCCUACUACAGGCACCACGGUGCGAGUAAUAUAAGCUUCAUUCCCUCUGCUGGAAGUAGGGCCUUGAGAAGCCCGAACUAGGAUAAUCGCUUGUGUCAUCUUGCACACCAUCUAGAGUCGACCAUACGACAUUUUACUAGUUAGUUAAGGACCCGUGGUCCAGAGACUGACAAGUAUGGAAAUUUUUUCAGGCAUGUGACGCCGACACCUCCACUCCUCCACGGGCCACGGUGCCGCGGCGGAUCACCAGCUCCAUCCUUUGUCGUUCUACCCUCGACUAGUCUAGUGCUCCAUUGCCAGAAAUGUGUCGUCUGUCGAUGUUCCUGGUGCCUCCACCUCGUUCGUGGCACUAGCCUUUGUCGUUCCCUUGGAAAGCGAGACAACAGGUCAAUCAAUCAACUAAGGCAAGAUAUUCUUUCUCGAGUUGUCUUUAUACACCUGUUCAUUCCUUUGACCUCUUGGACAUAAUAAAAAAUGUACCAUGUGUAGUGUCACUUUGUUUUUUGAUGCUCAUGUGAUUUUGUUCCUGGUGUUGUUUUCCCUUACUUUGGACAUACAUGCAAAACAUACAACACAUAGAUCUAAACGAUACAUGGAUGGAUUAUAUUUUUUCCCUGGUAGGUGUACAUGGGCAGACCAAGACUUUAUGAGUCUUCACCUAGGAAGCUAUCAGGAAAUCUACAGCCAUCGUCAUCUUCAUAGGCUAAUACAGCUAGAUCACAGGUGUUCGCUUUCACCAAGUUCAUACAACUACUUCCCUAACAAAUCUACCUCUCAAAUUGAUUUCUCGUACUUGUAAAUAUUCAUCUAGCGCAAAUCGAUUUCCCCUGGCUAGCGACCUAGUUUCCUCCGUUGGAGACACAGCACUGCCGGGAUUUAUCGUGUCACGGUGGAGCAUGGCGCAACGGCGAUGGGAAACAUAGACUGCCGCCAUAGCUCGUGCAUGGCUAGAUGAAGGCGCAAAGGAAUGAGGAAGGCGCGGGAAGAUGAAAUCGCGAGGAAUUGGGAGCGUCGGCAUCUGUGGAAAAAUGUGCAUCGUGGAGGUUGGGUUACGCACAUGACUCGAUCGGGAGCUAGACUAGGAAGCUAUUGUAUCUGUGUUUUUUUCUUUUUUCCCUAUUUUUUGGUUUAGGGAUUGGAUAUCGAGAAUUGUUGGACUUGCUCUUACAUCCCAAUGUGCAGUGUACACUACCGGACAUAACUGCUUUGUCCAGUGCUUCAGGCAAAGAAGAUAAUUUGUCGAGUGUUUGUUAGAUGACACUUGGCCAAGAAGAUAUUUUGCCGAGUGUCAAGGGCUGACACUCGGCAAAGUUAAUGGUCGUCAACUAUAGACGGCUACUGAUGGCCCUUUGCCGAGCGUCGCAUUUCGCCGAGAGCUUGACACUCGGCAAAGCCUCCUUUGCUGAGAGUUUGUCUAUGCCGAGUGUUUGCACUCUCAGCAAACUAGGUCUGUGUCGAGAGGCUUAGUUCACCGAGAGUGGCACUCGACAAAGCAUGCUUUGCCAAGUGCCCAAUAAUUUGCACUCGGCAAAGAGCCGGAUUCUGGUAGUGGUACGUUGGCCAUGACCAUGGUUUGAGAGAGGAGAGAUGUGUGUACUUUUUCGACUGGCCUCCUCAAGAACUGGCUUAACCUAAAACAUAACUUCGUUCUAUUACAUAUGUUCUACAUGGCUUGAUAUACAUUAUGAUACAAAGACGAAUCAUAGAUCAUAAAAGGUGCAAUUUAUUUGUAUCAAUUGCUUGUACAAGGGUUGCAUGAAAUCACCUUAAAAACUUAGACAUAUAAAAUAUAGGAAUACAGGAGAAGUGAUAAAUAAAACAACAAAAACACCAUAUGUAAUUCAAUACACUAGUGACACAAACACACAAAAAAACAUACAUACAAAGUUUUCUACACAAAUAGUAGCAUGCCAAGCGAGAUAGUGAGAAACAAUACACUUCACAGGUGAAUUGCUUUCUCGAUGGAUAGGACAAUAAUAGCAUGCUUGGUUUUCUCAUUCUCAAGGUGUUUGGCAACACGGCGAGCGUACUCUUUGAAUAACUUAUCGAGAAUGGGUUCUCCAAAUUGGCUUGCGACUAGCGGCUGCAUAACUGCUCGUAGGCACUUAGCAACAUUUUCAC
rnacentral:lncRNA from 1 species